AAUAAUAGCAUCCUCCAGGUAUUCGUUGUUUUUCUCAUCGCGCAAGUUUGCUUACUGAUGAUGAUGGCAGCACCGGUAGCGUAGGCAGCCGGCAGGCUCAUGGGGUACAAUCCCGUUUGCUGCCCUAGGGACAUCUAUUGUUGUGGGUUCGGCGGAGUGAUUUCCAAUGGAACUGCAUCCUCCACCACUCCUUGAUAUGUUGUCUCACUCUCCUCCGAGCUAUAAGCUAGGGCCAAUAAAAUGUGCUUCAAAUUGGUCGUUUUGUUUCUUAUAUGCAAUUUGUGCGACUAGUUUCCAGAAAUAUUAUGUGUAAGCUAUUUUGCUAAUAAAAGUGGGAGGAGAUUGUUAUCUAUGUUGUUUGCAAUGUGCCGCAAAGAUAUUUGGAAUUAUCACUGGUAGAAAAAGGGCCUGUUGUCCCGGUUCGUAAGGGCCUUUUGUCCCGGUUCUGGAACCGGGACUAAAGGGUCGGUACUAAUGCCCUGUCCCUUUACUCCCGGUUCAAUCCAGAACCGGGACAGAUGGGCCUCCACGUGGCCUGUGCGCGGAGCCCAGGCAGGAGACCCUUUGGUCCCGGUUGGUGGCACCAACCGGGACCAAUAGGCAUCCACGCGUCAGCAUUUCUGUGGUUGGGGUUUUUGUUUUUUUUGAAAGGGGGGUGUUUGGGGGUUUUGGGGGGUUAAUUUAGGUGUUUCAUAUAUUGUGUUAGCUAGCUAUAAUUAAUAGAGAGAAGUGUCCUCUCUUAUGUCCGUGCUUGGUCGACGCUACGUACUAUACAUACGUAUAGAGAGGACUAGAUACGCUAGCUAGCUAGUAAGCAAACGAAGGAAACAGAAGAUCGUCAUGAACAUAUAUGCAUACAAAGAGAAGUGAUAUCGACCACCUCUCCUUCUCCGAGAGAUUGGUCGAACAACAAGUUCUCGUAUAUCUAUCCGACACUACCGGCUACAUAUAUACAAUAAUUAUCUCUUACAAAUAUAAUCAUACGGACUCAGGGUCCACAUAGAAUUCUCCGUCUUCAGGGAUCACGUGGUCAAGAAAGAAUGCCGCCAAUUCCUCUUGAAUUGCUCGCAUGCGAGCUGGUGCUAGGAGUUCAUCCCGCUUCCAAAACAUCUAAUUUAAAGAAGGGGGUCAAUACAUAUAUAUAUAUAUGAAUGAAUGAAACUCAACACAAAUGAUGGUAAUAAAAUAAAAUUGUGAAUGUUGUUAUUUACGUACUUCAUAUUGUUCGUCAGUGUAGCCCCGCUCACAGGUCGUGUGGCGGAUGGACUCGCAAACGUAGUAUCCACAGAAAUCAUUCCCUUGUUCCUGCCGCAACCACUUUACAAGAAAUAGAGGUCAAUCAAACUGAUAAGCAAGAAUGCCAAAUGGUAUUGAUGAAACUAGUGCUUGAAUGACUAGUAGAUGCGUGGAACAUGCUACUAUAGUACUUACUUUCGGGUGUCUAAAUUGCAGCUCCUUCGGCAGUCCCGGAGCUUUUCUGGUGAAUUUUCUCCAAACCCUGCCGGACAAAGAAAACAAUUACUUGAUAUAUCAGGAAAUGAACAAAGUUACUGAUAUGGUGGAUAAUGAUCGAUUUAACUUACUUCUCGAGUAUUUGAGUCAUGUAUGCAUAGUCCUGGGGAUCUUUUCGUUUUGAGUCUAAGACGGUUACUAGUCCCUGCUCAAGCUUAAUCUCUAGGAGAAUAUAGUGGAAACUGCACACGCAUGCAUAACUCAUCAAUUACAUUACUAUAACCUUGACUAAUAUAUAAGGGAAACCGAAUACGCACAAGACAGUAACACUCACUUGAAGUUGUAAGGAAAGAGUAUUAUAUCUUUGUUUUAAUUUAUUACGAACGAUCGUAGCAAGUUGGCCUCGGUAGCUGCGGCAUGAAAUUUAACCUGAGUUGCAUCUAUGAGAUAUGUGUUAAUGAACCCAAUAUCACCGACUUGUCUUUCCUUCAAUUCGGCGAUCUUCAAUCUGCAUAAUAUAGUGAGGAUGAUUAUAAAUACAUGCAAUGAAAGAGCUGAGCUAUAUAGAGAGACUUAAUGACAGAAGUGGUACUACUUACAGACAGUAGCAGGCGACCGUUGUUUUAUCGAGGGACAAUUGAUUGAAAAACUGAUAGAACUCCUCAAAUGGAACAGGCAACAGUUCAAUUCCAACGAGGUCAUGCUCCUUUUUAACUUUCACAUACAAAGUACUCCUGGCUAAUGAUGAAGCCAUGGAUUUCUUCAAUACUUUGACACUAGGAAAUCUCUCUCUCGACCCCUCGGCGAUCCUCGACCCCUCGAACCCUCGACGACCCUGGAACCCUCGACCCCUCGGCGAUCCUCUUCUUCCUCUCAUGUUCGAGAGGAUCGCCGAGGGGUCGGGAGGUUGCCUAGUGUCAAAGGAUUCAACAAAACCAUGUCUUCAUCAUUAGGCAAAAGUAACAGGUGCUUGAUGGUACGAAGCUCUCCAAAGUUAUUUUGGAAUGGAGUCCUAGAUAGGAUAAUUCGCUUUUUGGUACAAAGUUCAGCAAGAACCUUCCAAAUAUCGUUAUUUGGAAGGCCUUUGCUGAAAUUCAUACAAAAAGGCAAAUUAUCCUAUCCGGGACACCAUUCCAAAAUAACUUUGGAGGACUUCGUCAUGCCCUGGUUACUUUCGGCUAAUGAUGAAGCCAUGGAUUUCUUCAAUACUUUGACACUAGGAAACCUCUCUCGACCCCUCGGCGAUCCUCGACCCCUCGAACCCUCAACGACCCUGGAACCCUUGACCCCUAGACGACCCUGGAACCCUCGACCCUCGAUCCCUCGACCCUAUAGAACCCUCGAACCCUCGACCCUGAAACCCUCGACCCUUGACCCCUUAACGACCCUCGACCCUCUACCCUAGUUCCCGACCCACGACCCCUCGGCGAUCCUCGACACCCUCGUUCCCGAUAAAAAUUAAGAAGAAGAAGAAGAAGAAGAAGAAGAAGAAGAAGAAGAAGAAGAAAAAGAGGAGAAGAAGAAAGGAAUAGCUAGAGGAGAAGAUCGAAGAAAAAGAAGAAGAAAAAAAAGAGGAGAAGAAGAAAUGAAUAGUGGAGAAGAAGAAAAAAUAGAAUAUAUUCUAUUUUCUCUUCUUCUCCACUAUUCCUUUCUUCUUCUCCUCUUCUUUUUCUUCUUUUUUCUUCUUCUUAUUUAUUUAUCCUCUUCUUCCUCUCCUCUUCUUCUUUCGACCCCUCGUCCCUCUCUCGACCCCUCGACGACCCUCGUCCCUGAUAACAUUUUUUUCUCCCCUCGACCCCUCUCGACCUCUCGUCCCCCUCUCGACCCCUCAUCAUCAUCUAUCACCCCCCUCGUUUUCUUUAGCAUAUAUCCAUGAACAAAAAAAUAAUUCAUAUAUAGAAAAAUUGCUAUAUGAACAUACAUACAUAUGAGCAUAUACAGAGAGCAUAUACAUAGCCAAAUCCAUAUACAGAGAGCAUAUAGAUACAUACAUACAUAUGAGCAUAUACAUACAUACAUAGCCAAAUCCAAAUACAUAUGAGCAUAUACAUAUACACAUAUGAAAAAUUUUAUCACACACAGAGAGCAGCGGCGGCGGCGGCGAUGGUCAGAGCGACAGGGAUCGAUGGGAAGGGGGGAGCUCACUGGGGGCGUGACGGGGAGGAGGCCGGCGACGGCGCGGGGAGGCCGGCGACGCGGCGCGGGGCGACGGGGAGGGGGCCGGAGAUGGCGCACGCAGCNNNNNNNNNNNNNNNNNNNNNNNNNNNNNNNNNNNNNNNNNNNNNNNNNNNNNNNNNNNNNNNNNNNNNNNNNNNNNNNNNNNNNNNNNNNNNNNNNNNNNNNNNNNNNNNNNNNNNNNNNNNNNNNNNNNNNNNNNNNNNNNNNNNNNNNNNNNNNNNNNNNNNNNNNNNNNNNNNNNNNNNNNNNNNNNNNNNNNNNNNNNNNNNNUCACAAGUGCUACCUUAUAUACCCAGAGCAAUGGUCCCGGUUCGUGGCAUGAACCGGGACGAAUGCCUACCUAUGGUCCCUUUGGUCCCGGUUGGUGGCUCGAACCGGGACCAUAGGGGGGCAAUCGUCCCGGUUGGUGCCACGAACCGGUACCAAUGCCCCCCCUAUGGUCCCGGUUGGUGCCUCCAACCAGGACCAAUGGCCUUGUGCUGGCACUGGCACGGCCGAAAGUUUAAUCCCACCUCACUAGCUGAAGGGCGCCGGCACUUGUUUAUAAGUGCUGGUGUGCCUCCCCAUUCGAGCUCCUCUCUUAUGCAGGCUUUCGGGUCUAAACUUGUUACUGCCUGUGGGCCUAUUGGGCCUUCUGCGGGCCUGAAUCCUGGCCCAUGUAAGGUUUCUACUCGUAUUCAGGCCGUGGAGGCCCAGUAGGUGGCAUUUUUUUGGUUUUUCUUUUUUAUUUCUACAUUUUUUUUGGUUUUUUAUUUUUUUUAUUUCUACUUAAAACUAAAUACUUACAGUUUUUUAGUGAUUUCUUUUUGCUUUUAGGUCACAAAAAUUAUAAACUUUCUGUUAGUGUCAUUAGUUUUAAAUUUUGAAUAGUUUAAAUUUGAAUUUUUAAAAAUUUGUGUGCAUCACUAGUUUAUGAAUAACUUUACUAUAAAAAUAGAAUUUUUUUUCUAUUUAUUUUUUAUUUAUACUUACAACUAAAUACUUAUAGUUAUUUAGUGAUUUCUUUUUGAUUUUAGGUCACAAAAAUUAUAAACUUUCUGUUAGUGCCAUUAGUUUUAAAAUUUUGAAUAGUUUAAAUUUGUAUUUUUUAAAAUUUGUGUGAAUCACUAGUUUAUGAAUAACUUUACUAUAAAAAUAGAUUUUUUUUUCUUUUUUUCUAUUUAUUUUUUAUUUAUACUUACAAUUAAAUACUUAUAGUUUGAUUUUAGGUCACAAAAAUCAUAUUCUUUUUGCUAUUGAAGAAUAUUAUAGUUUUAUUUUAGUUGAUCAUAACAUAAUAUUUUAAUUGAUUGUUUUUAUUUUCAUAAAAGUUUUGUAGUUCAUUCUGUUUGCUAUCAAUUCAUUCUUUGAGCUAAAUGACCCUGAAAUUGGAAAGCAUUUAAAAUGAACUCUGAAAAGGUUGAAAGUUGGCAUGGUAUCAUCAUUUCACCCACAUAGCAUGUUCCAAAAAGUAGAGAGGGUUACGACAAAAACUUGAUGCACUUCGUGUACAAAAUGGACAAUCACUUUCGAAGUAUCAAAGUUUCGGACAAUAACUGCGCCACAUCAUUGGCUAGGACGAAUGGUUCGUCUGUGUACCCAAGAUUGUUUAGAUCCACUGUUGUCAUACCGUACUGUGGGUCUACCUGUACCCCGCCUCCUGACAUAUUGAUCCAUUUGCCUCAACACAUAAAACCUUGAACCAUAAGACAUGAAAGCAUUUCAAAUGAACUCUGAAAAAGUUGAAAGUUGGGAUGGUAUCAUAAUUUCACCCACAUAGCAUGUGCAUGUACAAAACGGACAAUGGUAGCAUGUUCGUGUGUUACAAAGUUGGCAUGGUAUCAUCAUAAUAGUUGCGGGAGAAAGUCUUCACUUUUUCUUCGCUUGUGUCAUUUGAUUAUUGCGCCGUAACCAUGGAUAAUCUUCAUUGUUUAUCAGGAUGCUUGGGUCAGCCUUGACAUUGAAGGGAGGAAUUUCAUGAAACUUUUCAUAAUCUUCAGACAUGUCUGUCAUGCCCUCCACUCCCAGGAUGUCCCUUUUUCCUGAAAGAACUAUGUGGCGCUUUGGCUCAUCGUAUGAUGUAUUCGCUUCCUUAUCUUUUCUUUUUCUCGGUUUGGUAGACAUGUCCUUCACAUAGAUAACCUGUGCCACAUCAUUGGCUAGGAGGAACGGUUCGUCAGUGUACCCAAGAUUUUUCAGAUCCACUGUUGUCAUUCCGUACUGUGGGUCUACCUAUACCCCGCCGCCUAACAGAUUGACCCAUUUGCACUUAAACAAAGGGACCUUAAAAUCAGGUCCGUAGUCAAGUUCCCAUAUGUCCACUAUGUAACCAUAAUAUGUGUGCUUUCCGCUCUCGGUUGCUGCAUCAAAGCGGACACCGCUGUUUUGGUUGGUGCUCUUUUGAUCUUGGGCGAUUGUGUAAAAUAUAUUCCCAUUUAUCUCGUAUCCUUUGUAAGUCAAUACAGUCAAAGAUGGUCCCCUGGACAACAAGUACAACUCAUCACAAACAGUGUUGUCACCUCUGAGACGUGUUUCCAACCAACUGCUGAAAGUCCUGAUGUGUUCACAUAUAAUCCAGUCGUCGCACUGCUCCGGGUGUUUGGAGCGCAGACUGUUCUUGUGUUCAUCGACAUACGGGGUCACCAAGGUAGAGUUCUGUAGAACUGUGUAGUGUGCUUGAGACCAAGAAUAUCCGUCCCUGCAUAUUAUUGAGUUUCUUCCAAGAGUGCCUUUUCCAGUCAGUCUCCCCUCAUACCGCGAUUUAGGGAUACCUAUCUUCUUAAGGCCAGGAAUGAAGUCAACACAAAACCCGAUAACAUCCUCUGUUUGAUGGCCCAUGGAGAUGCUUCCUUCUGGCCUAGCGCGGUUACGGACAUAUUUCUUUAGGACUCCCAUGGACCUCUCAAAGGGGAACAUAUUGUGUAGAAAUACGGGCCCCAGGAUGACAAUCUCGUCGACUAGAUGAACUAGGACGUGCGUCAUGAUAUUGAAGAAGGAUGGUGGGAACACCAGCUCGAAACUGACAAGACAUUGCGCCACAUCACUCCUUAGCCUUGGUACGAUUUCUGGAUCGAUCACCUUCUGAGAGAUUGCAUUGAGGAAUGCACAUAGCUUCACAAUGGCUAAUCGGGAAGCCCCCUCAAUGCAACCGGAAGCAGUUGCGUCAUAAUCACGUGGCAGUCAUGAGACUUAAGGUUCUGAAACUUUUUCUCUGGCAUAUUUAUUAUUCCCUUUAUAUUCGAUGAGAAGCCAGUCGUGACCUUCAUACUGAGCAGGCAUUCAAAGAAGAUUUCUUUCUCUUCUUUUGUAAGAGCGUAGCUGGAAGGACCUUUAUACUGCUUCGGAUGCAUGCCAUCUUUUUCGUGCAAACGUUACAGGUCCUCCCAUGCCUCAGGUGUAUCUUUUGUCUUCCCAUACACGCCCAAGAAUCCUAGCAAGUUCACGCAAAGGUUCUUCGUCACGUGCAUCACGUCGAUUGAGGAGCGGACCUCUAGGUCUUUCCAGUAGGGUAAGUCCCAAAAUAUAGAUUUCUUCUUCCACAUGGGUGCGUGUCCCUCAGCGUCAUUCGGAACAGCUAGUCCACCGGGACCUUUCCAAAGAUUACGUAGUGUAAAUCAUUGACCAUAGCAAGCACGUGAUCACCGGUGUGCAUGGCGGGCUUCUUCCGGUGAUCUGCCUCGCCUUUGAAAUGCUAUCCUUUCUUUCGACAUUGAUGGUUGGUCGGAAGAAAUCGACGAUGGCCCAGGUACACAUUCUUCCUGCAUUUGUCCAGGUAUAUACUUUCAGUGUCAUCUAAACAGUGCGUGCAUGCGUGGUAUCCUUUGUUUGUCUGUCCUGAAAGGUUACUGAGAGCGGGCCAAUCAUUGAUGGUCACGAACAGCAACACCUUAAGGUUAAAUUCCUCCUGUCUGUGCUCAUCCCACGUACGUACACCGUUCCCAUUCCACAGCUGUAAAAGUUCUUCAACUAAUGGCCUUAGGUACACAUCAAUUUCGUUGCCGGGUUGCUUAGGGCCUUGGAUGAGAACUGGCAUCAUAAUGAACUUCCGCUUCAUGCACAUCCAAGGAGGAAGGUUAUACAUACAUAGAGUCACGGGCCAGGUGCUGUGAUUGCUGCUCUGCUCCCCGAAAAGAUUAAUGCCAUCCACGCUUAAAGCAAACCAUACAUUCCUUGGGUCCUUUGCAAACUCAUCCCAGUACUUUCUCUCGAUUUUUCUCCACUGCGACCCGUCAGCGGGUGCUCUCAACUUCCCAUCUUUCUUUCGGUUCUCACUGUGCCAUCGCAUAAACUUGGCAUGCUCUUCAUUUCUGAACAGACGUUUCAACCAUGGUAUUAUAGGAGCAUACCACAUCACCUUCGCAGGAACCCUCUUCCUGGGGGGCUCGCCGUCAACAUCACCAGGGUCAUCUCGUCUGAUCUUAUACCGCAAUGCACCGCAUACCGGGCAUGCGUUCAGAUCCUUGUAUGCACCACGGUAGAGGAUGCAGUCAUUAGGGCAUGCAUGUAUCUUCUCCACCUCCAAUCCUAGAGGGCAUACGACCUUCUUUGCUGCGUAUGUAUUGUCAGGCAAUUCGUUAUCCUUUGGAAGCUUCUUCUUCAAUAUUUUCAGUAGCUUCUCAAAUCCUUUGUCAGCCACAGCAUUCUCUGCCUUCCACUGCAGCAAUUCCAAUACGGUACCGAGCUUUGUGUUGCCAUCUUCGCAAUUGGGGUAUAACCCUUUUUUGUGAUCCUCUAAUAUGCAAUCGAACUUCAGCUUCUCCUUUUGACUUUCGCAUUGCGUCCUUGCAUCGACAAUGACCCGACGGAGAUCAUCAUCAUCGGGCACAUUGUCUGGUUCCUCUUUAUCUUCAGCAGCUUCACCCGUUACAGCAUCAUUGGGCACAUCGUCUGGUUCCUCUUGAUCUUCACCAGCUCCACCCGUUGCAGCAUCACCGUAUUCAGGGGGCACAUAAUUGUCAUCGUACUCUUCUUCUUCGCCGUCUUCCAUCAUAACCCCUAUUUCUCCAUGCUUCGUCCAAACAUUAUAGUGUGGCAUGAAACCCUUGUAAAGCAGGUGGGAGUGAAGGAUUUUCUGGUUAGAGUAAGACCUCGUAUUCCCACAUUCAGUGCAUGGACAACACAUAAAACCAUUCUGCUUGUUUGCCUCAGCCGCAUCGAGAAACUCAUGCACGCCCUUAAUGUACUCGCGGGUGUGUCUGUCACCGUACAUCCAUUGCCAGUUCAUCUGCGUGCAUUAUAUAUAAUUAAGUGUCCAAAUUAAUAGAAGUUCAUCAUCACAUUAAAACCAAAGUGCAUACAUAGUUCUCAUCUAACAACAUAUAGCUCUUGAGAGCAUCUAAUUAAUUAAACCAUACAUUGAAACUAUGUAAAACAUUUCAAUGCGAAAACAAAUGCGAUCAUAAUCACAACCAAGGUAACAAUUGAUCCAACGGCAUAAUGAUACCAAGCCUCGAUAUGAAUGGCAUAUUUUCUAAUCUUUGUAAUCUUCAAGCGCAUUGCAUCCAUCUUGAUCUUGUGAUCAUCGACGACAUCCGCAACAUGCAACUCCAAUAUCAUCUUCUCCUCCUCAAUUUUUUUUAUUUUUUCCUUCAACAAAUUGUUUUCUUCUUCAACUAAAUUUAACCUCUCGACAAUAGGGUCGGUUGGCAUUUCCGAUUCACAUACAUCCUACAUAAAUAAAAUCUAUGUCACGUUGGUCGGCAUAAUUUUCAUAAACAAUAAAUGAACCAAUAGUUAUAAAGAUAAUAUCUAUACCACAUCCGAAUCAUAGACAGGACGAGGGCCGACGGAGGCGGAUACCAAAACCAUCGCACUAUAUAAGAUGCAAUAAUAAAAGUAAGAAAAUAAUACAAGUAUCUAUGUAAACAUACAAGUAAGAAUAUUUUUCCUUUCAGAAAGAAGAUAAGAACAAGAGGCUCACCACGGUGGUGCCGGCUAUGAGCUCGGCGCGGGUGAUCGACGGCGGUGAAGACGGGGACGGGGCGUGACGGACCGCUAAACCUAGACAAAUAUUAUGGAAAAUGGAGUUUGGAGGUCGAGCUUGGAGAGGAGAAAGCUUAAGUAGUGUGGCUCGGGCAUUCCAUCGAACACCUUGUGUGCAUAGGAGGUGAGCUAGAGCACCACCAAGCCCUCUCCCCCUUGGCUAGAGAAAAACAGAGCACUGGGGUGCUCUGCUCGCGAGCGAGGGAUAUAUAUAUAGGCACCUCAUUGGUCCCGGUUGGUGACAUGAGCCGGGACUAAAGGGGAGCCUUUGGUCCCGGCUCAAGCCACCAACCGGGACCAAUGGUGGUGGGCCAGGAGCGAGGCCCAUUGGUCCCGGUUUAUCCCACCAACCGGGACCAAAAGGUCCAGAUGAACCGGGACCAAUGGCCCACGUGGCCCGGCCGGCCCCCUGGGCUCAUGAACCGGGACCAAUGCGUUCUGGACUGAACCGAGACUAAUGGGCUGACCCGGCCUGGACCAAAGCCCUGUUUUCUACUAGUGUAUGUUUACUUUAGUGUUUUUUGAGGAUCAUAUCAUACUGUAUUUUCAUGGUUAAACUCAUGUUAUGAUAAUAAAGGUACCAUCCGUAGUUGAUUCCAGUUUAUUACUAACAAUAGCGGUUAAUCCAUCACAUAGAGUGUCAAUUUGUUGCGGACAUCAAUCAACUUAACCCUGUAUUUGUCGCCCUCGCCAAAUCUUACUCAAUCAAGCUUCUAAAACUAGAUGAGAACUAAUAUGUUUCCUUUUUCUAGCCCAUUCUGCUUCAUCUCUUUUUCAUCGUUCUUCUUAUUCCCAAUGCCUAAAACCCCAACCAUGCAUGUGUACCGACCCAACUUAGAUGAGGCACAGUGGUCAAGGCAUCAUGCGUGCCUGCUCAUGUACUUGAACACUCCGUCCGGCUGAUUGUUUCGCGGCACUGAGGAGCACCUUCUUGCGCAUGUGCCACCAUUCGAAGGAUCUCGGUGCGACACAGGGGCGAAUUUACCGUACGGGCGCCCUGGGCACGUGCCCGGGCCCAUCCCGUCAAUUUUCUAAACUAUAGCGAACCUUUCUAGGCAUCGUAUGCGUAAAAAAUGCUCAAAAACAAGAAAAUACGAUGGAAAGUACGUAAACUUCUCUAACUGGGCCAGUCUGAGCGUUUUUCUGCAGUUUGGCUAAGCAAUCACAUGGACCACAACAACCAGUAGGCCUUGUUUGCUCGAUCGAUCCAUGAAUGGAUUGAAGCAGAAUCGAUCGAUGCAUGUUCGUUUUCGUGCACAGGAACGCGAGAUCGGAGUCGCGACCUUACCAUCUGCUGCGCGGCUGCGCCUCCGACGCGGCGAGGGCGCGAUGCAGACCGUCGCCUGACGGAACCCGGCAGCCAGAUUAACAUCGGCCGGCAAGAUUGCAAAAGAGAUCAGAGAUAACACGCGGCCAGGCCUCGGCUAUGACUCCGGUGGGCGACGGUCAAGAUCGGAAGCACAAGCGCGGGCGCCACAGCGGCGAAUCCUCCUGUACCACCAAUGAGAAUUCAACUCUGGCUCAAUCGGACGUUGGGUAGUCAGCAUCGACACUAACCACAUGAGCAGCGGCAGGCCGGCAGCGAGCGCUCAACCCGUUGAAGGGCAUGACCAAAAGAAAUCCAGUAGCAGAGCGCCAACAAUUAGGACUAAAGGCAAGUGGCAACUAGGUGAGUUAUUUGAUUUGGUAUUGUAUUUAAGUUUUUAUUUACUUCUUUGAUCUAUAAAACAUCAGUGCAUAUAUUACACACGACAUUUAUUCAAAUAUAUGAUACUUAUCAUGUUUGAUAGACCAAAGUAAAUUUUAGCUUACAAGAUGCCCGGGCUUUGGCAAUUCGCUGGCUCCGCCACUGGUGCGACAGUUCCAUCAGGAUGUCCUCCUGACAUGUCACACCUUAGGGUGUUGAGAAUAAGUAGAUAGAGUAUGCACAUCAGACGUUUGAGAAAAAUGCUCGGCAUUUGGGGCGCGUUUGUCGUCUGUCAAACCGUGGACAAGGGUGUGUCCUGGUGGUGUGCUCAUCGAGGUUCCUGGACAUGGCCGAGCUCUGGUUUUUUCGACUUUUUGUUUUUCACCUGCCUUUCUUAGCUUUUGGAUUAAAAAAAAAUUUGCAAACAUUUUUUGGGUGAAAUAAUACGCUUUUUUAACUUCCGCGAGAGACACGGUUUUGCUUUUGCGAGAGGCACAGCCAUGCUUCUUGGAAAAUGGAAAAAAACUUGUUUUCUGUUUUAUUUUCUUCCGCGAGAGGCACGGUUUUGUUUCUGCCAGAGGUAUGGUUUUGUUUUAGCGAGAGGCACGACUAUGUCUCUCAAAAAAACAAUUUCUUUGGUUUUUUUUCUUCUACGAGAGACACGGUUUUGAUUCCGCGAGAGGCAUGAUUGUGCUUUCGCGAGAGACAAAGCCAUGCCUCUCAGAAACGAAAAAAAACAUUUUUCUGUUUUUUUUUCUACCGCGAGAGGCAUGGUUGUGCUUUCACGGCCGUGCCUCUCGGAAACGUAUAAAAAUACGUUUUUUGUUUUAUUUUGCUUCCACGAGAGGCACGAUUUGGCUUCCACGAGCCGUGCCUCUCAGAAACAAAAAAACGUGUUUUCUGUGUUUUUCUUCUUCUGUGAGAGGCGCGGUUUUACUUUCAUGAGGGGCACGGUUGUGAUUUUCUCGAGAGGUACAAUCGUGCCUCUUUCAGAAAGGAAAAAAACCAUGCUCCCAAUUCGGUUUUUUCGUUCAGUUUUUUUCAUGAAAAAAAGUUAGUCAAAACCUAUCAAUAUAGGAUCUAGUUUUAUAGAUCUCGGCACGAGAAUCCAACAGUGAAAACAGUUCGAUAUUUGGACACACGGUUUAAGAGAUAAAACAUUUUGAAUAAACGAAUCUACGAAAAAAGAGAAAAUUCUUAGGUUGCGACAAUGGUUCAUAUGUGCACUGCUUCAUUUGUCACAACCUGAGAAGGUGGGAGUGAUCUUUACAAUAAGUACUUUUUAAUUAAUGAUUUUGGAGGUUCCCAGGCCCACGCACCUGCACACAUGCGCCGGCUCAUCGCGUGCGACACGAUCGCUCAACAGCGGGCAGCUCGGGAAAAUCCUAUAUACCGCUCGCUGCUGCAAACUGUCGACCAAAAGCACAGUUGAGCGAGGUGAGCGGUCUGAGAUGGGCCAGCCUAUUUUAGCAUGGCGUAGCACCUGUUUCACCCGGUUUUAGGAACCUUCUAGAAGGCCCUGAACCAGUUUUAUUUCUAGUUUAUUCUGGUUUUUCCCAUUCUCGUUUCUUAUUUUUGGUUUUAUUCCCGUCUUUGUUUCUUUUUUUCUGUUUAAGUUUUCUUUUUUAUUUCAUUUACUGUUUAUUUUUAAGUUUCAUUUUUUUCAUUUUAUUGUUCUUACAAAAAAUAUUUCAAAUAUAAAAAACAUUGUAAUAAUUAGAUUUUGUUCAUGAAUUAUAAAAAAAUGUUUGCAUUUUUAGAAUAUUUUUGAGGAAUUUCAAAAUUAGUUUUUGUUUUUCGAAAAUUGUUCAUAAUUUUUUCCUUAAAAAUUCACCACUUUUUUCAGGAUUUCGAAAAAUGUUUCGUAGUAAAAAUUGUUCGCAAAUGAAGAAAUUUCACGUAUUCAAUUUUUUAGGAGCUUGAAAAAUGUUCUCCUUUCCCAAAAAUUAUUUGGAAAUUUAAAAAAAUGCUCUGAAUUUGAAAUAACCUUCGUAUUUUUCAAAUUUUGUUCAUACAUUCAAAAUUAUUCGCAUUUUCCAAAUAGUCUUCAGGAAUAUCAAAAAUUGUACGUAUGUUCAAAAAUUGUUCAUAAAUAUUUUCUUUAAAAUGUUCAAAAUCGUUUUUCCGAAUAUUGUUCACAAAUUUGAAAAAAAUCUUCGGAUCUUAAAUUUUGAUUGGUAGUUUGAAUUUUGUCUACUUUUCGGCAAUUGUUCAGAAAUUUCAAAACAUAUUGGUGUUUUCAAAAUUAUUUAGGAGAUUGAAAUUUGGUUUGCCUAUUUUAAAAAAAAUGUAUUGGAUUUUUUGGAAUUCCAGAAAAUGUUCUGUUUUGAAAAAAAUCGCGUCGGAAUUUUGGGAGUUUCAUUUUUUUAGUUUGGUAGAAAAAUUGAAAAGUGAUCCUGUUCCAUAAAACAUCAAUUUUUUUCCAGAAAAUAUUUUGCAUUGGAAAUUUCAAAAAUAAUCUUGGCGGUGCUAGAAUGUGUUCUUAAAGUUUUAGUGCUGCUUUGUAGCAUUAAUGUGAGGAUCCACCUAUGCAUGCGGGUGACAAUAAGGGAAGCUAAAGGCGCCAUAUAGGAACUGUCGAGUGCUCCUGCCGUCUCGCAUGAACCACCACUAUGUAUCGUUAUAAGCGACUGCGUGAGCUCGCUCGCCUACAGCGACCCCUUCGUGGGCCUGCCCAAUGAGGAGGGCACUACCCUCCCAGUCCCGAGCCACGGACGGGGCAUGUGACAUGGACAUCUCGCAGUUUUUUGAAUCCUAGAAAGAAGGUGAAAAAAGAAAAAGUACCGAGCCCACAAUGGCGGUUGUGUGUGCGCAAGUAGCAAAAAGCACUAUGAUGGAAGUUGAAGGAGCCAUAUAGGAAUUGUCGAGUGCUCCUGCCGCCUCGCGUGAACCAUUACUAUGUAUCAUUACAAGCGACAGCGUAAGCUCGCUCGCCUACAACGACGCCUUCGUGGACAUCUCACACUUUUUUUGAACCUUAGAAAGAAGGGAAAAAAAGGGAAAUAGCAAAAAGCACUAUGACGGUUGCUGAAGGCGCCAUAUAGAAAUUGAUGAGUGCUCCUGCCGUCUCGCGUGAACCACUACUAUGUACAUGGGCCUGCCCAGUUAGGAGGGUGACACCCUCCUAGUCCCGACGAGCCACGUGCGGGGCGUGUGACUGAGGAUGACAAUUUUACCCAUGGGUAUGGGUACCCGUAGGUACCGUACCCGCAUGGGCAGAGUAUGGGCACAACUUUAUACCUACGAGUAGUACCCAUACCCUACCCGUUAAGUCAUGGGUAGGGCACGGGUAUAACCUUUUACCCAUGGAUAUACCCAUACCCUACCCAUUUUAUACCGACAUGUGAAUCUUACCCGUGAUUCACAAUCACAAGUGUACAUAUGUUAAAGUUGUGUUGUGAGCUUAUGAACCUAUGUUAAAGUUGUUACCAAUUGUCAAUUUGAAUUGAGAUAAUUUUCAUAUACUCAGCUAUUUGUUAUUGAGUUGAGAUCAAUGUUUUUUUUUAUCAAAUGUGCUAUAGAUGAAUGUAAAAUUACGAAUAACUUGUGUACUGUUUGAUCUACCCGUUGGGUACCCAAUGGGUAUGGGUACCUGUCGGGUAUGGGUACGGGUAAAAUAUCAUACCCAUGGGUACGGGUAUGGAUAGAAUUUUGUACCCAUUGACUACACACGUAUGGGUAUGGUAUUGCUCUACCCGCCCUAUACCCUACCUACUGUCAUCCUUACGUGUGACAUGGACGUUUUUUUACAUAUUAAUUUUCAUGCUUUUUUUAUUUUCAUGAUCAGUCUAAAAGAUAAAAUAAAAUGUGUUUAUACUUCUAGUUAUUAAUGAAGUUUGUGAAAAUAAAAAAAACUGUUUCUGGGUAUAAAAAUUAUUCCCCUUAUUUAAAUUUGUUCAUAAAUCUACAAAAAUGUUUUGGAUUCUUAAAAAUGUUCUUGAGUUUGAAAUGUCCACGAAGUAGCAAAUUUAUUCACGAAUAUGACAAAUUGUUCACUAAUUCACAAUUUUUGCAUGAAUAUAAUUUUUUUGUGAUUCAAAGAAAAUGUUCACAAAUUCAAAGAGUGUUGACAAAUUUAAAGACUGUCCAGUGAUUCACCAAAUGUCCGUGAAUUCAUUAAAAUCUUCAUGAUUUUUCAAAAUAUUCAUAGAGUUUCAAAAGAUAAUCGAAUGCGAAUUUUUUUAUUUGUUUUCAAAUCACGAAUUAGUAAGAAAUAAAAAGGACACAAAAUAACAAUAGAAAGAAAAGCGAAAAAAUCUCAUGAGAAAAACAUAAUAAGGGAAAAGAGAAGAACCUUCUGGAACCUUCCCAAAAGCGAAGGGAAGGUUCCCAAAUCCGUUCCUGGUUCUGGAAAUGAAUAGCUCAUGUCGGACCGUGAGUUGGCGAGUUCUCACUUAGUGCGCGCCAAGGCGAUAGACAUCAUUUUUGACCGUCGGUUGCGCUUAACAUGAUCAGCCUAUAUGGGCCUCCUAUCAACAGGCCCUUGAGGCCUAUUUUAAACACUCGAUCUCAUUGGCGGUCAUGAGACAUGGGCCGAUGGGCCCAAGGUGGUGCAUAGCAACUCUUUAGUGCUCCAUGUAGUGUGGGGCCUUGCCUUCUGGGCGGCAAGGUGUGCAUCUGUAGCGAUUCAUUGAUGGUCUAUGCCAGAUUGAGUCCACAACUUGAUGGUGAAGGCAUGUGGCGGCAAGUGAGUUGGCUCGUGACUGUCGUCGGAAUUUGCUACUUGUCACGACGAUUUUUGAAUCUUGUGCGCCACGAUCGGUUAAGCAUUAAUUUGUCAAGCUUAACCUCCGAGCACACGGAUAGCAUGGAGGGCUGCUGUCUGCUGAAUUCAUCCGCUUGCAUUUUUUCCUUUUUUCAAAAGGGUGAUGCUACGCGUCCGCCGGCCGAUGUCUCAUAGUUAUCCGCCGCAUCGAUGGCCGUCGGAUCCUCGUGCUAUUAGCAGUCCAAUGUAAUACCCGCGCCCCGCAUGCCCCUCAUUAAUUCCCGCAACAAGCGGCUGUUGCAGAAACAAAGAACAUUGCCCCCCGGCCCAGAGCUGCGCCCACCGCGGCACCGCCCCAUCCCAAAAUCACCUAUGGCCGGCACGGGGAGCAGCCAAAUAUCCUCUCUACAACACCAUGGCUCACCACAUCGUGCGGCAGAUGCUUGGGUCCAAUGCAGAUCGAGCUCACCGAGGGGCCCUGCUACAAGAACAGCCAUGGCCAUCGUUCGAAGCUCCGACUGUCGCCGGGGAGCUUUUGCCGCGAGUAGGAGUUUCAGCCUGGUUCAGGAACCCACUGGUGUUGUUUCCUGAAGCUCCUUUGACAAGAUCGCAUAAGGAAUCAUGGGUGAAACUCUGUUUCUGAAACACAAAUUCUAUUUAACUAUGAAGCAUGAAACUCUGAAAACACAACAUAUCAAACCCUGUGUGUGGAUACAACAAGGCACAUCCCCCUGUUUUACUUGUUCUGUCUCUGGAACAUGAGCCCCUGUAUUUGUAGUUGCAAUCUCUAAUGUUGCAAAAAAAAGAAAAAUGGCUCUGAUGUUCAGAAAAAAAUCACUCAUGUGAGAUUGCCUUUGAUGUGGUUUGAUUUUGUAUGCUGUUGUGAGAAAAUCAGAGUGUUUCUGAAUUCCUCAAAAGAUGUAGGCCAGAAACAAAUGUUGCAUGUUAAUUGACCUCUGUAAAAAAAUGGUAAAUUUUUCAUUUGAUAUCUUCUGUAAUUGAUUUUCUGAAACAAGUCAAAAAUUGUUGAUUCCAUGGAGAUAGAAAAUGACUACUGAAAAAAAACUGUCUGAUGCUAGAAGCUGGGACUGAAGGGGAAGAGAGCUAUGUCCAAGGCAAUUUUUGCUAUAUGUUUGAUGCAGGAAGCUGGGACUGAAGGGGAAAUGAACUGCUCCGGCGAGCUGUUCAUUUUCCUUGCAUCUCCUAAAGAAAAGAUGUACUUGCUCCCUAUGUUUGAGCUACAUUUAUAACUUCUUUUUGCAAGCUUGAUAAUGUAUAGAGUUGAAAUUUGCAACCUGUGUUACGAAAAAAAUACAGAAAAUAAAGAUAGCCUAGUUUGUUAUGUUUUCUUCAUGUAUUUGCCUGUGUUUGAGAUAUGCGACAUCAAUGUUUCUCUGCAUAAGUGCAAAAAACAAUGUGUCUAGUGUUACCAAAAAACAACAUUUGGCUUGAAUAAAAAAGAGUUUUGUGUGGUGAGAUUGCUCGAGCUUGCAUGCGUGAAAAUAUAGAUCAUGUAUUCAUGUUACAGGACACAUGAUCUUACAAGAAGACACUUUCGUUUUGAUGAUGUUAUAGGAACAUCUAUCCAUGUAUUCAAGUUGCAGGAACAUGAUGUUAUAAUGAGACAAUGUGUUCAACUGAUGAUUUCGUUAUGGUUAAUGUAGAGCAACAGAUCAUGUUACAUAGAAAACAUUGAUUAUAGUAUAUUUCACCAUUCAAAAAUUCCUCAUGCAACAAGAGCUCCAAUACAAACAAUAUGAUACACCAGUGGGUGAGAAACAUACAAAAGGAAAAUACUCCAGCAAGAUAAUUUUCAUUGGAUUGUCAUAUCUACAUCAUAUAUAGGUGUGCAACACCAGAAACAUUUGCGAGAAUGGUUGCAUGGAUGAAGCUCCAACAUACAAAAUAGAGCAAAAAAGGGGGGGCAUGCCCCAGCAUGACACAUGCUUCUUCCAAGCUUCAGUUCCAUAGAAGACUAGAGGUAAUAGCUACAGUAUACUUGUUGUCUCGGUUACAAAACAUGUCACACGUACAUGCACCGGAAAAAGGCCCUUUCACCAUCCUUGUAAAUGUCACGGAAAAUAUGCCUUGCCCCUCUUCCCGAAUUGUAACGGCAUGCUACCAUUCAGUAUCUUCUUAACCAUGUCCCUUGUUAAUCAGAUCUUCUUCUCAUCAUUUAUCCCGCGAUACAAAAAACCAUAGAAAUCAAUGGAUGUUGCGAAAGAAAGAAAAAAGGGAGUUAUGCAAUACAAAUAGAGGAAACAAAAAAAAAAUUUGAGCAUACGCUUCUUAGGAUCAAUCCUUGAUACGUCCAUUUUGCAUCAUGCUUUUAUAUCGAUAUUUAUUGCAUUAUGGGCUGUUACUACACAUUAUGUCACAAUACUUAUGCCUUUUCCCUCUUAUUUUACCAGAUUUACAUGAAGAGGGAGAAUGCCGACAACUGGAAUUCUGGGCUGGAAAAGGAGCAAAUAUUAGAGACCUAUUCUGCACAACUCCAAAAGUCCUGAAACUUCAUGAGAGCACGUUUUGGAAUAUAUAAAAAAUACUGGCGAAAGAAUUAACUAGAGGGAGCCCACACCCUGGCCACGAGGGUGGGGGCGCGCCCUACCCCCCUGGGCGCCCCCUGUCUCAUGGGCCACCUGGCAGGCCUCCGGUGCCCAUCUUCUGCUAUAUGAAGUCUUUCGUCCGAGAAAAAAUCAUAAGAAAGCUCACGGGACGAAAUUCCGCUGCCACGAGGCGGAACCUUGGCGGAACCAAUAUAGGGCUCCGGCGAAGCUGUUCUGCCGGGGAAACAUCCCUCUGGGAGGGGGAAAUCAUCACCAUCGUCAUCACCAUCGAUCCUCUCAUCGGGAGGGGGUCAAUCUCCAUCAACACCUUCACUAGCACCAUCUCCUCUCAAACCCUAGUUCAUAUCUUGUUUCCAAUCUUUGUCCCAAAACCUCAGAUUGGUACCUGUGGGUUGCUAGUAGUGUUGAUUACUCCUUGUAGUUGAUGCUAGUUGGUUUACUUGGUGGAAGAUCAUAUGUUCAGAUCCUUUAUGCAUAUUAAUACCCCUCUGGUUAUGAACAUGAAUAUGAUUUAUGAGUAGUUACGUUUGUUCCUAAGGACAUGGGAGAAGUCUUGCUAUAAGUAGUCAUGUCAAUUUGGUAUUCGUUCGAUAUUUUGAUGAGAUGCAUGAUGUCUCUCCUCUUGUGGUGUCAUGUGAACGUCGACUACAUGACACUUCACCAUUGUUUGGGCCUAGGGGAAGGCAUUGGGAAGUAAUAAGUAGAUGAUGGGUUGCUAGAGUGACAUAAGCUUAAACCCUAGUUCAUAAGUUGCUUCGUAAGGGGCUGAUUUGGAUCCAUAUGUUCCAUGCUAUGGUUAGGUUUACCUUAAUACUUCUUUUGUAGUUGCAUAUGCUUGCAAGAGGGGUUAAACAUAAGUGGGAUGCUUGCCCAAGGAAGGGCAGUACCCAAGCACCUGUCCACCCACAUAUCAAAUUAUCAAAGUACCGAACGAGAAUCAUAUGAACGUGAUGAAAACUAUCUUGACGAUAAUUCCCAUGUGUCCUCGGGAGCGCUUUCCUUUAUAUAGGAGUUUGUCCAGGAUUGUCCUUUGCUACAAAAAGGAUUGGGCCAUCUUGCCUCACCUUAUUUACUUUUAUUACUUGUUACCCGUUACAAAUUACCUUAUCACAAAACUAUCUAUUACCGAUAAUUUCAGUGCUUGCAGAGAAUACCUUACUGAAAAUUACUUACCAUUUCCUUCUCCUCCUCAUUGGGUUCGACACUCUUACUUAUCGAAAAGACUACGAUAUAUCCCCUAUACUUGUGGGUCAUCAAGACUCUUUUUUGGCGCCGUUGCCGGGGAGUGAAGCACCUUUGGUAGGUGGAAUUUGGUAAGGAAAAAAUUUAUAUAGUGUGCCGAAAUUUACUGUCACUUGUUAUUAUGGAACAUAAUCCUUUGAGGGGCUUGUUCGGGGUAUCUUCACCCUGACCAGUAGAGCAAAGAGUUGCUCCUCAACCUACUGAACCUACUGAAAUUUUUUACUUGGAAAUUCCUUCAGGUAUGAUAGAGAAACUGCUAGCUAAUUGUCGGUGUCAAAACCGGCGGAUCUCGGGUAGGGGGUCCCGAACUGUGCGUCUAAGGCGGAUGGUAAUAGGAGGCAGGGGACAUGAUGUUUACCCAGGUUCGGGCCCUCUUGAUGGAGGUAAUACCCUACGUCCUGCUUGAUUGUUCUUGAUGAUAUGAGUAUUAGAAGAGUUGAUCUACCACGAGAUCGUAGAGGCUAAACCCUAGAAGUUCGCCUAUGGUAUGAUUGUCUGUUGUCCUAUGGAGUAAACCCUCCAGUUUAUUUAGACACCGGAGGGGGCUACGGUUACACAGAGUCGGUUACAAGGGAGGAGAUCUACAUAUUCGUAUUGCCAAGUUUGCCUUCCAUGCCAAGGAAAGUCCCAUCCGGACACGGGACGAAGUCUUCAAUCUUGUAUCUUCAUAGUCCAACAGUCUGGCCCAAGGAUAUAGUCUGGCUGUCCGGAGACCCCCUAAUCCAGGACUCCCUUAGUAGCCCCUGAACCAGGCUUCAAUGACGAUGAGUCCGGCGCGCAGUUUUGUCCUCGGCAUUGCAAGGCGGGUUCCUCCUCCGAAUACUCCAUAGAAGAUUUUGAACACAAGGAUAGUGUCCGACUCUGCAAAAUAAGUUCCGCAUACCACCGUAGAGAGAAUAAUAUUUCCACAAAUCUAACCUGCUGACACGUUUAGCAACAUGAUAUCAUGUCAUGGCCCGGUCAUUAUUCGAACCGUUUUUCUCAACCAGCACUGCACAUAUCGUGAGGUGAUUUUCUUGACACGUCUUGUCAAAGCAGAGACCGUGUCCCUUAUCACGGGAUUCUCAUCAAUAUGGAUGUGGGUAACCCAACCGCGCCAUCAAUUACGGUGCUUGGGGAAUAAGAGGUUUUACCAGGUGAGUGGGGAGGCACACCGCCUCUUCUGCGCUUAUAAAGGGACAAGCGUUCACUCUUUUCACCCACGCGUUCUUCCCGAUUCAUUCCCUUCUGCUCAGGCUCCAGUGCCCAAGCGUUCCUCUUCUCUGCCCACAAAAGGCCUUCCAAAGAUGUCCGGAUCCGGAGCAGGAGGCAAAUGGAUGGCCUCUACCGUUCGAGAGAAGGAUAUCAAAAAGCUUCGGGAGGCUGGGUAUCUGGCCAAGAAAAUCAGCCACCGUCUCCCGACGGCGGGACAGAUCGUCCCUACACCGGAACCCCAAGAGAGGGUUGUAUUCCUCCCUCUUUUUGUCCGCGGGCUAGGGUUUCCCCUCCACCCAUUCAUUCGCGGCAUCAUGUACUAUUAUGGGAUCGAUCUUCACAAUCUGUCCCCUAAUUCCUUCCUCAACAUAUCAAAAUUUAUUGUCGUGUGCGAGGCUUUCCUCCGCAUUUCGCCGCACUUCGGUUUAUGGCUGAAGGUUUUUAAUGUGAAGCCCAAGGUGGUGGGCGGCGAGCACACCGAGUGCGGGGGCGCUAUAGUGAGCAAGAUGCCCAACGUCAUAUGGCCAACGGGAACCUUUAAUGAUUCUGUCAAGGAGUGGCAACAGCAGUGGUUUUACAUCACUGAGCCGUGCGGCAAGGAAUGGGCCGCCUCUCCCGAGUUUUGAUCCGGCGCCCCUCUGCGGCUUACAUCCUGGGUCAAGAAAGGCCUGGACUGGUCCUCGUCCGAUGAACUGUCGGUGCUUCAGACGCGCGUUAAAGAUAUGGGAGAUAAGAACAUUGAACUUGUCAACGUAGUCCAGGCGAUGUUAGUCCGCCGGAUACUGCCUUGUCAACACCGGACUUGCAAUCUAUGGGAUUUUGAUCCGGCCAGGCACCAAACUUUGCAAAAUUUCUUCGGCUCCUCGCACGAGGACAUUUGGAAGGUGCUUUUCAAGUCCAGCAAAUCAUGGCCGGACUCCGCCGAAGACCGCAGGUACAAACUGUCCCGCCCUGCAAGUUCGGUGAGUUUAUCAAACUUUUCUAUCCGCAUGACCCAAAGGAAGCGCUUAACGCAUGUUUAUUCAACUCCCCCAGAGCUGGACGAAGAAGGCGGAGCGGAUCCAUUGUCCGGUCCCGCUGCCAAAAUACUUGGCCAUGCCACUUCUGACGAAGAUGCUGGUCCCGGCGCCCUACAAGGUGUCGAAGAAGACGGCCGAAAAGGAGGCCAAAAAGACCCGGGGCGGCCCUCGUCAUCGCGGCAGUUCGGACAUAAUACCCGAAGGCUCUGAUGCCCGUUCCGCCUCCGAAGAGUAUAAAAAGGAGGAGGAAGCUGAAUCCCCUGCGGAGGGAAGGAGGAAGAGGACGGCCUCCGCACCCUUGGAGGCCGAACUGCCCAAAAGGGGAAGGGCUUCUCUUCCGGAGGAGUCCACUGCCGCCACUGACAGUGACCUGGCAUGGGAUCCCAGGGCCCAGCCCCUGGUCAACUCGUAAGUAUAUAAAAUCCGAGUACGUUUAAGCGUCCGGAUUCAUCGUGGCUUAGUAUUUUAACCUUAAGCCAUAUUUUUUGGUAGUCCAGUGAGGUCCCGUACCAAACAAUCCUCAUUAGAGGACCUGCUGAGCUCGAAUGCUGUGGAGAGUGGGACGCCCCAAAAGGCCCCUUCCUCCAAACAGGUGCAUAACACCGAGGCUUCAUCCCAGGAGGACCCCGGCCAAGGAGGAAAGGAAGAAACUGUGAAGGCGGCGCCUGGAGGUCACACCGCAGGGGCCGGACACGUGGGAGAAAAGAUUCCCAUAGGGUCUGACGGCGGGGGCGACCUUGAGUUCGGCUCCUCACCGGAUGCGAUUCCAGAGGUUUAUACGUCUCCAGAAUCAAGAAGACAACCUCCUUCAGCUGGAGGGAGCGUGCCUGUUCCGCCGGCGACCUCUGUCCAUCCAGAGGUGUCAGAUGCUUUGUUGGUGGCGUUACGAGACGCCUCCGUUGUUGACAAACACCAUGCCCUUAUGGGUGCGGUGAUUGAGACGAUUCAGUCAACCGAGAGUGGACUGAAUGAAGCCUGUAUUAGCCUUAUAAGAGGCUUUGAGGUAUGUUUUAUAAGUUGCCGAAGAGUGUCAUAGUAUAUAUAGUAGCCCCUAAUACCCUAUUCGGUGAAAGAAGGAACCGGAGAAGGGAUCAUAUUGAUGAUCACAGGAAGACUCAUUGAGCGAUAUUGAUUUCUCUUCUGUUCCAAGCAGAUAUGUGUAUCGGCUGCUGCCUCUCAUACUGCAAAGAUCUCCAGACUGAAUCAAAGUCUAGAGUGGGCCAUAGGAGAAAUUGACCAAGUAAAAAUGCAGUUGAGGGAUAUACAAGGUAUGCACAAGCGUUGCGCGCAUUUAUUGUGAAAUAAAUGUUCAGUAUGAAAUAAGCCGCAUAAUUUGUGCUAGGGGUUAUGACCGAAGUCGAGGCCCUCAAAAGGGCCGUUGCUGAGGACAAGAAAAAGGCGGCCAUGGAGCGGACUCUUCGUGAGAAACACGAAGCCAGAGUUAUUAAAGCUGAGCAGGAGCUACAAGAGGCCGUAAGUAAAUGCGAGGCCUUGGAGCAGAGUUUAACGGAGAAAGAGUCCGAACUCACCAAGGCGCGUCAAGCCACGAGCGACGCCCGGGGAGAAACCCAAAGCGCCCUGCAGGGGAUCGAAGAGGUGAGGAAGAUCGCGGCGGGUAAGGCUUUUCUCAUGUAAAGCAAGUAUUUGAAGAGAAAACUAUGUUUCUGAUUGUGAAUCCGGACUUCUCAGGUGUAUUUGCCGAGCUACCUCACAGUACAUCAGAUGCUGCUCAAUUCUACCGAGCCGAAGGAAGGAACACCGCCGAUAAGAUCUUUUGGUCGCAAUAUUUGGCACCGAAUUAUCCGGUGCCUUUUGCUGAUCAACUGAAACAGCUGAUCGAACUGCAUAAGGCGGCAGAACUAGCCAUGAAAGAUAUGGUUAUCCGGCUAUGGCCUGCCGAGCCGAUUCCAAGCAGCUACUUCGGGCUCGUGAGGCGGCUUGUAAGCGCUUGCCCUCGACUUGACGUCAUCAAGCGGUCGGUCUAUAUAGAAGGAGCGUGAAUGGACUUCGCCCUCGCAAAGGUGAACUGGGGGAAGAUGGAUGCCGAAAAGCUAGUGACCGAGGGACCGCCAGAGGGGAAGGAGCACUUCAAGCCCGAAUUGUAUUAUAAGAGUAUCCUGAAAGGAUCCUACCUUGCAGCGGAGCUAUGUACCAAGGACAUUAUAUUUCCAUGAAUGCCGAUCAUGUUGUCCUUUGUAAUGUUUGAACAAGGUUGUUUAUCUGUCGCCUGUUAUAUAAAAGUUUACCCUCCUGUGCGGCCGUUUGUAUGUCAAGGCUGAGAGUUGGCCAGUCGUCGACUUUUGCCCCCACGUAAUAAGUACGGGGGUGUUCAGGAUAAACCUGAGCACUCUUUAUCCCAGUUUUGGGUCCUCCGAAGGAGGUGCUCAGCACAACGAACCAGGCAGUCGGACUAUAGGGCUUUAUCACUCUCACUUAGCCAUAGGAGCUUUAGUAUGGUCGGCGCAACCCCUUGUGUUCAGAAGACCGUACUAGGGGCUCCAUAAGCGCCUGAUCGGAGAAAAAGCCGAUCCAUCGCACACUGCAUUGGUUAUGGCAUUAUGCGAGAGAAAUCCUUAAAGAUUUUGUGACCGCUCGAACAGCUGACCAUCUCUCACCGUAUCAUGAUAGUCAGUUUUCGGCUUUCUCUACUGAGGUGCUCAUCCGGAAGAACCUGGACACAAUCGCGGUAGUUCUCCUAGUGCUACCUUAGCCGGUAUAGUGGAACGUAAGGUACCAAAACAUGGGAGCCGGGCAAACCCAACUAUUGACCCAAGACAUGAUUCGGAGCUGAUGCAUAUAAUGCUAUAAGUUCGGGGUGCCGAACUUCCAUGAAGGUGUUCGGACUUUUAUUGCCGUGUUACGGGGAAAACGAAGCCCCUGGCAUAUUUAAGGCAUAUCGCUGUGUACGGAUGCCAUUUGACAAAAUGAUUUCGAUAAAAAAUAAUCAGCAGGUAAAUGUCAGGACCCCGACUCAAUGCCACAUCGAUCUAGCAUGUAACACCUCAUAUCACUUUGCGGCCUCACGCACGGUAUUCCCACGGGUGUCGCCUUACCUUUGCCCGGGACUGUUUGCGCCUUUUGGCACACGUAUAUGACAGUGUCGCUAGCAUCCAUAUGAUAAGGAGCCCGGGCUGACAUGGCUAGUCGUAAACCCAAAGCGGCACAGACUUACAGGGACAGGCAUCCAUGACCCAGCAUCGAACGUGUCGGUCAUCAGCGAGUGAAUCCAGGCUGUAGCACUGGGCUAGCAGGACUCCGGUGAACCGGGCUGUAGCGGGCUAACAGGACUCCGGUAUUCACCGCGUGACAUUUCCCCGAAGGGACAGACACAGGAACGAAGAAGGACACAUGCCGGCCAGCCUAAGUGUUCCGGAGCAGUAGCAAGCUACCAUGGCUCGGUGGAAACACUAGGAGACAUUUCUCCGUAAGAGAGGCUACUAAAGAUAAACAACUAGAUGGUCAGAUCCCACACAUACCAAGCAUUUCAAUAACAUACACACAAUAUGCUCGAUAUGUGCAAAUACAACAUGGCAUCACAACAUGACUCUAUGACUCAAGUAAUCUAUUCAAUAGGCUCCGAGGAGCGAGAUAUUACAAACAUGGGUCUCAUGACCCAACAUUCAGAGCAUACAAAUCAAGCACAAGCGGAAGCUAUCAUGUCUGAGUACAGACAUCUAUAAAUGAAAAAGGCUGAGAAGCCUGACUAUCUACCAAAUCCUGCCGAGGCACAAGAUCGUAGCUGAGGUAACAAGCUAAACGUCGAAGACCACGCGGAAAUACUAGUGAGACUGAAGUCUCUCUGAAAAAACACAAAAUAGGCAAACGUGAGUACAAAUGUACCCAGCAAGACUUACAUCAGAACUAUCUACAUAUGCAUCAAUAUCAACAAAGGGAUGGUGGGGUUUAACUGCAGCAAGCCAGCUUUGACUCGGUGGCUAUCCUGAACUACGACUGCGAGUAACUUUUUUGAGGUGGCGCACACGAGUCCACAUAUUCACCAUAUCAAUACACCACUAUGGAUCCGCUCACGUCUCCCUACGAGAACGCCAUCCAUAGCACUCACGCUUAUCUUGCGUAUUUUAGAGUAUCCACUUUCACUUGUCUAUGAACUGAUAUAAGCAACCCAGAAGUCCUUUUCCGUGGACACGGCUAUUCGAAUAGAUUAGGUUAACCCUGCAGGGGUGUACUUCUUCACACACGCUCUCACCACUUACCGCCGUUUACAUGACAUGUACUCGGCAACCUUCAAGCGGAAGCCCAACGUGGGUGUCGGCCAUGGCCUGCCUAAACACUCAAGUCUCUAGUCCAGGUUUAUCGCCUAUUCGGGUUCCAUCCAUGAGGAGAUCCGGCCGGAGUUUCGCUCACAGCCCCAAACGAUGUGUACAGGGUUCCGUGACACCAAACGGGUGCCCGGUUUACCCGGCCACGUGCCUACCGCAUCACAGCCCACCCCUACGAUCAGCGCUGUCCAUGGCCUCCAGCAUACUACAAACACCAGAAACUACUUGCAACUCCUGGACAGAGGACAAGGGUGAUUAAGAAGCCGAGAGGGUCCAUUGGUUUCGGGCCCAAUGCGUGGUAGUAGCUGAAUCAUGGAUCACAAACACAGAACUCAGUUCCUGAGGACGGCUGCAAUGAGACAACCCACCAUGUACUCCUACAUGGCCUCUCACCGCUACCUUUACCAAAUCGUGUUCACACACUUAGCUCACACACAGUAGGACAUGUUCACACACCUCUGAUUCAUCCCCGAUGAAUCAGACCUGACUCAACUCUAAGCAGUAGCAGGCAUGACAAACAAACAUGAAUGAGUAGGCACAACAGGGCUCAAACAACUCCUACUCAUGCUAGUGGGUUUCAUCUAUUUACUGUGGAAUGACAGGUCAUGUAAAGGAUAAAGGGGUUCAGCUACCGCAGCAAGUAACAGAUGAAUCGAUGUUGUCCUAAUGCAGUAAAAGAGAGCAGGAGCGAGAGAGUGGGAUUUUAUCGGAAUGAACAAGGGGGGUUUUUGCUUGCCUGGCACUUCUGAAGAUAACAUUGAGUCUUCAUCAGUGUCAACGAUCACAUCAUCGGUAUCACGUCUAUCGAGAGGGGACAAAUACCGGCAACAAAGAAGAAAUACAAUCAAUGCAAUGCACAAUAUGAUGCAUGCUAUGACAUGGCAAUAUGAAUGUGUUUUGGGCUAAUGCGACUAGCAACAGAUUAAAUGAAGUUGGUUUGAAUACAAGAUUCAAAUUCAAACUCCAUAUGUGAUUAUUUAAAUGUCAUUCACUUCAUUUGCUCUAAACAGUAGUGAUAAGUUGUUCUAACAUGCAUGAAAAUGGUACAGAUGGAUUCCUUGAAUUUUUCUGAUAAUUUUUCAUAUAUAAAUUAUUUAAUUUGGAGUUACGGUUAAUUUUCUAUGAAUUAUUGAAGUUUAGGGCAUUUUCUGAUAUUUCCUGAAUAUUUAGAAUUAGAAUAAUUCCAGAAAAUGAAUUAUGGCGUCAGCACCACGUCACUGUGACGUCAGCAGUCAACUGGGCUGGCUCGGGUCAAACCUGACAUGUGGGGGCCACACGUUAGUGACACAGUGCUGGCUGGAGUCACAGACAUGUGGGGCCGGUCAAAGGCCACGUCAGCGAGGUCAACGCCGACGCGUGGGGCCACUGCAAUUAGAUUAGACUUAAUCUAUUUUAGUUAGCCGGUUAGUUAGGCCGUGGGGCCCGGCUGUCAGUGGCUCUGGGGGGUUAGUUAGUGGGGUCAUUAGCGCUAAUGACGACGCCACGUCAGAUACGCCGGCGAUGAGUCGCCGGUGACCACAGAACACGGCGGGGCACGCCGGACUUGCGCUAGAGGCGUCAGUUUGGCGCGCUGAGGGCACCAGGGGAUGGCCCUUGCUCCCGCGCAUCUAGAGGACCGAGUGGGAGGUCGUGGGGUCGACGGAGCUCGUCGGAACGGAGCUCGCGGCGGCGCCGGAGUUCGGUGAGUGCGGGGCUGGCGCUGUGGUGCACGGGAGGGCGAGUUAGGAUAGGCGUUAGACUCCUGGUGGCUUCCUGAGUGCGGUGACACGCUCCGAGACGAGCUCAAGCGGCUGUAGUGACGGCGGUGACGAGGUCAGCGGCGGCCGGAGUUCGGCCGCGGCGGAGCUAUGGCCUAGAGCUCGCAAACGCGAGGGGAGAGAGAGGGGUUCUGCACGGAGGCUCACCGCGGAGCUGUAGGGAGGGUUAGUGGGCUCGGGGGCGGCCGGAGUGCAGCGAAUCGACGGCGACGACCUCCGGUGGCCGAGGAGGGGAACGGCGACGUGGGCGGCGAUGCAGGGCGUCCGGGGCCUCGUGGCUUGGUGGAGAGGAAGAGGGGGUCGAGGCGGAGCCUCUGGGCUAGUCGGGGGAGCGAGGGAGGCCCGGCGGCCAUGGCUACGGCGAGCGGCGCUCUCAGGUGCGUUCGGUGACGAGAGGGAGGAAGAACAGAGGAGGAGGAGGGGGUCCAGAGAGAGAGAGGCGGUCGAGGGGGGUCGAGGCCGUCUCCGUGGCGUCGCGAGGGGGUCGGGGAGGCUGCCACGGCGAAGCAGGAGGUGGCCGGCGUCGGCGCGCGUGCGUCCAGCACGCAGCUGCUUCGUGCGCUGGCACGGGAAGAAGAUAGGAGAAGGGGGCCAGGUGGGCUGGGCCGCUGGGGGAGCUGGACCGGGCAGGUAAGCAGGUAAGUGGCCCAGGUGGCCUCUCUCCCCUUUUUUUCUAUUUUGUUUCUCUUUUCUAUUUCUGUAGUUUUGUUUCUGAUUUAGUUUAUAGCCCAAAUCAUUUUAAUAAAUCCUGCAAAUAAUUGUGGCCACUAAAAGAAUUAUUACAGAGGCCCUUAACUAUUUUCAGAAUUGUUGGAGCAUUUAAAAAUAUUAAUAGUAUUUAAAUGCCCCAAUUCAAAUACAAUAUGGAUUAUUCAAAAAUCCAUAAUGGCCCAAAAAUAUUGGCAUCAUUUUUGGUAGAGGUUUUUCACCUUUGUCAAAAAUCAUGAACAUUUUUGAAAGCCAUUUGGACUUACUUGAAAGUAUUUUAGGUGAACCUAGUGAAUUCCUUUAAUGCUAGGGUUUGAGCAAUCCCCAUUUCAAAUUUCAUAAAAUUUAAACAUGUUGCAUGGAUGCUAAAGCAAAAACAAACAAGGGCUGAUCUGGGGCUGUGACAGCUCACCCCCACUAACAAAAAUCUCGUCCCGAGAUUCAAGCGUAGGGUAAGGUGAAGGGGAAACGCAAACUAGUAUAAUCUUCAUGAUCCAGGGUGCACUUCAAAUGAACGUUGAUUUGAACACCAUCAUUGUCUUGUCGUCUUGCUCUGAGAACUUCAGCUAAUCAUGACAAGAAGAGGAAAGGAAAACUCUAGAACAAUCGAUCUUCGAGAAGACCGAACAACUUAGGAUCAACUCAUGGGAUGAGAUAUAGCAACAUCUCUUGAGCUGAGAGACGAAGCACAGAUCCGAAGAAAUGGAGUAAGACAAAUGACGAGGGUUUGCUAAGUAGACAACAAUUCCAGACUUAAGAAUGUGGCGAUCGGUUGUCAACGUAGCGAGGAGUUGGAUUGCCAUGAUACCACAACGAGGCAUCUUAGGGAUGGUGACUCGUAGAUAUAUCCCCUUAAGUGGCAAAAAGAAUUACCUUUGAUUCAAAGAUCAUUGAAACUCUUUUUACCAGCCUAAGGCAAUCACAAGCAAUCGAUUGGCGGGGUCGGUAGAAUGGCAUACUCGGACUUGGAUGAUGUGGAUUACCUUGUUGAAGACAACGUAAUGGAUGAAUUUGCUUAUCACCGGAAAUGGAUGAGACCCAUGGUAGAAUGGCACAUUGGUGGUGCAAGCUGGGAACAAAAUGCAAAUGCUGGAAAUGAUUCUGGUAACUGGGGAAGAACCCAACAAUAGGGAGUGAAUUCGCUGUUUGAAAAGAUCAUAGCAUUGCCGAGGAAACUGAGAGCAUCCCAAUUAGUGUCGAUGAUAACACCUAGCGCUUGUGCGUGCUCUCAAGAACUUGAGCAUUUCCAUAAUCAUCAAGGUUUUAUCAACAUCCGUGUCAAGGGUGCUGACAAGACAACAUACUACCAUGAUGGCUAAUGAUGGAUGAUGCAGAUGCAAAGGAAGAUAACACCUUCUCAGAUUUCACCUUAGCGAGGCCAAGGAAACAAAAUCUAGAUGAUCGACCGAGAGACAUUUAGCACUCCGCUUCUAAUGUUCUCCUUGAUGUGCUAGUGUAUCCCAUUCAUUGAAAUGGUUUGGUAUCUAGAACAUCAAGUAAAGGUCGGACUUCGGGAACACAAAGAUCCAUAGGGGCAACUAGGGAGUAAAUCCUACGAAAUCCCUAUGGGGAGGUGGCCAAUUCCAUCAAAUAAGAUACUAUAAUAAUAGGUCUACCGGAUGGGUGUGUUGGCCACGACAUCCACCUUACCGGUUAUCGAGAGACCAAUAUUAUAGUUCUUGGGAAAUGUUCCAACCCAUCAUAUCUGCCUAAGAUUCAGAUCUGGUUGGUGUCAGGAUAUUCCAAACUCAUCGAGUCUAGGAAGAAAAAUAAAAGUUUGCAACACAAAUCGAUGAGAUGACGUUGCGAGAUUCUCGGGAGACGAACUACGAUAGCAAGCUCCAAAACAUGAGCUGGUUCUGCUACAAACAUGUGAACAUGUUGUCCAAGACAAGCAUGACCACAAAGUAGUCUUAUAAUAAAACACUACCGAAUUCAGGAGGGGAACCAUCAUCGAGGAUAUCGAAGUCCUUGCAUAAGGUAUACUCUAAAGAAGGAACUUCUUCUCCUUGAACAAUUCAAUCAGUGGCUUGGUGUGCUAGGGACACAUAUAGAUUGAAGGUUGCAAGUCUUCAAACCACAGAAUUCUUCGCACGUGUGCAUGACUGAUUUGGAAUGAUUCCAAGAAAACAACAUUGACUUUCUCGAAUCCACGGCGGCAACUUGCAUCAGAUGCACAUGAAUUAAAGGAAGUCACUACCUUCAUCCAAACAUAUGCUUCAUGAGCUAGCAUGAACAAAUGCUUUCAAAAAUUUCCAACACUAGCUUAAUGUUCAACAAAAUUAUGGAGGAGAUAAGGAUGUUGUCAAUGGGCUCAACAACAAUUCAUCUAGGUUUCCUUUUAAAAGGAAUUCCAUAGUUAAGUGAACACGGUGAUAGCAUUGGUCAGGCCAAAGAUAUAAUGGUGUAUGCUCGAGGAAUCAACCACAAGUAAGACAACAUUACGAAUAUCGUUGGUUCUGAUUUGAUUUGACGAUAGCCCACACUCAAAUCAAAGGAUUGAUAAGACAAUAGAUCCAGCAACUGAUCACAGGGACCAAUCGAUGAAGAUAUCAUCUUUCUUCAACACACACUACACAAGAAUAUCCCUUUGGAACGAACUAAGUCAGGCAAGCUUUUAUCUUCCAACUCUCCAAGUCGUUGUCUAACUUAACCAACUAGCUCAGGGAUAUCCAACACAGAUUCUUGGAGAAGGAUGGUUCACAAAAAACCAACUUGAUCACAAGCUCAACAUAGCGGUCAGGUGACAACCUGGUAAUACUUCUGAGAAGAUAUUCAGAGAAUCACGAGCCACCGGUAUGUUACUAAGCUCGAGAACAAUCUUGCUUUUCAGGGCAAGACGAUAUGAUCAAUAGAGCAAGAAUUUGAAAUAAUCCUAACUCAUCGAUCGAGGAGUGGACCAGGAGAAUGGACUAGGUAGCACGAUCAAUCUUAGAAUGAUGAUUCAAUAACCAACACACUAAGAAUAAAAUUAUUGUCCUUUAACUACCCAGCAACGAGGUUGCUAGGCGUAUUGAUUUCACACAUCACAAUUCAUUUGUCGGUAUUCCGGUUGCAUCAACACGAAGACCGAGGAAUGACUAAUGACGGCAAGAAGUAUCACUGUACCAGGAGUUCAUAGGAUGGGGUGCAAUUCCUAUAACAAUCCCGAUUUAAAGAUGGUAAUACUCCAAGGUAGAACAGAACGAAAGCUGGAUUAGCAAUUUGAUCUGCGGAGCACAACUUCUCUGACCCAAUCCUGGAUAUGGAAGAGGUACUAGAGUUUGUUUCUCCUAGUCAUUCUGCGAUGGAAUGGCUUGACGGACCACAAGAGUAAUAGGCAUCGAUAAACGAACGCACGCAUACUCUUGACUAUCAAUUGAUAGACGAGGGUCAGAAUGCAACUAAAGAGAACAACUCAAAGGAACAUAUAAUUUUCUGAGUUGUGGAUGCAUAGAUUAGUAUGUCGAACCAAGUUCAACAUAUUUCUCCCGGAUAACCCAUGCAGAAAGGUAGAACUGGCAGAGUCACGAUUUAUGAAUGGAGAACUCCUCAAGAAUAAUCCUGUUGUGAUAUUUCAGUUCAACGAGGAACUUCUGCCAUAAGUAGUUCAUGGUACCUGGAAGAAGAAGAUACCACGGGCUUCAAGGACUAUCGCAAAGGUUACUAAUAACCUAAGGGAGCUAGCAAUUACUAUCGACAUGAAGUAAGUAGAGUGAAUCUCGGGUUCAAGAACCCAGGAAUAGAAUACCUACUACUAAGUAGCAUCACGGAAUGCUUUCGAGAAUGGUGGCCAGAAUCCUCACACUGGGAGCACAAAUCAUGGCUAAAUUACUAGAUGAUCCCCUAAGACACCUAGGGUCAUAAUACUAGCUCCAACAUAUAUGUCAAGGCAAUAAAGUACCUCAACUCACUGACUAGUGUGGCUAAUCUGGCCCAAAGGAACAUCGAAACGGGAAGAAAGGAUUUGCAAAUUGCAUCAGAUUGUAUAGAAACCUGGGAUGACUCGGACAGCAUAACGGCUGUAAAUGCUCAGAAAAGAUUUGAGACAUUCACAAAAUGGUGGCAUAACCACUCAGAAGCACGAUAUCAAGGUUUCGAGAUCAACAAUUAACAUACGGAAGUAGUAGAAACUGAACUCAAGCUUAAAUCCAACAAUCUUAUAAGUCUACGGAUUAGUAACACGUGAUCCUAAUAGAAAGAAGAGAUAGCCUAGUUCUUAAUCCCCGUAGAAGAGAAGAUGAUGACUCAGAUCAGAAGGCCAUGAGGUAUAAGGAGUAAAAAGAGCCUUACGUUCCAUCCCACAAUCAAUUCCCUUAUAUAACUAAGAAUUUCUAGACUCAACUUCGACCAGUUUGGCUUGGUAAUCCUACAGGAAGUCAAGCUCUGAUACCAACGCUGUCAGGACCCCGACUCAAUGCCACAUCGAUCUAGCAUGUAACACCUCAUAUCACUUUGCGGCCUCACGCACGGUAUUCCCACGGGUGUCGCCUUACCUUUGCCCGGGACCGUUUGCGCCUUUUGGCACACGUAUAUGACAGUGUCGCUAGCAUCCAUAUGAUAAGGAGCCCGGGCUGACAUGGCUAGUCGUAAACCCAAAGCGGCACAGACUUACAGGGACAGGCAUCCAUGACCCAGCAUCGAACGUGUCGGUCAUCAGCGAGUGAAUCCAGGCUGUAGCACUGGGCUAGCAGGACUCCGGUGAACCGGCCUGUAGCGGGCUAACAGGACUCCGGUAUUCACCGCGUGACAUUUCCUCGAAGGGACAGACACAGGAACGAAGAAGGACACAUGCCGGCCAGCCUAAGUGUUCCGGAGCAGUAGCAAGCUACCAUGGCUCGGUGGAAACACUAGGAGACAUUUCUCCGUAAGAGAGGCUACUAAAGAUAAACAACUAGAUGGUCAGAUCCCACACAUACCAAGCAUUUCAAUAACAUACACACAAUAUGCUCGAUAUGUGCAAAUACAACAUGGCAUCACAACAUGACUCUAUGACUCAAGUAAUCUAUUCAAUAGGCUCCGAGGAGCGAGAUAUUACAAACAUGGGUCUCAUGACCCAACAUUCAGAGCAUACAAAUCAAGCACAAGCGGAAGCUAUCAUGUCUGAGUACAGACAUCUAUAAAUGAAAAAGGCUGAGAAGCCUGACUAUCUACCAAAUCCUGCCGAGGCACAAGAUCGUAGCUGAGGUAACAAGCUAAACGUCGAAGACCACGCGGAAAUUCUAGUGAGACUGAAGUCUCUCUGCAAAAACACAAAAUAGGCAAACGUGAGUACAAAUGUACCCAGCAAGACUUACAUCAGAACUAUCUACAUAUGCAUCAUUAUCAACAAAGGGAUGGUGGGGUUUAACUGCAGCAAGCCAGCUUUGACUCGGUGGCUAUCCUGAACUACGACUGCGAGUAACUUUUUUGAGGUGGCGCACACGAGUCCACAUAUUCACCAUAUCAAUACACCACUAUGGAUCCGCUCACGUCUCCCUACGAGAACGCCAUCCAUAGCACUCACGCUUAUCUUGCGUAUUUUAGAGUAUCCACUUUCACUUGUCUAUGAACUGAUAUAAGCAACCCAGAAGUCCUUUUCCGUGGACACGGCUAUUCGAAUAGAUUAGGUUAACCCUGCAGGGGUGUACUUCUUCACACACGCUCUCACCACUUACCGCCGUUUACACGACAUGUACUCGGCAACCUUCAAGCGGAAGCCCAACGUGGGUGUCGGCCACGGCCUGCCUAAACACUCAAGUCUCUAGUCCAGGUUUAUCGCCUAUUCGGGUUCCAUCCAUGAGGAGAUCCGGUCGGAGUUUCGCUGACAGCCCCAAACGAUGUGUACAGGGUUCCGUGACACCAAACGGGUGCCCGGUUUACCCGGCCACGUGCCUACCGCAUCACAGCCCACCCCUACGGUCAGCGCUGUCCACGGCCUCCAGCAUACUACAAACACCAGAAACUACUUGCAACUCCUGGACAGAGGACAAGGGUGAUUAAGAAGCCGAGAGGGUCCAUUGGUUUCGGGCCCAAUGCGUGGUAGUAGCUGAAUCAUGGAUCACAAACACAGAACUCAGUUCCUGAGGACGGCUGCAAUGAGACAACCCACCAUGUACUCCUACAUGGCCUCUCACCGCUACCUUUACCAAAUCGUGUUCACACACUUAGCUCACACACAGUAGGACAUGUUCACACACCUCUGAUUCAUCCCCGAUGAAUCAGACCUGACUCAACUCUAAGCAGUAGCAGGCAUGACAAACAAACAUGAAUGAGUAGGCACAACAGGGCUCAAACAACUCCUACUCAUGCUAGUGGGUUUCAUCUAUUUACUGUGGAAUGACAGGUCAUGUAAAGGAUAAAGGGGUUCAGCUACCGCAGCAAGUAACAGAUGAAUCGAUGUUGUCCUAAUGCAGUAAAAGAGAGCAGGAGCGAGAGAGUGGGAUUUUAUCGGAAUGAACAAGGGGGGUUUUUGCUUGCCUGGCACUUCUGAAGAUAACAUUGAGUCUUCAUCAGUGUCAACGAUCACAUCAUCGGUAUCACGUCUAUCGAGAGGGGACAAAUACCGGCAACAAAGAAGAAAUACAAUCAAUGCAAUGCACAAUAUGAUGCAUGCUAUGACAUGGCAAUAUGAAUGUGUUUUGGGCUAAUGCGACUAGCAACAGAUUAAAUGAAGUUGGUUUGAAUACAAGAUUCAAAUUCAAACUCCAUAUGUGAUUAUUUAAAUGUCAUUCACUUCAUUUGCUCUAAACAGUAGUGAUAAGUUGUUCUAACAUGCAUGAAAAUGGUACAGAUGGAUUCCUUGAAUUUUUCUGAUAAUUUUUCAUAUAUAAAUUAUUUAAUUUGGAGUUACGGUUAAUUUUCUAUGAAUUAUUGAAGUUUAGGGCAUUUUCUGAUAUUUCCUGAAUAUUUAGAAUUAGAAUAAUUCCAGAAAAUGAAUUAUGGCGUCAGCACCACGUCACUGUGACGUCAGCAGUCAACUGGGCUGGCUCGGGUCAAACCUGACAUGUGGGGGCCACACGUCAGUGACACAGUGCUGGCUGGAGUCACAGACAUGUGGGGCCGGUCAAAGGCCACGUCAGCGAGGUCAACGCCGACGCGUGGGGCCACUGCAAUUAGAUUAAACUUAAUCUAUUUUAGUUAGCCGGUUAGUUAGGCCGUGGGGCCCGGCUGUCAGUGGCUCUGGGGGGGUUAGUUAGUGGGGUCAUUAGCGCUAAUGACGACGCCACGUCAGAUACGCCGGCGAUGAGUCGCCGGUGACCACAGAACACGGCGGGGCACGCCGGACUUGCGCUAGAGGCGUCAGUUUGGCGCGCUGAGGGCACCAGGGGAUGGCCCUUGCUCCCGCGCAUCCAGAGGACCGAGUGGGAGGUCGUGGGGUCGACGGAGCUCGUCGGAACGGAGCUCGCGGCGGCACCGGAGUUCGGUGAGUGCGGGGCUGGCGCUGUGGUGCACGGGAGGGCGAGUUAGGAUAGGCGUUAGACUCCUGGUGGCUUCCUGAGUGCGGUGACACACUCCGAGACGAGCUCAAGCGGCUGUAGUGACGGCGGUGAUGAGGUCAGCGGCGGCCGGAGUUCGGCCGCGGCGGAGCUAUGGCCUAGAGCUCGCAAACGCGAGGGGAGAGAGAGGGGUUCUGCACGGAGGCUCACCGCGGAGCUGUAGGGAGGGUUAGUGGGCUCGGGGGCGGCCGGAGUGCAGCGAAUCGACGGCGACGACCUCCGGUGGCCGAGGAGGGGAACGGCGACGUGGGCGGCGAUGCAGGGCGUCCGGGGCCUCGUGGCUUGGUAGAGAGGAAGAGGGGGUCGAGGCGGAGCCUCUGGGCUAGUCGGGGGAGCGAGGGAGGCCCGGCGGCCAUGGCUACGGCGAGCGGCGCUCUCAGGUGCGUUCGGUGACGAGAGGGAGGGAGAACAGAGGAGGAGGAGGGGGUCCAGAGAGAGAGAGGCGGUCGAGGGGGGUCGAGGCCGUCUCCGUGGCGUCGCGAGGGGGUCGGGGAGGCUGCCACGGCGAAGCAGGAGGUGGCCGGCGUCGACGCGCGUGCGUCCAGCACGCAGCUGCUUCGUGCGCUGGCACGGGAAGAAGACAGGAGAAGGGGGCCAGGUGGGCUGGGCCGCUGGGGGAGCUGGGCCGGGCAGGUAAGCAGGUAAGUGGCCCAGGUGGCCUCUCUCCCCUUUUUUUUCUAUUUUGUUUCUCUUUUCUAUUUCUGUAGUUUUGUUUCUGAUUUAGUUUAUAGCCCAAAUCAUUUUAAUAAAUCCUGCAAAUAAUUGUGGCCAUUAAAAGAAUUAUUACAGAGGCCCUUAACUAUUUUCAGAAUUGUUGGAGCAUUUAAAAAUAUUAAUAGUAUUUAAAUGCCCCAAUUCAAAUACAAUAUGGAUUAUUCAAAAAUCCAUAAUGGCCCAAAAAUAUUGGCAUCAUUUUUGGUAGAGGUUUUUCACCUUUGUCAAAAAUCAUGAACAUUUUUGAAAGCCAUUUGGACUUACUUGAAAGUAUUUUAGGUGAACCUAGUGAAUUCCUUUAAUGCUAGGGUUUGAGCAAUCCCCAUUUCAAAUUUCAUAAAAUUUAAACAUGUUGCAUGGAUGCUAAAGCAAAAACAAACAAGGGCUAAAGCAAAAACGUCAUAUAAAUCCACAUGUUGUAUUUGAAUAAUACGUCUAUGCGUAUGGGUACAAGUAAUGUGAUAGAAAAAGGAGUUGUGAUAGCAGAACCUGCUUUGACCAGGGGGAAGAGGUUGAGUGCGGAUCCAUAUUGUAGCCAGACAUUCGCUGCGGGGAAUGUCUAAGGAUCUCCUGACGCGUUCGAGCUGCCUCUGUGGAGUCCGUUUUGGUCGGUGCAAAGGUGAACCUGCGAAGGAAAUAUAAGAAAUGUUUGCGUGCCGGAGGGCAGUUGAACCGCUGAGUUCGGCCUGUCAUGGCCUUCACCGGAGUGUUUAGUUGAGCUCUGGAUGAGCUGGGGUAUCCUUCCGCGAAGUAGUUCGGAGCCCCUUGACGGUGUCCGGGAGCCUGGGCGACGACUCAAGGUUCACCUGCAAGGUGCUACUCGUUGUUACUGCUGCUGAGGCAGUGAUGUAUUUGUUGGUGUCGAAGGAAGGUUCGGCCUUGCCAUGAACCGUGAUGACGCCGCGUGGACCGGGCAUUUUGAGCUUACGGUAGGCAUAAUGUGGCACCGCGUUGAAUCGAGCGAACGCGGUUCGCCCGAGCAGUGCUUGAUAGUCACUACGGAAAGGGGCGAUUUCGAAGAUUAACUCUUCGACACGGUAAUUUUCUGGUGAUCCAAAGAUUACCUUGAGGGAAAUGGAGCCUGUACAUCUAACCUCCAUACCUGGUAUGAUGCCUCUAAAAGUGGCUUUAGUGGGCUUGAUCACUGAAUGAUCGAUGCCCAUCUUUCGCAUUGUGUCCUGGUAAAGCAGAUUUAAACUGCUACCUCCGUCCAUAAGGACUUGACUGAGGUGGAACCCGUCUACUAUUGGGUCGAGGAUUAGUGUGGCUGGAUUGCCCCGAUUGGCGUUAACCGGACGAUCCGUGGGGUUGAAGGUGACCGGCCCUAGCUUAUAUUGUGGGACGGCGAGUUCCAUUGAGCCACCGUCCCUAAGGGUGCAUCUCUAGUCCAAGUGGGCAAUUUGGUUGGUAUUUACCACAUUCACCGAUUGAAUAUGGGGGGGAUUUCUUUUGCCCUCCUGUGUUCGGCGACCUGGGCUCUUUGUCGCUAUCGUCGCUUUGAGACCCCUCUUCGUUUUUGGCGCCUGCCUUGCCGGCUUGUUUGAAGACCCAGCAUUCUCUAUUGGUAUCACUACUAGGAAAAGGGCUAUAGAUAUUAUUGACACUAAUGGCGCACCAGGGAACUAGUGCGCCACUAUUAUAUACUAAUGGCGCACUAGUUGGUGAUGCGCCAUUAGUGUGGAAGACACUAAUGGCGCACCGGAAAAUAGGUGCGCCACUAGUGAUAAGUUUUUUCUUCACUUUUACAUACAUACUAAUGGUGCAUCCUACCGAAGUGCGCCAUUACUAGUUCUAACUAGUAAUGGCGCACCAGACAGGGAGUGCGCCAGUACUGAAUUUUUUUAUUCUUUUUUUGCAAAAGUACUAAUGGCGCACCGCCUCACAAUGCGCCAUUACUAGUUUAAACUACUAAUGGCGCACCCUGUAAAAGUGCGCCAUUAGUAUUUUUUUUUACUUUUCUGCAAAAUUACUAAUGGCGCACCACCUGCAGGUGCGCCAUUAGUAACCAGGGUUACUAAUGGCGGAUUUGCAGGUGGUGCGCCAUUAGUAACCUGGGACCCCAACAAGAUAUUUUGGACAGCCACACCUACCCACUCACUUUCCCCACUUCAUUCCCUCCACCUCCUUCUCCAAGCUUUCGGCUGCCUCCUCCUCCUCACCUCAUUUCCACCAUAGAUUCAUCAAAAUUAAGUGGUGAAAUUACCUUUUUUUUGAUAGGUAAGUAAGGGGAAAGCUAUCUUCAUGAUGUAGAUCUACUUUUUUUCACCCUAGCUCGCUCCAACAAUGUGCACAUGCACUUUUUGUGGCCUAGCUAGAUCUAUGUAUGUUUGUGGUGUUGCAUGUGUUUGUGGUGUUGCAUAUAUGUUUGUAUUUGUAGGUACCGGUAUUUGAAAUGCGAUAGUUGCCAAUAUUUUGCCGGAAUGUUGAUUCAUUUCCGUUUCGGCGAGAAUUUUGGCACUAUGCAUUCUUUUUGGUCCUAUUUUUAGGGAAGGUCAUGCCAAAUUUUUUCUUGGUUCUAAAAUAUCGUUUUGCUCUACCCCGCAGGCGACCAUGGUCCGCACGAUGACCGAAGGCAUCGUGAAUAGGUUUUUGAGCUCCGCGAAGGCCGAGAUGCUUCAAAAGAACGAGACGGAGAUAAGAUGUCCGUGUCGAAGAUGCAAGCUGAAGAGCCUUAUUGCGGACCCGGAUUCCGGGCAGGUGCGGGACCACCUGCUCUUGCAUGGUUUCAUGGAUGGCUAUCGGUGGCAAGGUGAUGAAGAUGACUAUGAAGUCGUCCAUGGGGGCCGGGCAAGAAAUGAGGAAGGGCAACAAGACAAGUACCACCGCCGCGAGGGCGGGCGAGAAGACGAAGAAUCUCCAGGACAUGAUCACGACGGUGAUGCUGUACACAGUCAUCAUGUAGAAGAUGUCGUACAUGAUGAUGAGGAAGAUCAAGAUGAAGGGCAUGAUCAUGAAGAUGAAGAUGCCGGAGCAGACGAGAUGGAGGCUGGGUGCAGGACCCUCAUAUUCAAGAGCCGCUUCUCAAGCAGACGGAUAAUGCAAGAGCUGCCGCCUGAGAGAAAGCCAAGCUGGAUCAACUAGAGAUAGACGUGGUUAGGAUUUCCAGAAGAAGAUGCCAUUCGUUUGAUGAGAAAUAAAAAGGAAUAUCGAGAAUUCGCGUGGCUGAAGCUGAAGCAGCUACUUUCGAAGUAACAGAAAGAAAAGCAACGACUGGAGUGGGGGAGUCAGAGUCGAAAAGAGGAUUCCUCGCUUCUUUCUCUCAUACAAAACCGUGCAUGAGACUUUCAUCUCGCACUGCUCCUAAGUGAUAAAAGAAAGAAAAAUGACCGACGCAUGCUUCGACGAGAACAUGUCAUUCUGGCACGAACGUCUUCCCAAGGGGAACAAGUGCCCGACCAGUUUCGAGGAGGCGAAGAAAAUCGUGUGUCCUCUGGAUUUACCGCACGUGAAAUACCAUGUGUGCAUGAACAAUUGCAUCAUUUAUCGGGACGAGCAUGCAGAGUCUACCAUAUGUCCGGUGUGCGGCGUCACUCGAUACAAGAAGAGGAAGAAAGCUCCUCGAAAAUCGGUAUGGUACUUUCCGAUCACUCCUCGUUUGCAGCGGUAUUUCGCGGACCCUAAGGUAGCAAAGCUCCUGCGUUGGCGCGCGGAUAGGGAGGAGAAGAAGCGGGAAGAUGACGGAAAUGAUCCGGAGAUAAAUAAAAAAGACAAGAUGUUGAGUCACCCUAAGGAUGCGAGCCAGUGCAAGCGUUGAACUUCGAAUACCCAGAAUUUGGGAAGGAUCCAAGGAACAUCGUGCUGGGCGCGAGCACCGAUGGUUUCAAUCCGUUUGGCAGCCAGAGAAGCACACAUAGCACCUGGCCUGUGUUUGUGUGGAUGUACAACCGUCCCCCCUGGUUGUGCAUGAAGAGGAAGUACAUUCACAUGAGUAUGCUAAUUGAAGGGCCGAAACAACCAGGGAACGACAUCAAUCUGUAUCUGCGGCUACUGAAAGAGGAGCUAGACACGCUGUGGAAAACGCCAGCCAAUACGUGGGACGCCGCAGAGAAAGAAUAUUUCCCUAUGAGAGCCGCACUGCUCAUGACGGUGCACGACUAUCUCGGUUACGGAUAUCUUGCGGGGCAGGUAGUCCACGGAUUUUCUGGAUGCGUAAGGUGCAUGGAUGACACAACGUAUCGCCAGCUAGAUAGAGAUCCUGGGUCUUCGAAAACCGUGUUCAUGGGACAUCGAAGGCGGCUUCGCGAUGAUGACCCAUGGAGGAAAUGCAAGGAUCUGUUCGAUGGUGAAACCGAACCCCGAAAACGCCCGCGUACGAGGAGCGGCGAGGAAAUAGACGAGCUAUUGAAAAAUUGGAAAGAUUGCCCACUGCCCGGAAAGAAGCAAAAGGCGCCAGAGCUGGGAAAGAAGCGAAAGGCGCCAGAGCCGCUGCUGAAGGUAUGGAAAACAAGGUCUAUUUUCUGGGACUUGCCGUACUGGAAGAUCCACCGUGUGCCUCACAGCCUUGAUGCCAUGCAUAUCACGAAGAACGUGUGCGAGAGUCUGCUUGGUACCCUGAUCAACAUGCCAGAGAGGACCAAAGAUGGGCCGAAAGCAAGGGCAGACUUGAAAUCAAUGGGCAUCAGGCAAGAGCUUCACGCUAAUGAUGAUGAGGCGAAGCAGGACACAGAAACUCGUCGCAAAGGCAAAAAGGCCAAGAAGACCGGAAGUGACUACCCUCCCGCGUGCUUCACUCUAAGUCAGGAGGAGAUCGAGUAGUUUUUCACCUGCCUCGUAGGAGUAAACCUUCCUUACGGUUACGCGGGGAAGAUAAGCAGAUACCUAGACCCAGCGAAGCAGAAGUUCAGCGGGAUGAAGUCUCAUGACUGUCACGUGCUGAUGACGCAGAUACUUCCAGUUGCAAUCCGCGGGAUCAUGGACGCGCACGUCCGUGAAACGCUAUUUGGCCUAUGCAACUUUUUCGACGUCAUCUCUCGGAAGUCGAUUGGCGUGAGGCAACUCAGAAGGCUACAUGAAGAGAUCGUGGUGAUACUAUGCGAGCUUGAGAUGUACUUCCCGCCCGCAUUCUUCGACGUUAUGGUGCAUCUGCUGGUCCAUAUCGUGGAGGAUAUCAUCCAACUCGGGCCGACGUUCCUGCACAGCAUGAUGCCAUUUGAAAGGAUGAAUGGUGUCAUCAAAGGAUACGUUUGCAACAUGUCACGUCCAGAGGGAAGUAUAGCCAGGGGCUUUCUGACCGAAGAGUGCAUCUCCUACUGCACGAAUUAUCUAGGCAUCGAGAACCCCGUUGGUCUGCCCGUCAACAGGCACCUCGGCAGGCUCGCUGGAUGGGGUCACCGUGAGGGUCGCCGCGAAAUGCAUGUCGACUUCGAGGGUCGACUCGCCGACUUUGAAAGAGCAAACCUAGUCGCGCUACAACACAUAGACGUGGUCGAUCCUUGGGUGGUAGAGCACAAAACCUUUAUUGAGAAGACGUACAAUGACCAAGGCCAACAGAGGACGGACGGAGAUAUAAUCAAAGAGCACAACUCAUGUUUCACGCGUUGGUUCAAGCAGAAGCUUCUAUCGUACCCUUUACAUGAGGAUUCUUCCGCGGAAGAAGAACUCAUAUUCGCCUUGUCAUAGGGCGCCGAGCACAACCUGAUGACCUAUGAGGCAUAGAUAUCAACGGCUACACAUUCUACACUGAGAACAAGGACAUGAAGAGCGAUGGUUAUCAGAACUCCGGGGUAACGAUGGAAUCCUACACUGGUAACGACAAGGACGGAUACUACGGAAGGAUCGAGGAGAUCUGGGAGCUGAGCUACGCUGGAGAGAAGGUCCCGAUGUUCCGUGUUAGAUGGGCCAAGAGCGUCCUAAAAGAAGACCGGUACUUCACCACCAUGGUUAUACCCGAGGCCAAAUCCAAGACCGCGGGCACAAACGUCACCGCGAAAAAUGAGCCAUGGGUACUGGCUUCCCAAGUGGACUAAUGCUUCUUCAUUACCGACCCGUCAAAGCCCAGUCGUGUUGUCAUGAGGAGAGGCAAAAGGAAGAUCAUCAGAAUGGAUGGAGUAGCCAAUGAGCAAGACUUCGACCAAGUACGGCGACUCGAAGAUCGAACAUGACGACGACGAUGAAGUAGCAGCACACACCACAAGAAGAAGCAGGACCACCCUACCUAAAGGACGUCCGUUCCACAGAAGAACUCCAUUUGCGAAAAAGAAGGGCAAGAAGAUUGUGAACAGAUAGCUAGCUAAGAUCGAUUGUAUUUAAAUCGUAGUCUUCAUUUCUCGAUUGUAUUUCAUGGGCACUUUUUGAUAUCAUGAAUAUUUUUAAAUUUCACGGGCACUUUUUGAAUUCAUGAGGACACUCGAUCUCGAUCCCCCUCCACCGCCGCCGACGAGCACCCGGCCCCCCGCACCCUCCCCCGCUCCACCGCCGCCAACGGGCACCCCCCGCACCCUCCCNNNNNNNNNNNNNNNNNNNNNNNNNNNNNNNNNNNNNNNNNNNNNNNNNNNNNNNNNNNNNNNNNNNNNNNNNNNNNNNNNNNNNNNNNNNNNNNNNNNNNNNNNNNNNNNNNNNNNNNNNNNNNNNNNNNNNNNNNNNNNNNNNNNNNNNNNNNNNNNNNNNNNNNNNNNNNNNNNNNNNNNNNNNNNNNNNNNNNNNNNNNNNNNNNNNNNNNNNNNNNNNNNNNNNNNNNNNNNCAAGUAACAAAUUUGAACAUAUUUUUUAAAAAAUUAUUACUGUUUUUAUAAAAAAUAUAUUACUGUUAUGAUUUAAAGAAGUUUGAACAUAUUUAAACACAAAUAAAUAUCAAACAGCAUUUAAAAUGCAAAAAAUAAUAAUAUUGCGAAGCCUGGGAAUCGAACCCAUGACCUCCUGGUGUGUGUGCUGCGUGCUGACCAGUCGGGCUAGUGGGUGGGUUCUGAUGUGGAUUGGGUUAGGUGCAAUAUAACCUGCGCUCGAACUGUAAUAAAAAACAUUCUAAUGGCGCACCGCUGCGGGGUGCGCCAUUGCUAUCUAAAAACAAAGAUAUCUAAUGGCGCACCGAGGUGUGGUGCGCCAUUAGUAAGCUUCCCCACCGCCGCCGCCGAUGAUAUUUUCAAGUGACAAAUUUGAACAUAUUUAAAAAAAUUAUUAGUGUUUUUAUAAAAAAUAUUACUGUUAUGAUUUAAACAAGUUUGAACAUAUUUAAACACAAAUAAAUAUCAAACAGCAUUUAAAAUGCAAAAAUAAUAAUAUUGCGGAACCUGGGAAUUGAACCCAGGACCUCCUGGUGUGCGUGCUGCGUGCUGACCACUCAGGCUAGUGGGCGGGUUCUGGUGUGGAUUGGGUUAGGUGCAAUAUAACCUGUGCUCGAAUUGUAAUAAAAAAUCAUUCUAAUGGCGCACCGCUGCGGGGUGCGCCAUUGCUAUCUAAAAAAAGAUUUCUAAUGGCGCACCAAGGUGUGUUGCACCAUUAGUAAGCUUCCCCCUAGCUAUCCUCCCUCUCCCUCGCCAGAUCCCCUUCAACCCUCUCUCCCUCGCCACCAGAUCCACCCGCGCGCUGCCCCGACCCACGACGCCGCCGCCCCGACCCUCACCGGACUCCACCCCCGCCGCCCCCGCGCCCCCACACCCGCCGCCCCGACCCUCGCCGGACUCCACACUCCCACCGCCUCCAGAGAGACCACCCCUCGCCUGAUUCCCCCUCUUUCCCCAUCGAGCCGCCUCCUCCUCGGCUCGUACUCGAGCGCGAGAGCUCGUGCGGUGACCGCGCUCGCCGUCGUCAUUGUCGCGGCCACCGUCGUCCCCACGCCAAGAUAGUGUGUCCCCCGGCUUCACCGUCGUCUUCCACGUCGUCUACAAGUCCAGAUCGAGCCAGGGCACCGCCGAACGACGGGAUCGAGAUCGUUUUCUUCCUUCUGCCGUCGUCGAUUUCGCCUCGAUCCGCGCUGCCUCGACCACCCUCGACCUCACCGAGUUUGCCUACGCCCCCCCUGUGAGCCCAUCCGUCGAUCCCCUUCUUCCUUCAUGUGGAUCCAUCGCCGUAGACGCUGCUGCCCGCCUGACCCGAGCUCGCUCCGCCCCUGCGCCCUCUGGCCGCUUCGCCCGCGUCCUCCUGCAGUCACCUGCGCCCGUCACUGCUGCUGCUCUAUUGCCGGCCUGUUGCUAGCUGCACCGCGGCCGCUGCUUGCUAAUGUUGCUAGCGCUGUAGCUACUGGCGGUCAUGGCCAUGGCCAUGGCCGUGUGCUUUGUGUGCGUGUGUGUACGAAGCCGUAUGGACUUUGUGUGCGUGUGUGUACAAAGCCUGUAUUGAUGAUGCUAAACAAAGAUAGGAUAGUAGUAGUGGUGGCCAUCUAGUUGGACUACUACUGCUAGGACUUGCUCCAGAUUUUAGGAUUUCUUUUCUUUUAGGAUUUAUUUUCUUCUAGGACUAGGUUUUUAUUAUUUUUCUGUUGUGAUAGUUUUUUGAGCUCUUUCUUUUUCAUUUCCUACCAUCCUUAUCCUAAUUAUCUUAAAUUGUUAUGAUGUGUGUAACAGGAUUAGAUCUUGGAUUUGCUAGUGGACUUUGGGAGUUUCUUAGCCAGCUUGGUGACUCCAUAUUUUUCACUAUUUCAGCAAGUCUUUUGUAAGCAUUAAACUUUCAGCACUACAUUUCUAUCUUAUGUGUACAUAUGUUUGCUUCCAAUUGCUAUAUAUGUAUUGUUUUUACUAAAAAUGAUGAAGCUCCUGUCAAUUGCUAUACAUAUAUAUGUGUAUGAUGAUCCUCCUUUCCUGUAGUAGUAUAACUAGGAUAUAAAGCACAUUGAACUAACAAUCUUGUAUGGUGCCUAAACUACAAUGAUUCAGGAACAUCAGAUGACAUAGCAUGUGGAUAUUGACAUAGGAUGAGUAGAUUAAUAAGUGAGCCAAAAGUGAUGGACAAACCUCAUGCUAGGAAUUCUUGAGGGUUGCAGUACAUGGAAUGCAUUUGCAAAUGCAGCCAAAACCUGAUAUAUACCAAAGAAAUUGUAUAGAAAUAUGCUGAAUUUUCUGCUCUGAUUGUUGCUCAAAGAAAUUUAGCAAAAAAUGGGGUCCUGGGAGACGCCGCUGCUGCUUGAGGCCCUUGAGAGGCCCUUCAUGUCGUGAUGAUUUUGCAGGUACCCUGAGAGGCCCUUGAGUUCGCCGGAAUGUCGAUUAACUUCCGUUCCGGCAAAUUCGGGUACUCCAUAUGUCCUAUUUUUAGCAAAGGUCAUGCUGAAAUUUUUCGUGAAUUUUAGCAUGACUUUGCUAAAAAUCGGACAUAUGAGGUACUUGCUACUAAUGCAUGGGCCGGGGUAUCUUAGUACUUAAUUAAGUAGGAUCAACUGCCCCUUUAUUCUUGCUGCAUUAAACCAUAGGUGGCAAUAGAGCCAAGUGAUUAGGCCCAACUUAGAAAUUCUCCUCAGCAUCGAUAAACCCUAGAUGAUAAACCUAACAUAGGUGGCAAUAGAGCCAACUGAUUAGUGCCAAGUGAUUAGGCCCAACCUAGGGUGCCUCGGCAUCGAUAAACCCUAAAUGAUGAAAACUUAGCAUUUAGGGUGCCUCGGCGUCGACAAACCCUAAAUGAUGAGACCUUGGCUUUUAGGGUGCCUCGGUGUCGAUGAGAACCUAAAUAAUGUAUGCUUAGGCUUUUAGGGUGCCUCGGCGUUGACAAACCAUAAAUGAUAAAAGCUUAGCUUUUAGGAUGCCUCGGUGUCAACAAACCCUAAAUGAUGAGACCAUGAUCUUGUUCCUUGACAAUAACCAACUUUUUGACCAAACUUUUUUCCUAUUUAGAGCGAAACAUGGCCCACAACGAUGAGGCCGGCGGUUUGGGCGGCAAGCAAUUCUGGGAGCUGUCCCAGGAGUUGGAGGAAGAACCUCACCGCUAUGAGGACGCCGUGGAAGACACCGAUCCUGACUACACAACCCCUAGUGGCGUCGGGGAUGACACCACUGAUGAUGGCGCCGCGGAUGCCACCACUGAUGAUGGCGGCGCACGCACAGAUGGCAGCCAACCGAAGAGGCAACGGAAGGACCAGCGCCCGAACAUGCUCGGCACCGUCAGGGAGGAAUUUAUUAAAGUGAACUCCGACGGGCAUCCGACGGCGCCCAAACACGUAUUCAAGGGGUACUCGAUUCAGCUCGGGUGCAUUCUCCGGAGCACCGCCUCGAUCAAUACCGAGAACCUAAGGCAUAAGGACCGAGGGAAUUUGCGCAGCCUCCUCUUCACGAAGCUGCACGAAUGAUACAAGUUCCCCGCUGAGUUCGCAAACACACGCCUCUCGGGUAAUAAAGUGAACGGUGCCGCCCUCACGACGAUGCGCACGACCCUGUCUACUUGGAAAAGCACGGUGAAGGCAAUGAUUGACAAAGGUGAUAGUUAUGAGAAGUCAAGGCGAAAUAUCCUUUGAUGAGCGAAGAUGACUACAAGGAGUUCAAGAUCAAGUGUGAGAGCCCCGCAACCUCCGAAUCAAGUCAGUGGGGGAAAGAAAUGCGUCAGUUGAACAUAGGGGUCCACCAACUCGGUCCCGGCGGUUACAAAGUGGCGGAGCCUGUAUGGGACAAGGAGGACGCGGAGCGUGCCGAGCAAGGCCUACCGCCCCGCUUCGAGAAAUACAGUGACAAGCAGACCAGGAACUUUCUCAGGGCCCGGUACAAGGAGGACCCGGUAACAAAGGAGCUUACCACGGAUCCGAAGACCAAGGAGCUUGAGCUUGUUCUGGUAAGGAAUACACCCCCGCGUAAUUAGCUCCAUAUGGUUGCAUUCUAAUUAAUCCCCAAUAUUUCUAAAUGGUUCACGUUCCUUCCGCAGGACAAAGAAAGCAGUAGCGCGGGGUCGUCUCAGAGCUCCCCUUUCGACACCCCUUUGAAUAGGGCAUUGAACGUAAUGAAAAAUAGGGAUAAGCUCAAUAAGCCGACGUCAGCUGGUCGUGUGGCCGGCAAAGGCUUGUCCACAAAAUGGUCGUCAAACUAUGGCGCUGGUGGGCGAAAGGAGAAAAAGACCAGCUCGGAGAGCAAGUCACGCGAGGUUGAAGCACUCAAGGCGCAAGUGGCGCGGAUUCUGGAGAUGGUCCAAGAGCAAGUGCAACAACAACUGGGAUCGACGCUUACCGGCAUUAUUCCUACCUUGAUUCAUGGGAUAACGAUGUGGAUUGCGGGUGGCCAAUAGGGGCCGCCCCCGAUUGCCAGCUUCACGGCCAGCAACUCACACAACGCGCAGGCGGCGCCAUUGGUGUCUCCGACGGUGGCGGUAUUGGUGUCUACGAUGGCGGCGCCAUUGGUGUCUCCGGCGGCGGCGGUAUUGGUGUCUCCGACGCCGGCAUUGGAGCUUAAUGCACCCGGGUGUACGCCGACCGGCACCUCGCCAGCAAGCGGCCCCUCCGUCAGUUGCACGCCCGCCGUUGGCGGUGCCUCGACAUUAGCCGAGCUUGACGGCAUCACGGUAACUAAGCCUCUCAGCCGAGGACUUCAUCUCCUUGCCUUUGACUGGGCAUCCCUGACGCCCUACAUGUUUUCGCAGGGCGCCGCCAACAUUCCUUGCACUCUCCUUCACUUCGUGGGUGGUGAGUUGGUCGAUGUCGCCAAGGGCAGAAUCGUUCAACCGGGCAACCCCGUGUUCCACGGUAAUCCGAUGCCACCCACAAUGUAUAGGGUUGAAGUGGUUUGGGUGCUGCCAGGCUGCGACGAGUUGUUACCUCCGAUUCGACCCGCUGGGGCCGAGGAAGAAGAUGAGAUGACCCUCAGCGCCUGCGUAAGCUGGCCCCUGCUUUGGCUGAAGAGCCAGAUUCGUUUGGGGCGGGGGCACCACCCCACAGACAGGACCGCCAGUCGUGCUGGCGCCAAGCCAUGGCAAGAACGCCGCAACGCUACCGGACAUGCCGGACAUCCCUAUGGCACAGGAUUCGGACAUGCAUAUGGCACAGGAUCUGGACGACGACGACAACGACGAUGGUACAUUUACCAACGUCGAUAAGUACUUUGCCGAACAUGGGUACGGUGACGAGUUCUGCGGGCCUCCUUCUCAAGAACCCAAACAAGACGACCACGAUCUAGCUGGUACGGCAGAGAAACCCAAUUGCAACAGGCGUCAUCUGGCGUUCAGUUCUUAGGAGACGCCUCCAGCUGCCGCCUUCACCGAGCCUCAGAUAGCGGAGGUGCCAAAUAUUAUCAGCCCCAACACACGCUCAAGAAGGCGGUCUGUGAGCAGAACUCGGUCCCAUUACAGCAGAUUAAGAAGAAGGGCCGGAAACGGCCGACUAAAAAGGCGCCGGUGCGAGCCAGCCGACACCGAGUACAAUCCGUGCUCAGGACGGGCCACCUUCACCUAAGGAUAUCUCGAGGAGGGUGCAUGUGGCGGGUAGGGCGAUGCUACCGACAAAUAUGCUCAAUGCUGCAACCGGUGCUAUGCGGAGUGUGCACGACAGUGUUCUUUCUUUGGAGAAGCGGCGUCUCAGAGAGAAUGAUGUGGCAUACCCGGUUUUCAUGGCCAAGGUGCCAGAGGGCAAGGCCUUUGUGGAUGGCGCCAUCGGGGGUACGAUCGUCCUGCGGUUUGAUGACAUCUUUGCUAUGUUCAACCUUCAUCCGCUGCACUACACCUUCCUUCGACAGUUUUUGCUGAGUAUGGAGAUGCGGAUCAUUAGAGACAAGACCCCGGACAUCGUGAUCGUCGACCCCUUCUACAUGCGUGCCAAGCUCUUGAGCAGCGCUGGGGACCGCCAAGUCGCGAGUUCACACCUCAAAGACGUCAUUCUGGCAAACCCAAAUAAGGAUAACUUCCUUGUGCCUUACUUUCCCGAGUAAGUCAUCCCUUAACCGCCCCGUAACAUAUGAUUUCUUAGAUUUCGAUCGUUCUUUUUUUUUCUAACAUUCCGUGUUCUGUGUAGUGACACACAUUGCACACUCAUCCUCUUAAGCCCGAAAUAUUCCAUGGCCACGUAUUUCGACCCGAACCGUAACUUCAAGAUAGACUACACAAAUAUCAAGAAAGUUCUUGAUGAUGUUCUCCCUGGCUAUGCCAAAUCUGGAGGCACCUUCAUCAGGGCAGUUCGUAAGUAUGGCAAGCACGUGUUCGCCCACAAUACGACGUUCUGCUGCGUCAAGCAGCCGCCUGGCGGUCAGAAGGAUGCCUACUACGCCCUCCAUCACAUGCGGGCGAUCGUAAGGGACCAUCAUCACCUUCUGCUACCAAAUAAUCUCAAAGAUUGGGCCGCGAGCUUGUCGGCAAUCUAGGACGCGGACAUCAGACAAGAAUUCUUUCGCAUCCAGUCGGAGUUUGCGGACAUCAUCCAUCAAGAUGUCCUUCAUACCUCGGGGUAGUUCUUCCUCAGAUAUCAACCGUCCAACAUUAAGAUAGACGGAAUGCUACAAAUGCAGGCUAAGAACGCCAGUGAUUUCAUGACCAUCACGACAGACGGCGGCUUCAUCCACACUCCUGUCCAUGAGUCGAGUCGAAAGUAGUGAUGUGUAGUUCUGAAACAUUGAUUGGCUCAUGUUGUAAUUAAACUUUAAUGAAUGGUAUGUCUCUUUAGUUUGGACAGUCGUUCAACUUAGAUGUAAUCGAUGCUAUUUAUUAGUAGGACCAUGAGUCAUGCUAUUAAUGUCUUGCUUUUCUCUUCCAAUCCUUUUGUUGCAUACUUAUAUAUUGCUUAUCUAUGUAUUGUCUGUUGUUUGGCUUGUGCAUAGAGAUGCCGUCGUAUGUCGUGUACAAGGGUAAGGUUCCCGAAGUCUACGACGACUGGGAGGAGUGUCGGAGACAGGUUCACCAUUUCAGCGGUAACAGUUACAAAGGGUACACCACUAGGGCGGAGGCGGAAUCUAGAUACGCCCGCUAUCUAGCGGGAGAGAGGAGGGAGCGUUAGAGGUACCGGAUGAAGACCAGUUUCAUCGUGAUGAUGCUCAUCGUGAUGACCACAACUCUCUUCUAUGUGAUGGUAGUUUAGAUGAUCGAUAUCGACUUGUAAUGUGAAGACAAACUCGAUACUCGCGGUCUCGAGACUUGUAAUGUUUUAUCUUUGUUCGGUCUUUUGAAUUCGGAGACUAAUAUGAUGAAUUGUAUUCAGAGACUAAUCUUCUAUUGUAUUCGAUGAAUCUGCUGUUGCUGUGUGCUACUGUCUAUAUUCUAUCAAAUAAUAUAUUUUAUAACCUAUGCAAAAAUCAGAAAAGUAAAAAAACAUAAUAUUCAUACUAAUGGCGCAUCACUAUAGAGUGUGCCAUUAGUAUGCCAAAGUAUACUAAUGGCGCAUCACCAAACAGUGCGCCAUUAGUAUGCCAAGUAUACUAAUGGCGCAUCCAUCCGCAGUGCGCCAUUAGUGUGCCAACGCACAUGGUUAAAUAUGGCCCCUGGGAGGCAUACUAAUGGCGCAUGGUGUUAUAUACUAAUAGCGCACUGGGUGGUGCGCCAUUAGUAUACCAGAUACUAAUGGCGCACCAGUGGUGCGCCAUUAGUAAUAAAUACUAGUGGCGUGAUACUAAUAGACCACCAGUGAUGCGCCAUUAGUAGGCAAAACUAGUGCGCCAUUAGUAGGCGUUUUCCUAGUAGUGUAUGGGUGGCUGGCAUUUCUGGGUGCCAUGAAUUUGGCAUUGGCGAGCGAGUAUGCGGUCCAGACUGGAUGGACCCGGAUUUGUAUAUUUGGGCGGCCCUUUCCAUUGACCGGACUUUGAGCCCCUGAACCCGGCAUUAACUGCCGUAUUUUUGGCGUUUUCACCAUAUUUGCGGCGCUUGUGUUUGUUGUGUCGUGGUUUGCCGUUGCUAUCCCUGGCUUGUGAUAUGCCAGGUUUGCUUGCUGUAUUGGUACUAUGAGCCAACCAGCUAUCUUCGCCCGCACAAAAUUGGGUCAUAAGUGUCGUGAGGGCUGCUAUGGAUUUUGGCUUCUCUUGGCCAAUGUGCCGGGCGAGCCAUUCGUCAUGGAUAUUAUGCUUAAAUGCCGCUAAGGCCUCUGCAUCCGGACAAUCGACAAUUUGGUUCUUCUUGGUUAGGAACCGGGUCCAGAAUUUCCUGGCCGAUUCCCCUGGCUCCUGAGUUAUAUGACUUAAGUCGUCAGCGUCCGGCGGUCGCAUGUAAGUGCCCUGGAAAUUGUCCAGGAAUGCCUCUGCCAAGUUCUCCCAACUUCCUAUGGAGUUUGCCGGCAAGCUAUUGAGCCAAUGCCGAGCCGGCCCUUUGAGUUUGAGCAGGAGAUACUUGAUGGCAUGUAGGUCAUCCCUGCGGGACAUAUGAAUGUGGAGGAAGAAGUCUUCUAUCCAUACCGCGGGGUCUGUAGUACCAUCAUAUGAUUUGAUGUUUAUGGGUUAAAACCCUUUUGGGAAUUCAUGAUCCAUUACUUCAUCAGUGAAGCAUAAGGGGUGUGCGGCACCUCUAUGCCGGGCUAUAUCGUGACGCGGUUCAGACGAGUCUUGUCUGCCGUGGCCGGCUCGGCUGGAUUUGCUUUUAGUGUAUCUGGCGUGACGAUCAUCGUCGCAUAUUUGUGCGUGCCACCGUGAUCUGUAGAUCGAUCUUGCAUGUUUUGCCUUGUUUUCCAAUACGUCUCGCAGGUCCCGUGUGUUCCCCCGGGCCUUGGUAUUUUUGUUUGAGUGCCAGCGGGGUGCAGGCUGAACUUCAGGCCGAAACGCCUCUCUGGCUCGGCCACGAGGUGGCCGGUCAGCCGCAUCAUACACUGGUGAUGUAGGUUUCAAUGCUUCCUCCUCGAAGUGGGGUAGCAACCUGCGCUUUGGGUAAUUCUUGGAGGGGCGCUCGAGUUUGUAUUCCUCGGCCGCAAGGACUUCGGCCCAUCUGUCUGCUAGCAGAUCUUGAUCAGCUUGAAGCUGUUGUUGCUUUUUCUUCAGGCUAUUUGCUGUGGCCAUAAGACAACGCUUGAAGCGCUCCUGCUCGACGGGAUCCUCAGGCACGAUAAGUUCUUCAUCGCCGAGGCUCACCUCGUGUUCGGAGAGAGGCAUGUAAUUGUCCUCCUCUGAUUCUCCAUCUGCUGCCCGCUCUGGAGGGCUAACUUGUUCACCCUCGCGCUCUAAAUCGUGCUGGAGGGGAUUAUUGUCGUCUUCGGCACUAUCCGGAGUGUUAUUGUCUCUUGUGCUGGUAUCACUACUUUUGCUAUGGCGGGACUUAGAGCGGGGCCGCUGAUGUUGGCGCUUGGGUUGCUUCUUGCAGGGGUCUUCCUCCACUAUCUCGUCACCAUUGCCUUCUUUGGGGGUGUCCACCAUGUAUAUAUCAUAUGAUGAGGUGGCGGUCCAACACCCUAUGGGCGGUGGUUCCUGUUCGUCUCCUACAUCGUCGUCCAUACCGUCGAUGUCUUCGGAGUCAAAGUCGAGCAUGUCGGUUAAAUCGUCGACAGUGGAUACUAAGUGGGUGGUGGGUGGGUAGCGAAUUUCUUCGUCGUCCGCAUCCCAUUCUGGACGGACAUAGUUCGACCAAGGUUCUCGUGACAAGGAGAGAGACCUUAAUGAAUUUAGCACAUCGCCGAAAGGCGAAUGCUGAAAGAUAUCCGCGGAGGCGAACUCCAUGAUCGGCGCCCAGUCUGAUUCGAUGGGCAUGGAUGUAGGCGGCUCGGAGCUCGGGGCCGGAGACGAAUCCAGUGGUUCGGCGACACGACUCUCGUAAGGGGUGAAGUCAGUAUCCGGCUCCAUCGCCACUGAGAGUGCGGCCUCCUUGGCGGGGCCUAUCCCUCCAUCCUUGGAUGGCGCAAUUUGCUCCGGUUUGAAGGCCGGAGUAGUUGAAGAUGCAAUCUCCCGAACACUAUCCGACGACAGAGUUACGUCAUGCUCGUCGUUAUUGUGCGGUGCACUCGACAUCGGCCCGAAUCCGUCGAAGAUCAAGUAUCCAUGGAUGUCGGCAGUGUAGUUUAAGUUUCCGAACCUGACCUGAUGGCCAGGGGCAUAGCUCUCGAUCUGCUCCAGAUGGCCAAGCGAAUUGGCCCGUAGUGUGAAGCCGCCGAAUACAAAGACCUGUCCGGGGAGGAAAACCUCACCCUGGACUGCAUCGCUACCGAUGAUCGAAAGAGCCAUCAAGCCUUACGGUGACGACACAGUGGAACUCUCAAUGAAAGCAUCAAUGUCGGUGUCAAAACCGGCGGAUCUCGGGUAGGGGGUCCCGAACUGUGCGUCUAAGGCGGAUGGUAACUGGAGGCAGGGGACACGAUGUUUACCCAUGUUCGGGCCCUCUUGAUGGAGGUAAUACCCUACGUCCUGCUUGAUUGUUCUUAAUGAUAUGAGUAUUACAAGAGUUGAUCUACCACGACAUCGUAGAGGCUAAACCCUAGAAGCUAGCCUAUGGUAUGAUUGUCUGUUGUCCUAUGGAGUAAACCCUCCGGUUUAUAUAGACACUGGAGGGGGCUAGGGUUACACAGAGUCGGUUACAAGGGAGGAGAUCUACAUAUCCGUAUUGCCAAGCUUGCCUUCCACGCCAAGGAAAGUCCCACCCGGACAUGGGACGAAGUCUUCAGUCUUGUAUCUUCAUAGUCCAACAGUCCGGCCAAAGGAUAUAGUCCGGCUAUCCGGAGACCCCCUAAUCCAGGACUCCCUCACUAAUCCUUUCACAUGUGAUGGAACAUUACAUCCCGGUUUGCACCUAAUCUAUGUGGAUGAAGUUUGUGGAUUAUUUAAGCUUGCAGGUAUGCCCUGGGAUGUUAUCAAGAAGAAGGUCUUCCCUUUAUCUUUGAAGGGAAAGGCAUUGACAUGGUUUAGGCUAUGUGAUGAUAUGGGAUCAUGGAACUACAACCGAUUUUAAUUGGAAUUUCAUCAGAAGUUUUAUCCUAUGCAUCUGGUUCAUCGUGAUCGUAAUUAUAUAUACUAGUAACAUGCCCGUGCUACGCUACGGAAUCACAUGAAAUGAAGUGGAAUCACAAAAGUACAAACCCAAACGUGUAUUCUAGACUUUGGUCGAGAAAAGGUCAGGCUUUAGCCAUAGCCAAAAAAACUCUUUGUAAUAUGACGCUAUUAACAUCACAAAGUUAUGUGGAGCCCCACACCAGCUGCAUUAUGAUUAGAUAUAUCUUAGAUAACACAUGUGCACAACAUUUGCAAACCUAACAUGCGUCGAAGUUGUUACAUUUUACUUUACCAAGAAAACACACCAACUUACAUAUCGUUGAAGUGUUGUUGGCAUUACACCACCUUAAGAUUUCACUUCAUAAGUGAAACUCGGUUUCCAUUACAACAAGGAUCAUAAAAGCAUUUGCCAUCAUUGUCCAAGACACCAUUCAUGUAAUAUUAAUCAAAGCAAAGUAACAUAGUCCAAGCGCAACUCAACGUAUCUUAACUAAAACAUUGUCCUGUUAUUCUAAUUCUCCAGUGCUUCAUCCUCACUUGAUUCAUGGAGAUUUUGGUCCAGGGAAAUCAUUAUUGAUCUUCCACAAAAAAAAUUGUAAGUAUUUAAUAUACCAUAUAAAGCAAAUAACAAUAUAACUUCAACCAAAAUUUCAAUAUCCUUUGCCUUAAUUCACAUGCUGCUCUGAUAUUCGGGUUAAACCAUUUAAGUGCAUCCUACUAAAGUUCGUAGUAUGCAAGCCACAAUCUAGUUAAUUAAAGUGCAUCCUAUUAGCAAGAUUUAUUUUCGCUUUAUUACUAUGUGCAUAGAACAAUGCAUGCACUUAUGCGCUCUGCAUGUAACAUUGUUGCCAUGACAAUAAGACGCUCCUUGAGUUUUUUCCAUGUACUUAGAUUAUUAGUCACCAACUUAUCCCAUACAACUAUCUUUGACAAUACUAUUGCUACAAAAUCAUAUACAGGAGAUGCAUUAGCAUCAACGGUAACAGUGACCCAGCCUCAUAUUUGCUACUUUAUUAGUUAAGCAGAUUUAUGUGGAAUUUAAAACAGAGGCCAUCCACCUCAAUACUGGCAGUAAAGUUGCAGCUUUGAACUAUAGGAAAUGCUAGUUCACAAAAUUUUGGAUCUAGCCCUGCAGAUAAUACGGUAACCUGAGGAUACAAGUACUCAUCCAUGAGAUUUGACAUAGUCAACCAUGUCAAGCAUACAAACUUGCCCUGAAGAUACUGUCCAGAUUUGAAGCAUGUACUUCAAGUGCUCGUUGUCGCAAGAACAUGCACAGUUCAGACCCGCAGUGCUUGUCAGAAUAAACAUGGGACACCGGUGAUAUGCAUGAGCACGCAAGGGACCCGGCCGGUGAAAGGCGGAUGCUAACGUACACAUCAUCACUGAUAUUGGGGAUGCCGUGAUAGCGGAGAGCGGCCUCGAGCGCCCGCAGCUCAUAAAUAAUGAUUUGGUGUGUGACACUGUACAGAACCAAUAGCAUACCUUGCAAUAUUCCAAUGACUAUUAUCGUAUUGGAUAUGACUGUAACCGGCAGCGUAUUGGAUAUGACUGUAACCGGCAGCGGUGCUGCCGGAUGCGGCAAGCCGCAUUUCCUACCUAGUCACCCAUACCGGGCAUGCCGUGAUAGCGGAGAGCGGCCUGGAGCCCCUGCAGCUCAACUUGCUUGACAACGGCGGCCUGAACCUCCUGCCAGUUGGCCUGACCGGGAGUGCAUGCCUGGACGGCACUAUGAUCUUUCGAACGGGAUCAGCUAGCCAUCUCUCUAUCGGAGAAAGAGAGAUUUAUUCAGACCCUAACUACAGCUACGACUGUAAUAUAAGAGUUGGGACGCCCGCUCAACUGAAUUUCGGGUGGAGGGGUCGGCGUACAUGUAGCGUUGGGCACUCGAAUCCCACAUGGUGGGGUGGGGGCUCCUGUUUGAGGAACCAGGAACGCCGCAGGCAUACGAGGACCAAAAGGUGCCGCGCCGGUGGUGGUGUUGCAGGUGGAAGUGGCCUUUCCCUCUGCGUCAGGCAUCUCGCCGGCCAUGGCGUGCGAGGAGACGAGGAUUCGCCCAGCCAGGAGGCAAGCCAGGGGGAUUGAGAGAUGGGACAGGGCUGUGCCGCGGAUGAUGCGGGGCGUAUUAUCUCAAGUCUCGUUUUUAUCGUGAGAUGAGAGAACGAGAAACUUCCAGAGUUAGCUUGAGUACAACCAGUUUCAUUCCGAGCCUUAGAUUUUAGAUCGUACGGUGCAAAUGACACAAAGGCAGACACACCAUCACCACCAACUCACAUUUUUAUAGGAGUAGAGAUAAUGUUUGGCCUCGUGAAGGAGAAAGCAUCGCUCAAGCUUGGGGGAGGCUUAAGUCAAUGUUAUAUUCAUGCCCCAAUCAUGAGCUCUCAAGAGAAAUUAUUAUUCAAAAAAUUUAUGCUCGGCUUUCUCUCAAUAAUCGCUCCAUGCUCGAUACUUCUUGUACUAGUUCUUUUAUGAUGAAGACUAUUGAAUUCAAAUUGGAUUUAUUGGAAAGAAUUAAAAGCAACUCUGAAGAUUGGGAUCUCGACGAAUGUAAGGAGUCAGGCAUAACACCCAAGUUUGAUUGUGUUGAAUCUUUUAUGGAUACUGAUGUUUUUUGUGAAUUUAGCACUAAAUAUGGACUUGACUCCGAGAUAGUAGCUUCUUUCUGUUGAAUCAUUUGCUACUCACGUUGAUCUCCCUAAGGAGAAGUGGCUUAAAUAUCAUCCUCCCAUUGAAGUAAAAGUAGUUGAACCUAUUAAAGUUGAAGAAAAGACUAUCACUUAUAAUGUUGAUCCUAUUGUUCCUACCGCUUAUAUUGAGAAACCACAUUUCCCUACUAGAAUAAAGAAUCAUGCUAAAGCUUCAACUCUGGUUCGUAAGAGUAAUACUAGAACACCUCCACCCUCUGAGAAAAUUAAAGUUGAACCUAGUAUUGCUAUGGUUAAAGAUUUCUUGUCCGAUAAUAUUGAUGGGCAUGUUAUUUGCUACCUCUUGAGCACUGCGUUGGUUUUCCCUUGAAGAGGCAAGGGUGAUGCAGUAAAGUAGCGUAAGUAUUUCUCUCAGUUUUUGAGAACCAAGGUAUCAAUCCAGUAGGAGAUCACAUUUGAGUGCCACGCACCUACACAAACAAAUAAGAACCUCGCAACCAACGCGAUAAAGAGGUUGUCAAUCCCUUCACGGUCACUUACGAGAGUGAGAUCUGGUAGAUAUGAUAAGAUAAUAUUUUUAGAAAUAAAGAUGCAAAGUAAAAUAAACGACAAUAGAAAUAGCUAAGUGUUGGAAGAUUAAUAUGAUGGAAGAUAGACCCAGGGGCCACAGGUUUCACUAGUGGCUUCUCUCAAGAGCAUAAGUAUUACGGUGGGUAAACGAAUUACUGUCGAGAAAUUGAUAGAAUUGAGCAUAGUUAUGAGAAUAUCUAGGUAUGAUCAUGUAUAUAGGCAUCAUGUCCGUGAUAAGUAGACCGAAACGAUUCUGCAUCUACUACUAUUACUCCACACAUCGACCGCUAUCCAGCAUGCAUCUAGAGUAUUAAGUUCAUAAGAACAGAGUAAUGCUUUAAGUAAGAUGACAUGAUGUAGAGGGAUAAACUCAUGCAAUAUGAUAUAAACCCCAUCUUUUUAUCCUCGAUGGCAACAAUACAAUAUGUGUCAUUUCCCUUUCUGUCACUGGGACCAAGCACCGCAAGAUUGAACCCAAAGCGAAGCACUUCUCCCAUUGCAAGAAAGAUCAAUCUAGUAGGCCAAACCAAACUGAUAAUUCGAAGAGACUUGCAAAGAUAAACCAAUCAUACAUAAAAGAAUUCAGAGGAGAUUCAAAUAUUGUUCACAGAUAAACUUGAUCAUAAACCCACAAUUCAUCGGAUCUCGACAAACACACCGCAAAAGAAGAUUACAUCGAGUAUAUCUCCAAGAAGAUCGAGGAGAACUUUGUAUUGAGAUCCAAAGAGAGAGAAGAAGCCAUCUAGCUAAUAACUAUGGACCCGAAGGUCUGGAGUAAACUACUCACACAUCACCGGAGAGGCAAUGGAGUUGAGGUAGAGGCCCUUCGUGAUCAAUGCCCCCUCCGGAGGAGCUCCGGAAAAGGCCCCAAGAUGGGAUCUCUCGGGUACAUAAGGUUGCGGCAGUGGAAUUAGGUUUUCGUGGUGCCCCUGGAUGUUUGGGGGGUACGUGGAUAUAUAUAGGAGGAAGAAGUGCGUCGGUGGAGCAACGAGGGGCCCACGAGGGUGGAGGGCGCGCCUAGGGGGGCCUCCUCGAUUGUUUCUUGACUCCCACUCUAAGUCUCUUGGAUCACGUUUGUUGUGAAAAUUACGUUCCCGAAGGUUUCAUUCCGUUUGGACUCCAUUUGAUAUUCCUUUUCGGUGAAACUCUAAAAUAGGCAAAAAAACAACAAUUUGGGCUGGGCCUCUGGUUAGUAGGUUAGUCCCAAAAAUGAUCUAAAAGUGUAUAAUAAAGCCCAUUAACAUCCAAAAUAGAUAAUAUAAUAGCAUGGAGCAAUCAAAAAUUAUAGAUACGUUGGAGACGUAUCAUUAUUUACUUUUGUGAUGAAGCUGCUAGAAUUGCUAGAUCCGAUACUAAUAAUAAACAUAGACCUAUUGUAGGCAUGCAUGUUAUUUCUGUUAAAAUACGAUAUCAUUGCUAUGAUGGCUUAUGUGAUAUGGGUGCUAGUGCGAGUGCAAUAGUUCAUUCUUUAUAUGAAGAAAUUAUGCAUGAUAUUGCACCUGCUGAGAUAGAAGGUAUUGAUGUUACAAUUAAGCUUGCCAAUAGAGAUACUAUUUCACCGAUUGGGAUUAUUAGAGAUGUUGAAGUCUUGUGUGGUAAAGUUAAAUAUCCUACUGAUUUUCUUGUUCUUGGUUCCCCACAAGAUGACUUUUGUCCCAUUAUAUUUGGUAGACCCUUAUUGAAUACUGUUAAUGCUAAGAUAGACUGCAAAAAGGAUGUUGUUACUAUUGGUUUGGGGGAUAUGUCUCACGAGUUUAAUUUUGCUAAAUUUCAUAGAAAACCCCAUGAUAAAGAAUUGUCUAGUAAAGAUGAAAUAAUUGGUCUUGCUUCUAUUGCCGUGCCUCCUAAUGAUCCUUUAGAACAAUAUUUGCUCGACCAUGAAAAUGAUAUGUUUAUUAAUGAAAGAAGGGAAAUAGAUGAAGUAUUCUUUAAACAUAGGCCUAUCUUGAAACACAACUUGCCUGUUGAAAUUCUAUGGGAUCCCCCUCAACCCAAGGGUGACCCCGUGUUUGAGCUUAAACCAUUGCCUGAUACUCUUAAAUAUGCUUAUCUUGAUGAAAAAAGAUAUAUCAUGUUAUUAUAAGUGCUAACCUUUCAGAGCAUGAAGAAAAGAAAUUACUGAAAACUCUGAAAAAGCACCGUGCUGCUAUUGGAUAUACUCUUGAUGAUCUUAAGGGCAUUGGUCCCACUCUAUGCCAGCACAAAAUAAAAUUGGAGAAAGACACGAAACCGGUUGUUGAUCACCAAUGACAGUUAAAUCCUAAGAUGAAAGAAGUGGUAAGAAAAGAAAUACUAAAACUUCUGGAGGCAGGUAUAAUUUAUCCCGUUGCUGAUAGUUAGUGGGUAAGUCUUGUCCAUUGUGUCCCUAAGAAGGGAGGUAUUACUGUUGUUCCUAAUGAUAAAGAUGAAUUGAUCCCACAAAGAAUUGUUACAGGUUAUAGAAUGGUAAUUGAUUUCCGCAAAUUAAAUAAAGCUACUAAAAAGGAUCAUUACCCUUUACCUUUUAUUGAUCAAAUGCUAGAAAUAUUAUCCAAACAUACACACUUUUGCUUUCUAGAUGGUUAUUCUGGUUUCUCUCAAAUACCUGUGUCAAAAAAAGAUCAAGAAAAGAACACUUUUACUUGCCCUUUCGGUACCUUUGCUUCUAGACGUAUGCCUUUUGGUUUAUGCAAUGCACCUACUACCUUUCAAAGAUGUAUGAUUGCUAUAUUCUCUGACUUUUGUGAAAAGAUUGUUGAGGUUUUCAUUGAUGAUUUCUCCGUCUAUGGUACUUCUUUCGAUGAUUGCUUAAGCAACCUUGAUCGAGUUCUGCAGAGAUGUGAAGAAACUAAUCUUGUCUUGAAUUGGGAGAAGUGCCACUUUAUGGUUAAUGAAGGUAUUGUCUUGGGGCAUAAAAUUUCUGAAAGAGGUAUUGAAGUUGAUAAAGCUAAAGUUGAUGCUAUUGAAAAGAUGUCGUGUCCUAAGGACAUUAAAGGUAUAAGAAGUUUCCUUGGUCAUGCCGGUUUUUAUAGGAGGUUCAUUAAAGACUUCUUAAAAAUUUCCAGGCCUCUGACUAAUCUCUUACAAAAAGAUGUUCCUUUUGUCUUUGAUGAUGAUUGUGUAGAAGCAUUUGAAAUACUUAAGAAAGCCUUGAUUUCUGCACCUAUUAUUUAACCACCUGAUUGGAAUUUACCCGCAGUCUAGUGGUCAAGUAGAACUUAGUAAUAUAGAGCUUACGUUAAUUUUGCAAAAGACUGUUAAUAGAUCUAGAAAGAAUUGGUCCUAGAAAGUUGAUGAUGCAUUAUGGGUUUAUAGAACUGCGUAUAAAGAUCCUAUGGGUAUGUCUCCUUAUAAAAUGGUUUAUGGAAAAACAUGUCACUUACCUAUCGAACUAGAACAUAAGGCAUAUUGGGCCAUUAAAGAGCUCCAUUAUGAUUUCAAACUUGCCGGUGAGAAGCGGCUUUUUGACAUUAGCUCACUUGACCAAUGGAGAACCCAUGCUUAUGAAAAUGCCAAACUGUUUAAAGAAAAAGUUAAGAGAUGGCAUGACAAAAGGAUACAAAAGCAUGAGUUUAAUGUAUGUGAUUAUUUUGCUAUACAACUCUCGUUAUACAACUCUCGUUUAAGAUUCUUUGUAGGCAAACUCCUCUCUAAAUGGGAAGGUCCUGACAUUAUUGAGGAUGUCUAUUGUUCUGGUGCCAUAAAAAUCAACAACUUCGACGGCACAAAUCCGAGGGUGGUGAACGAUCAAAGAAUCAAACAUUAUAUCUCAGGUAAUCCCAUAAAUGUUGAAACUAAUGUUAUUGACACUAUAACCCCGGAGGAAUACAUAAGGGACACUUUCUAGAAUGUUUCAGACUCUAAAAAGGAAGUGGUAUGUGGCACGGUAGGUAAACCGGCUCCAAAACAGUUCUAAUUGCAAUUUUUCUCCAUUUUGGAAUAUUUAAGAAAAUAGGAAUAUAAGAAGCGGUCCGGGAAGGACACGAGGCAUCCACGAGGGUGGAGGGCACGCCUCCUGCCUCGUGGGCACCUCGUGUGCUCUACGGACUCCGUUUUCUUGCAUGAUACUUCUUUCGGUCGGUAAAAAAUCACUAUAUAAUCUCCCGAAGGUCUUGACCAUCGUACCACGCAAAUAUCCUCUGUCUUUGUUUCGAGAUGUUUUCGCUGAAGUUAGAGCAAGAUGUCAUCUAAAGACUCCGACGGAGAGAGCUAUGUCUCACAUCUCAUUGUUGACCCAAAGACCUAUGGGGACCUAUCUCCUUGUGGUCGAACUACGGAUGAUGAGCAGGAUGCUCAUUUGAGGAUGAUCAAUGAUUCAAAUUUGGAGGAGGAGGAUGUUCCUUUACCUGAACUUGGGGAUAUGCACGUGAAGUUAAAGAAGUCUAGUCUCCCUAAGAGAGCUAAAUUGUCUAACAAUCGAUCUAUUCCUUCUCGUUUUCGGCAGAAAAGCAAAGGAGAUUUAUGUGACUAAAUCUUGAAGCUGGAAUUGGAGGUCGAUGAUUUAAAGGAGGAGAUCGCUCUUCUCAAUUACAACAUGAAAAAGCUGAAGGCACAAUUGUCAUCAUCAUCACGAUCUCCUCCACCUCCGAAGAAAGAGACAUAAAUACACGGGUAUGGGCACUCCCCUUGGCAACUGUCAAGCUUGGGGGAGUGCCCAGGUAUCGUAUCACCAUCUGAUACGUCUCCAACGUAUCUAUAAUUUUUGAUUGCUCCAUGCUAUGUUAUCUACUGUUUUGGACAUUAUUGGGCUUUAUUAUCCACUUUUAUAUUAUUUUUGGGACUAACCUAUUAACGAGAGGCCCAGCCCAGAAUUGCUGUUUUUUGCCUGUUUUAGGGUUUCGAAGAAAAAGAAUAUCAAACGGAGUCCAAAUGGAAUGAAACCUUCGAGAACGUGAUUUUCUCACUGAAUACAACUCAGGAGACACUAGUAGAAAACGGACCAUUAGUACCGGUUUGUAAGGGCCUUUAGUGCUGGUUAUGGAACCGGCACUAACAUUUCAGCACUAAAGGCCCCCCCUUUUAGUAUCGGUUCGGCACGAACCGGCGCUAAAGUGCCACCACAUGGCGUGAGCUCGCGCCCUGGUACGGGGGACCUUUAGUACCGGUUGGUGUUACCAACCGGUACUAAAGGUUUUUUUUUUGAAUUUUUUUUGAAAAUUUUGGAAAAAAAAAUUUGUUUUUUUUAUUUUUAUUUUUUCUGAAUUAUUUGAUGAUUUAGUCUCUAAUCACCUCUCUUAAGUGCUCAAGUGUGGAUCACUCAUUCCAAAUCAUCUAACUUCCCGACCGGUCACCCAUCCCUCUCACUACUCCAGCCCGAGCACGCUUAACUUUCAGGUUCUAUUCUCCUUCGUUUCCGAGUCUGCACUUGUUGUUUUCCUGACAAUAGUAAGAUGUCAAUCCUAUUAACCUUCAGGAAUUUUGCUUGAGCAUGAAGUGACACAUUUCACUGUUUGAGUUUGAAACUAUUGUUUUAAAAACAAUAAUUAUUUAGUAACACUAAUAUUUCUUGAAUAAUUAGUUUGACCAUUGUUUGACCACAGUUUGACCACAGUUUGACCAGAUUUGACCAAAAUUGAAAUAACUAAAAUAAUUAUUUAGUAACACUAAUAUUCUAGAAUAAUUAGUUUGACCAUUGUUUGACCACAGUUUGCCCACUGUUUGAAUAUUUUUCAAUUUUUUCCACUCUAGAUCGUAAAAGCCCCGUAACUUUUUUCUAUUAGGUUUUUGAGGAUUUUGCAAAUGUUUAACGGGGUUCCCCCAGUUAAAUUCGGAUGUAACUUUUCGAGUAGAUGAUUUUUCAUAUAAAAAACUUUUUCAUCCGAGUUAGUAUGCAAAAGUUAUGCCCAUUUUUACAAAUUUCAGACAGAUUUUGCAAAUAAAGUCAAAAUUCACAUUUGCAAAUUUUCCCAACAACUAGACCACAUAUCACAUGAGAAACUUAAUUUCUUUUUUUUUUGACAUNNNNNNNNNNNNNNNNNNNNNNNNNNNNNNNNNNNNNNNNNNNNNNNNNNNNNNNNNNNNNNNNNNNNNNNNNNNNNNNNNNNNNNNNNNNNNNNNNNNNNNNNNNNNNNNNNNNNNNNNNNNNNNNNNNNNNNNNNNNNNNNNNNNNNNNNNNNNNNNNNNNNNNNNNNNNNNNNNNNNNNNNNNNNNNNNNNNNNNNNNNNNNNNNNNNNNNNNNNNNNNNNNNNNNNNNNNNNNNNNNNNNNNNNNNNNNNNNNNNNNNNNNNNNNNNNNNNNNNNNNNNNNNNNNNNNNNNNNNNNNNNNNNNNNNNNNNNNNNNNNNNNNNNNNNNNNNNNNNNNNNNNNNNNNNNNNNNNNNNNNNNNNNNNNNNNNNNNNNNNNNNNNNNNNNNNNNNNNNNNNNNNNNNNNNNNNNNNNNNNNNNNNNNNNNNNNNNNNNNNNNNNNNNNNNNNNNNNNNNNNNNNNNNNNNNNNNNNNNNNNNNNNNNCCUGUUGCUCCACCGACGUACUUCUUUCUCCUAUAUAUAUCCACGUACCCCCAAACGAUCAGAUACGAAGCCAAAAACCUAAUUCCACCGCCGCAACUUUCUGUAUCCACGAGAUCCCAUCAUGGGGCCUGUUCCGGAGCUCCGCCGGAGGAGGCAUCGAUCACGGAGGGCUUCUACAUCAUCAUCCAAGCCCCUCCGAUGAAGUGUGAGUAGUUUACUUCAGACCUACGGGUCCAUAGUUAGUAGCAAGAUGGCUUCUUCUCUCUUUUCGGAUCUCAAUACAAUGUUCUCCCCCUCUCUCGUGGAGAUCUAUUCGAUGUAGUCUUCUUUUUGCGGUGUGUUUGUUGAGACCGAUGAAUUGUGGGUUUAUGAUCCAGUCUAUCUAUGAAUAAUAUUUGAAUCUUCUCUGAAUUCUUUUAUGUAUGAUUGGUUAUCUUCGCAAGUCUCUUCGAAUUAUCAGUUUGGUUUGGCCUACUAGAUUGGUUGUUCUUGCCAUGGGAGAAGUUCUUAGCUUUGGGUUCAAUCUUGCGGUGCCCUUUCCCAGUGACAGAAGGGGCAGCAAGGCACGUAUUGUAUUGCUGCCAUCGAGGAUAACAAGAUGGUUUUUUUAUCAUAUUGCAUGAAACUAUCCCUCUACAUCAUGUCAUCUUGCUUAAGGCGUUACUCUGUUUUUAACUUAAUACUCUAGAUACAUGCUGGAUAGUGGUCGAUGAGUGGAGUAAUAGUAGUAGAUGCAGGCAGUAGUCAGUCUACUUGUCUCAAACGUGAUGCCUAUAUACAUGAUCAUAUCUAGAUAUUCUCAUAACUAUGCUCAAUUCUGUCAAUUGCUCAACAGUAAUUUGUUCACCCACCGUAGAAUACUUAUGCUCUUGAGAGAAACCACUAGUGAAACCUAUGGCCCCCGGGUCUCUUUCUCAUCAUAUCAAUCUCCAUCACUUUAUUAUUGCUUUGCUUUUACUUUGCUUUUACUUUUUACUUUGCAUCUCUAUACCAAAAAUAUUAUCUCACUUUCGUAAGUGACCGUGAAGGGAUUGACAACCCCUAAGCGCGUUGGUUGCGUUGAGCUAUUGUUUUUGUGUAGGUACGAGGGACUCGCACGUAGCCUCCUACUGGAUUGAUACCUUGGUUCUCAAAAACUGAGGGAAAUACUUACGCUAGUUUGCUGCAUCAUCCUCUCCUCUUCGGGGAAAUCCAACGCAGUGCUCAAGUGGUAGCAAGAAGAAUUUCUGGCGCCGUUGCCGGGGAGUCUGCGCAAAAGUCAACAUACCAAGUACCCAUGACAAUCCCUAUCUCCCGCAUUACAUUAUUUGCCAUUUCCCUCUCAUUUUCCACUCCCCCACUUCACCCUUGCCGUUUUAUUCGCCCUCUCUCUCUAUCCUCCCUCUCUUUCUCUAUUUGCCUCUUUUUGCCCGUUUGCCUUUUGUUUGCUCGUGUGUUGGAUUGCUUGUUCGUCGCGAUGGCUCAAGAUAAUACUAAAUUGUGUGACAUCACCAAUACCAACAACAAUGAUUUCCUUAGCACUCCGAUUGCUCCUCUUACCGAUACUGAAUCUUGUGAAAAUUAAUACUGCUUUGCUGAAUCUUGUCAUGAAAGAUCCAUUCUCCGGCCUUCCUAGUGAAGAUGCCGCUACCCAUCUUAAUAGCUUUGUUGAUUUGUGUGACAUGCAAAAUAAGAAAGAUGUCGAUAAUGAUAUUGUUAAAUUGAAGCUACUUCCUUUUUCGCUUAGAGAUCAUGCUAAAGCUUGGUUUUCAUCUUUGCCUAAAAAUAGUAUUGAUUCAUGGAACAAGUGCAAAGAUGCUUUUAUUUCUAAGUAUUUUCCUCCCGCUAAGAUCAUCUCUCUUAGAAACGAUAUUAUGAAUUUUAAGCAACUUGAUCAUGAACAUGUUGCACAAGCUUGGGAUAGAAUGAAAUUAAUGAUACGUAAUUGCCCUACUCAUGGUUUAAAUUUGUGGAUGAUUAUACAAAUUUUUUAUGCCGGAAUGAUUUUUGCUUCUAGAAAUCUUUUGGAUUCGGCCGCGGGAGGCACUUCUAUGGAAAUCACUUUAGGAGAAGCUACUAAACUCCUAGAUAAUAUUAUGGUUAAUUAUUCUCAAUGGCAUACUGACAGAUCUACUAAAAAGGUGCAUGCGAUAGAAGAAAUUAAUGUUUUGAGUGGAAAGAUGGAUGAACUCAUGAAAUUAUUUGCUAAUAACAGUGUUUAUUCUGAUCCUAAUGAUGUGCCCUUGUCUACUUUGAUUGAGAAUAAUAAUGAAUCUAUGGAUGUGAAUUUUGUUGGUAGGAACAAUUUUGGUAACAACGCGUAUAGAGGAAAUUUCAAUCCUAGGCCUUAUCCUAGUAAUCCCUCUAAUAAUUAUGGUAAUUCCUACAACAAUUCUUAUGGAAAUUAUAAUAAUAUGCCCUCUGAUUUUGAAUCUAAUAUUAAAGAAUUUAUUUCUUCGCAAAAGAAUUUUAAUGCUAUGAUUGAAGAAAAAUUGUUUAAGAUUGACGAUUUGGCUAGGAACGUUGAUAGAAUUGCUCUUGAUGUUGAUUCUUUAAAACUUAGAUCUAUUCCACCUAAGCAUGAUAUGAAUUAGUCUCUCAAAGCCAUGAGAAUUUCCAUUGAUGAGUGCAAAGAAAGAACCGCUAGGAUGCGUGCUAAGAAAGAUGCCUUUAUAAAAGCGUGUUCUUCUAGUUCCUUUGAAAAUAAUGAUGAAGAUCUAAAAGUUAUUGAUGUGUCCCAUAUUAAAUCUUUGUUUUGCAAUAUGAAUCUUGAUAAUGAUGGGACUGAAUAUGAUCCACCUCUACCUAUAAGGCGUUCCAAUAAUUCUGAAUCUUUUGAUCUUGAUGCUAAAUUUGAUAAAAGUGGGAUUGAAGAAAUUAAAACCCUAGAUGUUGCUAAACCCACUAUUAUGGAUUUCAAGGAAUUUAACUAUGAAAAUUUCUCUUUGAUUGAUUGUAUUUCCUUGUUGCAAUCCGUGCUAAAUUCUCCUCACGCUUAUAGUCAAAAUAACGUGUUUACGAAACAUAUCGUUGAUGCCUUGAUGCAAUCUUAUGAAGAAAAACUUGAAUUGGAAGUUUCUAUCCCUAGAAAACUUUAUGAUGAGUGGGAACCAACUAUUAAAAUUAAAAUUAAAGAUCAUGAGUUUUAUGCUUUGUGUGAUUUGGCUGCUAGUGUCUCUACUAUUCCCAAAACUUUGUGUGAUUUGCUAGAUUUCGGUAAUUUUGAUGAUUACCCUCUAAACUUGCAUCUUGCGGAUUCCACUAUUACGAAACCUAUGGGAAGAAUUAAUGAUGUUCUUAUUGUUGCAAAUAGGAAUUAUGUGCCCGUAGAUUUUAUCGUUCUUGAUAUAGAUUGCAAUCCUUCUUGCCCUAUUAUUCUCGGUAAACCUUUCCUUAGAACGGUUGGUGCAAUUAUUGAUAUGAAGGAAGGGAAUAUUAUAUUCCAAUUUACAUUUAAAAAGGGCAUGGAAAACUUCCCUAGAAAGAAAAUAAAAUUACCAUAUGAAUCUAUCAUGAGAGCCACUUAUGGAUUGCCUACCAAAGAUGGCAAUACCUAGAUCUAUUCUUGCUUGUUAUGCCUAGCUAGGGGCGUUAAACGAUAGCGCUUGUUGGGAGGCAACCCAAUUUUAUUUUUAUUCCUUGCUUUUUGCUCCACUUUAGUAAUUAAUAAAUUAUUUAUCCUCUGUUUUGGUUGUGUUUUUGUAUUUAAUUAGUGUUUGUGCCAAGUAGAACCGUUGGGAAGACUUGGCGAAAGUCUUGUUGAACUUGCUGUAAAAAACAGAAACUUUAGCGCUCACGAGAACUGCUGUCAUUUUUAUUUGGAGAGUGAUAUUUAGUUAAUUAUUUUUGCAGAUGAUUAAUAGAUAAAUUCCCCACGUCCAGCAAUUUAUUUUAGAAUUUUUGGGGUUCCAGAUCAUGCGCUAGAUACAGAUUACUACAGACUGUUCUGUUUUGACAGAUUCUAGUUUUCGUGUGUUGUUUGCUUAUUUUGAUGAAUCUUUGGCUAGUAAAAUAGUUUAUGAACCAUAGAGAAGUUGGAAUACAGUAGGUAUAACACCCAUAUAAAUAAAGAAUGAGUUCAUUACAGUACCUUGAAGUGGUCUUUUGUUUUCUUUCGCUAACGGAGCUCACGAGAUUUUCUACUUUGAGUUUUGUGUUGUGAAGUUUUCAAGUUUUUGGUAAAGAUUUGAUGGAUUAUGGAACAAGGAGUGGCAAUAGCCUAAGCUUGGGGAUUCCCAUGACACCCCCAAGAUAAUAUAAGGACACCUAAAAGCCAAAGCUUAGGGAUGCCCCGGAAGGGAUCCCCUCUUUCGUCUACUUCUAUCGGUAACUUUACUUGGAGCUAUAUUUUUAUUCACCACAUGAUAUGUGUUUUGCUUGGAGCGUCUUUUAUGAUUUGAGUAUUUGCUUGUUAGAGUACCACAAUCAUCCUUACUGUACACACCUUUUGAGAGAGCCAUACAUAACUUGGAAUUUGAUAGAAUACUCUAUGUGCUUCACUUAUAUCUUUUGAGUUAUAUAAUUUUGCUCUAGUACUUCACUUAUAUCUUUUAGAGCACGGUGGUGGGUUUGUUUUAUAGAAACUACUGAUCUCUCAUGCUUCACUUAGAUUAUUUUGAGAGUCUUAAUAGCAUGGUAAUUUGCUUAAUAAUAAUAUGCUUGGUAUUCAAGAUUUGUAAAUCUUUCUUUUGAGUGCGUUGAAUACUAAGAAAAAAAUUGAUGCUUGAUAAUUGUUUUGAGAUAUGAGGAUGGUGAUAUUAGAGUCAUGCUAGUUGAGUAGUUGUGAAUUUGAGAAAUGCUUCUGUUAAAGUUUGUGAUUCCCGUAGCAUGCACGUAUGGCGUACCGUUAUGUGAUGAAGUCGGAGCAUGAUUUAUUUAUUGAUUGUCUUCCUUAUGAGUGGCGGUCGGGGACGAGCGAUGGUCUUUUCCUACCAAUCUAUCCCCCUAGGAGCAUGCACGUAAUACUUUGCUUUGAUAACUUGUAGAUUUUUGCAAUAAGUAUAUGAGUUCUUUAUGACUAAUGUUGAGUCCAUGGAUUAUACGCACUCUCACCCUUCCACCAUUGCUAGUCUCUCUAAUACCGCGCACUUUUCGCCGGUAUCAUACACCCACCAAAUACCUUCCUCAAAACAACCACCAUACCGAGAUAUAUUGUCAUAUUGCUAUGCAACUUUCCACCGUUCCGUUCAUUAUGACAUGCUCCAUCAUUGUCAUAUUGCUAGCAUGAUCAUGUAGUUGACAUCGUAUUUGUGGCAAAGCCACCGUUCAUAAUUCUUUCAUACAUGUCACUCUUGAUUCAUUGCAUAUCCCGGUACACCACCGGAGGCAUUCAUAUAGAAUCAUAUUUUGUUCUAAGUAUUGAGUUGUAAGAAAAAAAGUGUGAUGAUCAUCAUUUUUAGAGCAUUGUCCCAAGUGAGGAAAGGAUGAUGGAGACUAUGAUUCCCCCACAAGUCGGGAUGAGACUCCGGACGAAAAAAGAAAGAAAGAAAAAGAGGCCAUAAAAAAGAGAUGGCCCAAAAAAAUGAGAGAAAAAGAGAGAAGGGAAUAUGUUACUAUCCUUUUACCACACUUGUGCUUCAAAGUAGCACCAUGAUCUUCAUGAUAGAGAGUCUCUCAUUCCGUCACUUUCAUAUACUAGUGGGAAUUUUUCAUUAUAGAACUUGGCUUGUAUAAUCGAAUGAUGGGCUUCCUCAAAAUGCCCUAGGUCUUCGUGAGCAAGCGAGUUGGAUGCACACCCACUUAGUUUCUUUUGUUGAGCUUUCAUAUACUUAUAGCUCUAGUGCAUCCGUUGCAUGGCAAUCCCUACUCACUCACAUUGAUAUCUAUUGAUGGGCAUCUCCAUAGCUCGUUGAUACGCCUAGUUGAUGUGAGACUAUCUUCCCUUAUUUUUGUCUUCUCCACAACCACCAUUCUAUUCCACUUAUAGUGCUAUAUCCAUGGCUCACGCUCAUGUAUUGCAUGAUGAUCGAAAAAGUUUUGAAAAUGUCAAAAGUAUGAAACAAUUGCUUGGCUUGUCAUCGGGGUUGUGGAUGAUUUAAAUACUUUGUGUGGUGAAGAUAGAGCAUAGCCAGACUAUAUGAUUUUGUAGGGAUAGCUUUCUUUGGCCAUGUUAUUUUGAGAAGACAUAAUUGCUUUGUUAGUAUGCUUGAAGUAUUAUUAUUUUUAUGUCAACAUGAACUUUUGUCUUGAAUCUUUUGAAUCUGAAUAUUCAUACCACAAUUAAGAAGAUUUACAUUGAAAUUAUGCCAAGUAGCACUCCACAUCAAAAAUUCUAUUUUUAUCAUUUACCUACUCGAGGACGAGCAGGAAUUAAGCAUGGGGAUGCUUGAUAUGUCUCCAACGUAUCUAUAAUUUUUUAUUGCUCCAUGCUAUAUUAUCUACUAUUUUGGACAUUAUUGGGCUUUAUUACCCACAUUUAUAUUAUUUUUGGGACUAACCUAUUAACCGGAGGCCCAACCCAGAAUUGCUAUUUUUUUGCCUAUUUUAGGGUUUCGAAGAAAAGGAAUAUCAAACAGAGUCCAAACGGAAUGAAACCUUCGGGAACGUGAUUUUCUCACUGAAUACAACUCAGGAGACUUGGACCCUAUGUCAAGCCAAUUAACAGGAGGCCACGAGGUAGGGGGCGCGCUUGCCCCCCAGGCGCGCCCUCCACCCUCGUGGGCCCCCUGUUGCUCCACCGACAUACUUCCUCCUCCUAUAUAUAUCCACAUACCCCCAAACGAUCAGAUACGGAGCCAAAAACCUAAUUCCACCGCCGCAACUUUCUGUAUCCAUGAGAUCCCAUCUUGGGGCCUGUUCCGGAGCUCCGCCGGAGAGGGCAUCGAUCACGGAGGGCUUCUACAUCAUCAUCCAAGCCCCUCCGAUGAAGUGUGAGUAGUUUACUUCAGACCUACGGGUCCAUAGUUAGUAGCAAGAUGGCUUCUUCUCUCUUUUUGGAUCUCAAUACAAUGUUCUCCCCCUCUCUCGUGGAGAUCUAUUCGAUGUAAUAUUCUUUUUGCGGUGUGUUUGUUGAGACCAAUGAAUUGUGGGUUUAUGAUCCAGUCUAUCUAUGAAUAAUAUUUGAAUCUUCUCUGAAUUCUUUUAUGUAUGAUUGGUUAUCUUUGCAAGUCUCUUCGAAUUAUCGGUUUAGUUUGGCCUACUAGAUUGGUUGUUCUUGCCAUGGGAGAAGUGCUUAGCUUUGGGUUCAAUCUUGCGGUGUCCUUUCCCAGUGAUAGAAGGGGCAUCAAGGCAUGUAUUGUAUUGUUGCCAUCGAGGAUAACAAGAUGGGGGUUUUUAUCAUAUUGCAUAAAACCAUCCCUCUACAUCAUGUCAUCUUGCUUAAGGCGUUACUCUGUUUUUUAACUUAAUACUCUAGAUGCAUGCUGGAUAGCGGUCGAUGAGUGGGGUAAUAGUAGUAGAUGCAGGCAGGAGUCGGUCUACUUGUCUCGGUCGUGAUGCCUAUAUACAUGAUCAUACCUAGAUAUUCUCAUAACUAUGCUCAAUUCUGUCAAUUGCUCGACAGUAAUUUGUUCACCCACCGUAGAAUACUUAUGCUCUUGAGAGAAGCCACUAGUGAAACCUAUGGCCCCGGGGUCUCUUUCUCAUCAUAUCAAUCUCCAUCACUUUAUUAUUGCUUUGCUUUUACUUUUUACUUUGCAUCUCUAUACCAAAAAUACCAAAACUAUUAUUUAUCAUCUCUAUCAGAUCUCACUUUCGUAAGUGACUGUGAAGGGAUUGAUAACCCCUAAGCGCGUUGGUUGCGUUGAGCUAUUGUUUUUGUGUAGAUACGAGGGACUCGCGCGUAUGUCAUUACAAUAGUAUUUAUUCAUAAACCUAUUUAUAAUUGACUUAUUGUAUGUCACAAGUUGAUUAUUUUAGGUCACAUAGAAGUCGACUAAUCUACUUAAGCAAUAUGUUGAUAUUAUUCGUAUCUGUUCCGAAUCAAGAAAAUAUCCGAUACGUAUCCAUAUUCGAAUAAUAUUUGAGUCGCAUCCGUAUCCGAUAACAUCCGUAUUCGGAUUCGUAUUCGUUUUGAAAAUAUGAAAAUGGAAGUGGUAAGAGCACUAUCCGAUCCGCAUCCGAUCCGUUUCCACCCCUAUUUUUGCCAUGAUUAUUGUGUGCAUGAUAUGCCCCUGAGCUCUACAUGUGUUUUGUCAUAUGCUUUGUCAUCUUUCCAGUGGUGCUAUCCAUGUAUUUUUUUGAUGUGUGUGGUGACUAGCACAAGCUUGCAAAGUGGUGCAUUCGUUAAUGCUGAUUUCAGGGACUUAGCAAUUCCACUAAGUCCUUGAUCUGUUUUUAUCAAUAUGCCAUAUGUUCAUGUUGUUUCCUAGUGAUCCGUGCCUCUUUUGAGGAUGAUCAGUAAGGAUGUUUUGUUAAUCUUGUAGUGCUCUAUCCAUCCAUGUCUUUGUUUGCAAUUAUGGAGCACCCUAGCUUGAGUCAAUCGAGCUCUACUUUUGCUAUUUCGUGAAUCUGGGCAGAUUGUCUACUUGUUAGCGAUUUUGCCGAGGAUGUUGUAGUUGAUCCGUGCAUGCUAUGUUAUUGUUCUUGCCAUUUCUAGCUUGUAUAAUGUGUAUUCUUGAUGGGUGUAUGCUUAGAUUGUCAUGCCUUGCUCUGUAGUGAGUGCAUCAAGCUCGUAAACAUGCCUACUUGAUAUCUGAUUUGCAUGCUCCAGUUUUUCACUAAGUCUGUGAUCUGUUUAAGUUUUUGUCCUGUUCACAUGCUUGCAAUUGUAUUUUCUGAUCCCUUUUGGCUCAAGGUCACUAAGGGACUUUUGUUAAGCUCUUUGAGUAGCUCCAUGCCAUGCUUUAAUUUUCCAUGUUCAGGCCAUGUAGCAUAUAGUUUUCAUGCUCCAAAGUGUGCUACCUGAUUUGAAAUUCCAGACAAGUGUUAAUUUCACUAAGUCUGAAAUCUGUUUACCAACUGCAUUUUUUCCAUGCUUGUUUGAACCUGUUAAUGGAUGAAUUGGCCAUAGAUCAGUGUUCAUCUUUUGUUAAGCUUCAUGAAUGGAUCCCGGCCAUGUAUUUUGUUGCCAUGUUUGAGUGUUGUAGCAUGUUUGUCUUGUUGCAUUUAGAUGGCUACUUGCUGUAUAUCGCAGACCGGUGCCAUAUUUGACUUGCUUGCCAUUUCUAAACCGUGUCUCCGAUUCCGGCGUUCUUUAUAUCGUUUUCAAGCGAAAUCAUCUCAACUUUCCAGUGGCACACUUGGAUUUCCAUGUUGAGCCCAGGUUCAUUCAUUCCUUGUCAAAUCUUGCAUAUGCAUCACAUAGCGCAUCCCGCAUAGCAUACCAUGUUUGCAUCAUGUUGUUUGAGCUUUGCACGUGGUUGAUUGUGUUAUUGUUGCUUGUUUGUCUUGUUUGGGUAGAGCCGGGAGACGAGUUCGCUAACGAGGAGCCCGUUGAGUUUGCUUUCGAGGAUCCAGUCAACUCUGACAACUUUGCAGGCAAGAUGAUCAUACCCUCGAAAUCACUUCUAUCUUUGCUUUGCUAGAUGCUCGCUCUUUUGCUAUGCCUAUGCUACGGUGCCUACCACUUGCUUAUCAUGCCUCCCAAUUUGCCAUGUCAAACCUCUAACCCACCAUGUCCUAGCAAACCGUUGAUUGGCUAUGUUACCGCUUUGCUCAGCCCCUCUUAUAGCGUUGCUAGUUGCAGGUGAAGAUUGGAGACCGUUCCUUGUUGGAAAAUUAUUUUUCUUGUUGGGAUAUCAUUAUAUUAUCUUGUUAUCUUAAUGCAUGUAUAUACUUGGUAAAGGGUGGAAGGUUCGGCCUUUUGCCUAGUAUUUUGUUCCACUCUUGCCGCCCUAGUUUCCGUCAUAUCGGUGUUAUGUUCCCGGAUUUUGCGUUCCUUACGCGGUUGGGUGAUAAUGGGAACCCCUUGACAGUUCGCCUUGAAUAAAGCUCUUCCAGCAAUGCCCAACCUUGGUUUUACCAUUUGCCACCUAGCCCCUUUUUCCCUUGGGUUUCCGGAGCCCAAGGGUCAUCUUAUUUAAACCCCCCCCCCCCCCGGGCCAGUGCUCCUCUGAGUGUUGGUCCAAACUAGAGUCAUGUGCAGCGCCCCCUCAGGGAAACUCGAGGUUUGGUUUUAGUUGUAUGGAGCGCUCAUCUGAGUGUGCCCUGAGAACGAGAUAUGUGCAGCUCCUAUCGGGAUUUGUCGGCACAUUCGGGCGGUGUUGCUGGAUUGGUUUUAAAUUGUCGGGUUGUCUUGUAGAACCGGGAUACCGAGUCUGAUCGGAACGUCUCGGGAGAAGGUAUAUCCUUCGUUGACCGUGAGAGCUUGUCAUGGGCUAAGUUGGGACUCCCCUGCAGGGAUUUGAAGUUUCGAAAGCCGUGCCCAUGGUUAUGGGCAGAUGGGAAUUUGUUAAUGUCCGGUUGUAGAUAACUUGAACCUUAACUUAAUUAAAAUGAAUCAACUGUGUGAGUUACCGUGAUGGUCUCUUCUCGGCGGAGUCUGGGAAGUGAACACGGUGUUGGAGUAAUGCUUUCCGCAGGUUGUUCUCUAGCUAUUCGAUCAUGCAUUGCCUUCUCUUCUCGCUCUCAUUUGCGAAUAGGUUAGUCACCAUAUCUUGCUAGUCGCUUGCUGCAGCUCCACAUAUUUUACCUUGCCUUACCUAUAAGCUUAAAUAGUCUUGAUCGCGAGGGUGUGUGAUUGCUGAGUCCCUGUGGCUCACAGAUUACUUCCAAACCAGAUGCAGGUCCUGAUGACUCCGUUCCAGAUGACGCGCUUGAGCUCAAGUGGGAGUUCGACGAGGACUCACGCCGUUACUAUGUGUCUUUCCCUGAUGAUCAGUAGUGGUGCCCAGUUGGGGCGAUCGGGACCGUGUCGCAUGUUGGGUUGGUCUUUCAUUUUGGCACCAUAGUCGGGCCAUGAGUGACUGGAUGAUGUAAUGCUAUUUAUGUACUUUGUUUGACGUGGCGAGUGUAAGCCAACUAUGUACCUUCCCCUUUUAUUAUUUAUACUACAUGGGAUGUUGUGAAGAUUGCCUAACUUGCAACAUUGCUUUCAAUGCGGUUAUGCCUCUAAGUCGUGCUUCGACACGUAGGAGAUAUAGCCGCAUCAAGGGCGUUACAAGUUGGUAAUCAGAGCCUUCCCCGACCUUAGGAGCCCCCACUGCUUGAUCGUUUUUAGCAGCCGAGUUGACUCUAGAAAAAAAUGUUUUGAGUCAUUUAGGAAUUAUAUAUCGGAGAGCUUAGGAAUUAUUUUUACUCCCCAGUCCCUUCAUCGCUCUGGUAAGGCAUCCUGACGUAGAGUUUUGACUCUUCUCUUCUCAAAUUUCACUAAAAAAAUUUAGGAUCACACGGGUAUCUUGGAAUCGUGCUGAUGGAUUUGUGACGAGAACAUUGUUCUUGGUGCCUCCUGUCAUUUAGGGGUUGUGGCAGUGUCCCGGGGAGUUGAGCUCCAAGGUGUUGUCCUCACAAUUUUAUCAUUGCAGUUCUGGAAUACCUGAGUUUAGUACGCCGACAUCAAAAAUCUCUUUUAUGCAGUUGUUGGUGAGAUAACCUCGACGCCACCCAGUACUGGAGCGGGAGUUCGGGAGUAUUGCCAUAAGUUGUAUAACGGAUGCUUUUCGAAGGUUGAGGUAGAUGGUUUCCGAAGUUUUUCUCAGUUAUGCGUUGAAGGAUGGAUAUAGCUGGAUGUAGGAUUUGCUAGAUUUGGGUGAGAUAUUAUGCUUCCCUUGUAUCCCCAACACCUGAUUGCAUAACCAGAAAGGUUCGGGAGUUUCAUAGGUGGGAAUUCUUGUAGCUCUAGUUCUUCUUCCACGGAUAUUUGGUUUGAGAUUGGGAUUUCUUACCGAGUAUUCGUUCUUGAUCCGUACCUUGUUGAUUUUUUCCUCUACCUAAAUUCUAAGUGGCUUCUCAAUUUAUGGAUAUGUGACCAUUUCAAGUGGAAUACAUUCGUUCAUUUUGUUCGGAUGUGAAGACUAUAUGUUGCAAUUUCAACCCGCUUGAUUCAGCUUCAUUUUAUCUGUCAUUGUGCUAACGGAUGUCACCCUCUUCAGGAUGGCUCCCGCUAAGAGAAGCAAUUAGUCAGAAUCAGGAUCCGCCACAACCUCCUCCUCCUCCAGAGGCAUGGCAAGCUGUGAUGGCCGCAACCAAUGCAAACACGCAAUUGAUCAUGCAGAUUCUUCAAGAGCACAAUCAAGCGAACCAAGGCAACCAAGGCAACAAUCAGAAUCACUUAGCUACACUCAACCACUUCCUUGCUAACCAGCCAAAGACCUUCAGGAAUUGUGUUGAGGCAACUGAUGCUGACGAUUGGCUCGUGGACUUAUGCAAGCAUUUUGAGUGCAGUAACGUCAGGCCUGAGGACUUUGUCAAGUUCGCUUCCUUCCAACUCAAAGACCAAGCUGCAGAAUGGUUCCAGCAGUACAAGGAUUCCAGAGGAGGCCGUGUGAUUACCUGGGAUGAAUUCCGUCAAGACUUCAAAGCUCAUCAUAUUCCUCAGAGCAUGGUUGAAAGCAAGCAUGAGGAAUUCCACAACCUGAAGCAAGGCUCUUUAUCUGUCUAUGACUACAACAAGUUGUUUCAGAAGCUCGCCCGCUUUGCUAAGCAGGACGUCCCUGACGAGAAGAGCAUGAUAUACCAGUUCAGGGGUGGUCUCAGAGAAGAAAUCCAGCUAGCUCUUGUUCUCUUUGAGCCCUUGAGGUACGAUGAGUUCUACAACAUGGCAUUGAAGCAAGAGGCUGCUCAACUGAGGUGUGAUGCUUCCAAGAAGCAAGUCAGAGAUGCUACUCCUUCUUCCUCUACUCAAGUGGCCAAGCAGCAGAAGUAUUGGCUUCCUCCUCCGUUCCGUCAGUUGUAUCAGAAGAGCAAAGGUGGAAGUGGAUCUUCCCACCCACCCAACCCUGGUUUUCAGAACAAGACUUCGUCUCAAGCUCCAAGAUCGAGUGCUCCGUAUCACCGUCCGCUUUCAGAGGUCACGUGCAACAAGUGCCAACAGGAGGGUCACUAUGCCAACAAGUGCUUCAACCAGAGGCGUCUCCCUCCUCCUCCUCCUGUGAGAUCGGCAAGUACAGAUGUGGUCAAGCAUAACCCCAAGUACGCCAAGGUCAACAUGGUGAAUGCAGCUCAGGCAGAGGACUUGUCAGAUGUCAUCAUGGGUAACCUUCCUGUUAACGAUAUCCCUGCAGGAGUUCUUUUGACACUGGUGCAUCGCAUUGUUUCAUUUCCAAACCUUUUGCAUCAAAGUAUGAGUGCGAUUAUCAGUAUCUGCAAAGUUCCUUGCAAAUCGUGUCACCGGGCAAGCAUGACAGCUAAUACCUGCGUCCCGGAUGUUACUAUCACGUUGGGCAACUACAAAUAUCUAGCUUCUCCUAUUGUUCUGGGCGACUCGGAUAUUGAUCUUAUUCUCGGAAUGGAUUGGCUUUCUAAGCACAAGGCGCAUCUUGAUUGUGCAGCCAGGCAGAUUCAAUUGACUCAUUCGUCUGAGGAUGUAAUUGUCUUUGCCGCUCGUGAUGGUACAAUCCGUCUGUUUUCUCUCAAUGAGAAGGGUGAACUGGAUGCCAUCUUGCAAAUUCCAGUCGUUUGCGAAUGUCAAGACAUCUUUCCAGAAGAGCUUCCAGGAAUGCCUCCGCACUGGCCAGUUGAAUUCGUCAUCGAUCUUGACCCUGGCACGAAACCAGUGUGCAAGCGUCCUUACAAUCUCGGACCUGAAGAGUUGAAGGAGCUGAAGAAGCAACUCGAUAUUCAAGAACAAAUGGGUCUCAUCCGAUCUAGUUCUUCUCCAUGGGGUUGUGGAGUUCUUUUUGUGAAGAAGAAGGAUGGAACGGACCGACUUUGUGUUGACUAUCGUCCAUUGAACAAGAAGACUAUCAAGAACAAAUACCCACUUCCCAACAUCAACGAGCUGUUCGAACAACUCAAAGGUGCCCAAGUAUUAUCCAGGAUUGAUCUCUGCAUGGGUUAUCAUCAGAUUCGUAUCCGUUAGCAAGAUAUUCCCAAGACGGCUUUCAGAACAAGCUAUGGUUCAUAUGAAUACACUGUCAUGUCUUUUGGCCUCGUCAACGCUCCUCCGACUUUCUCUCGCAUGAUGAACUUCAUCUUCAACGCCUACACCAAUGACUUUGUUUUGGUCUAUCUCGACGACAUUCUGGUCUUUUCGAAGAACAAGGAAGAUCAUGCCAAGCACUUGCGUUUGGUACUCGAUAAGCUCAGGGAACACCAGUUCUACGCCAAGUUCUCAAAGUGCGAAUUUUGGCUCGAUGAGGUUCUUUAUCUUGGGCAUAUCAUCUCUGCCAAGGGCAUUGCGGUGAAUCCUGAGAAGGUGUCUGCAAUUGUGAAUUGGGAACCACCUCAGAACAUGAAGCAACUCCGUAGCUUCCUCGGUCUAGCAAGCUACUGUCGAAGGUUCGUUGAGAACUUUUCAAAGAUCGCGAAGGCUCUCUCUAAUCUUCUCCAGAAGCAUAUCAAGUACGUUUGGUUUCCGGAAUGUGACAUUGCUUUCAACACUUUGAAAGAGAAAUUGGUCACUGCUCCAGUUCUGACUCCUCCUGAUGAAUACAAACCGUUCGAGGUCUUCUGCGAUGCCUCUCUCCAAGGUCUUGGUGCAGUGUUGAUGCAAGAGAAGAAAGUUGUGGCUUAUACCUCUCGCCAGUUGAAGCCCAAUGAGAAGAAGUACCCCACUCAUGACCUCGAGUUGGCGGCAGUUGUGCAUGCUCUUUUGACUUGGAGACAUCUCUUAUUGGGAAGAAAAGUGGACAUCUUCACUGACCACAAGAGUCUCAAGUACAUCUUCACUCAGCCUAAUCUCAACCUCAGGCAGACUCGAUGGGUCGAAAUGAUUCAAGAGUAUAAUCCAAGUAUCAAGUACACUCCAGGCAAGGCCAAUGUGAUUGCUGACGCAUUGAGCAGGAAGGCUUACUGCAACAGUCUGAUUCUCAAGCCUUAUCAACCCGAGCUUUGUGAAGCUUUUCACAAACUCAAUCUGCAAUUUGUUCCUCAAGGUUUCCUCGCCAACCUUCAAGUCUCUCCUACCUUGGAAGACCAGAUUCGCCAAGCCCAACUUCUUGAUGCUAUGGUGAAGAAGGUGAAGAUUGGGAUUGCCAAGAGUCAACCCAAGUACAAGUGCUACCGCCUUGACGACAAGGAUCCUCUUUUCUUCGAGGAUCGUAUUGUUGUGCCCAAAGGUGACCUUCGUAAAGUGAUCAUGAACGAGGCUCAUAAUUCACUCCUCUCCAUCCACUCUGGGAGCACGAAGAUGUAUCAGGACCUCAAGCAGGAUUAUUGGUGGACUCGAAUGAAGCGCGAGAUUGCUCAGUUCGUGAAUGAGUGUGAUGUCUGCAGAAGAGUGAAGGCAGAACACCAAAGGCCAGCUGGUCUCCUCCAACCUCUUGCCAUUCCAGAAUGGAAGUUUGACCACAUUGAGAUGGACUUCGUGACUGGGUUUCCAAAGUCCAAGCGUGGCAAUGAUGCUAUAUUCGUUGUCAUUGACAAACUCACUAAAGUGGCUCACUUUCUGCCUAUCAAAGAGUCUAUCAUUGCAGCUCAAUUGGUGGAGCUCUGUACCUCUGAAAUUGUCUCGCUGCACGGUAUUCCACAGGUGAUCUCUUCAGACCGUGGCAGCAUCUUUACCUCCAUAUGCUGAAUUCUCCUACAACAACAGUUUUCAAGCAAGUUCGGGCAAGGCCCCAUUCGAAAUUCUGUAUGGCAGGAAGUGUCGUACCCCUCUCAACUGGUCUGAAACCGGUGAACGUCAACUUCUGGGAAUUGACUUAAUCACAGAGGCAAAGGAUAUGUGCAAAGUCAUUCGUGAUAACCUCAAAGCAACGCAAUCGCGCCAGAAGAGCUACUAUGAUAGUAAGCAUCGUGAUCUGGCUUUCGAGAUCGGAGAUCAUGUUUACCUCCGCGUCUCUCCAAUGAAAGGUACUCGUCGCUUCAGUAUCAAAGGGAAGCUUGCCCCUAGAUACGUGGGACCUUUCAAGAUCGUCAGCAAGAGAGGCGAUCUUGCCUAUCAACUCGAGAUUCCUUCAAACUUUGCAAAUGUGCAUGAUGUGUUCCAUGUCUCUCAGCUCCGCAAGUGCUUCAAGACUCCUGAACGCACCGUCAACUUCGAAGACAUUGAUCUCCAAGAAGACCUCUCUUAUCGUGAGCACCCUGUUGCUAUUCUUGAAGAGACUAAACGCAAGACUCGCAAUAAGUCAAUCAAAUUCCUCAAAGUCAAGUGGUCACACCAUUCCGACCAUGAAGCCACCUGGGAACGCGAGGAUCACCUCAGUUCUGAGUACCCGACGUUCUUCCAGUCCUAGAUCUCGGGACGAGAUCCUUUCGUAGUGGUGGAGUGUUGUAACACCCCGGAUAUGAUUUACCUAAUAUGUAAUCCAACUCUUGCCGUUUCCGGCGUUAAGUUAUUUUAUUUUCUCAGGUUCGGGUUUUUGUCUCCGUGCGUUGUUGUUGUUGUCUUGCAUCUCAUAUCAUGUCAUCAUGUGCAUUGCAUUUGCAUAUGUGUUCGUCUCAUGCAUCCGAGCAUUUUCCCCGUUGUCCGUUUUGCAUUCCGGCGCUCCGUUCUCCUCCGGUGGCCAUUUCUACCUUUCUUUCGUGUGUGGGGAUUAGACAUUUCCGGAUUGGACCGGGACUUGCCAAGUUUCGUACCAUUUGGACUUCGUUUGAUGCUGCAACGGUUACCCGAGGGACCAAAAAGGCCUCGUGUGUUGCAGCCCAACACCCCUCCAUUUUGGCCCUAAACCCACCAAAACCCUCUCCAUCAUCUAGAGCGUUCGAUCAUGAUCGCGUGGCCGAAAACCGCACCUCAUUUGGACAAUCCUAGCUCCCUCUAUGCCUAUAUAUAGCCCCUCCUCCGAAAUUCACGGUUCUUCUUCCUACCCUAACCCUAGAAAUCUCCUCGCGCCGCGCCGGACAUGUCCGUUCCGGCCGAACGUCUCGCCGCCGCCGUCCCGGACCAAUAGGAGAGCGCCACGUCACCGCCGCCAUCUCCUCUCUCCUCCGGCCCGGCAAGCCCACGGGAGGCCCUCCCGGGCCCGAGCCGGCCGCCGCCCGCCUCCUCUCACCGCCCGGCUCCGCCGUCAAAGCCGCCGGCCGCCUCCGCCGCGACGCGCCUCGUCGCUGGCGCCGACCUCCGCCACGGCCGCCCAGCUCGCCGCACUGCCCUUCGCCGCCCCAUCGCCAGUGGUCGCCGCCCCGCCGAGUGCCGCCCUCCGCCGCCGCAUCGUCGUCGCCUUGCCGGCCGGUCAAGCUCCGCCUCCGCCGGCGAGCACGAACUCCGGUUGGCCGUCCUCGGGAAGACCGCCGCUAUAGUACCCGGACUCGAUCCGAUCCAGAUCUGAAAAUCUCGAGGGUUGACUUUCUUCAGAAACCCUAGAUAUUUUGCAUUUUUCACCAUGCUAUAACUCCGCAUUCGUAGCUCCGUUUUGGGCGUGUAACAUAUCAAAAUGUUCGCCUCAGAGAGCACAUCAUUUUAUAUCAUUGCAUAAUUUUCAUUUGAGUUCAUCUUGAUGCCCGAAAUACUGUUGGAAAAGUGCUAAUUGAGAUAAUUGUCAGAUCUGCUGCUCCAAAUAGCUAUUUGUCAUUUUUGCCAUGAUUAUUGUGUGCAUGAUAUGCCCCUGCGCUCUACAUGUGUUUUGUCAUAUGCUUUGUCAUCUUUCCAGUGGUGCUAUCCUUGUAUUUUUGUGAUGUGUCUGGUGACUAGCACAAGCUUGCAAAGUGGUGUAUUCGUUAAUGCUGAUUUCAGGGACUUAGCAAUUCCACUAAGUCCUUGAUCUGUUUUUAUCAAUAUGCCAUAUGUUCAUGUUGUUUCCUAGUGAGCCGUGCCUCUUUUGAGGAUGAUCAGUAAGGAUGUUUUGUUAAUAUUGUAGUGCUCUAUCCAUCCAUGUCUUUGUUUACAAUUAUGGAGCACCCUAGCUUGAGUCAAUCGAGCUCUACUUUUGCUAUUUCGUGAAUCUGGGCAGAUUGUCUACUUGUUAGCGAUUUUGCCGAGGAUGUUGUAGUUGAUCCAUGCAUGCUAUGUUAUUGUUCUUGCCAUUUCUAGCUUGUAUAAUGUGUAUUCUUGAUGGGUGUAUGCUUAGAUUGUCAUGCCUUGCUCUGUAGUGAGUGCAUCGAGCUCGUAAACAUGCCUACUUGAUAUCUGAUUUGCAUGCUCCAGUUUUUCACUAAGUCUGUGAUCUGUUUAAGUUUUGUCAUGUUCACAUGCUUGCAAUUGUAUUUUCUGAUCCCUUUUGGCUCAAGGUCCCUAAGGGACUUUUGUUAAGCUCUUUGAGUAGCUCCAUGCCAUGCUUUACUUUGCCAUGUUCAGGCCAUUUAGCAUAUAGUUUUCAUGCUCCAAAGUGUGUUACCUGAUCUGAAAUUCGAGACAAGUGUUAAUUUUACUAAGUCUGAAAUCUGUUUACCAAUUGCAUUUUUUCCAUACUUGUUUGAACCUGUUAAUGGAUGAAUUGGCUGUAGCUCAGUGUUCAUCGUUUGUUAAGCUUCAUGAAUGGAUCCCGGCCAUGUAUUUUGUUGUCAUGUUUGAGUGCUGUAGCAUGUUUGUCUUGUUGCAUUUAGAUGGCUACUUGUUGUAUAUCGCAGUCCGGUGCCAUAUUUGAAUUGUUUGCCAUUUCCAAACCGUGUCUCCAAUUCUGGCGUUCUUUAUAUCGUUUUCAAGCGAAAUCAUCUCAACUUUCCAGUGGAACACUUGGAUUUCCAUGUUGAGGCCAGGUUCAUUCAUUCCUUGUCAAAUCUUGCAUAUGCAUCACAUAGCGCAUCCCGCAUAGAAUACCAUGUUUGCAUCAUGUUGUUUGAGCUUUGCACGUGGUUGAUUGUGUUCUUGUUGCUUGUUUGUCUUGUUUGGGUAGAGCCGGGAGACGAGUUCGCUAACGAGGAGUCCAUUGAGUUUGCUUUCGAGCAUCUAGUCAACUCUGACAACUUUGCAGGCAAGAUGAUCAUACCCUCGAAAUCACUUCUAUCUUUGCUUUGCUAGAUGCUCGCUCUUUUGCUAUGCCUAUGCUAUGAUGCCUACCACUUGCUUAUCAUGCCUCCAAAUUUGCCAUGUCAAACCUCUAACCCACCAUGUCCUAGCAAACCAUUGAUUGGCUAUGUUACCGCUUUGCUCAGCCCCUCUUAUAGUGUUGCUAGUUGCAGGUGAAGAUUGGAGACCGUUCCUUGUUGGAACAUUAUUUUUCUUGUUGGGAUAUCAUUAUAUUAUCUUGUUAUCUUAAUGAAUCUAUAUACUUGGUAAAGGGUGGAAGGCUCGGCCUUUUGCCUAGUGUUUUGUUCCACUCCUGCCGCCCUAGUUUCCGUCAUAUCGGUGUUAUGUUCCCGGAUUUUGCGUUCCUUACGCGGUUGGGUGAUAAUGGGAACCCCUUAACAGUUCGCCUUGAAUAAAGCUCUUCCAGCAAUGCCCAACCUUGGUUUUACCAUUUGCCACCAAGCCCCUUUUUCCCUUGGGUUUCCGGAGCCCAAGGGUCAUCUUAUUUAACCCCCCCCGGGCCAGUGCUCCUCUGAGUGUUGGUCCAAACUAGAGUCCUGUGCAGCGCCCCCCCAGGGAAACUCGAGGUUUGGUUUUAGUUGUAUGGAGCGCUCAUCUGAGUGUGCCCUGAGAACGAGGUAUGUGCAGCUCCUAUCGGGAUUUGUCGGCACAUUUGGGCGGUGUUGCUGGAUUGGUUUUAACUUGUCGGGUUGUCUUAUAGAACCGGGAUACCGAGUCUGAUCGAAACGUCUCGGGAGAAGGUAUAUCCUUCGUUGACCAUGAGAGCUUGUCAUGGGCUAAGUUUGGAAAUAUGCCCUAGAGGCAAUAAUAAAAUGGUUAUUAUUAUAUUUCUUUGUUCAUGAUAAUUGUCUAUUAUUCAUGCUAUAAUUGUGUUAUCCGGGAAAUCGUAAUACAUGUGUGAAUACAUAGACCACAACACGUCCCUAGUGAGCCUCUAGUUGACUAGCUCGUUGAUCAAAAGAAAGUCAUGGUUUCCUGACUAUGGACAUUAGAUGUCAUUGAUAACGGGAUCACAUCAUUAGGAGAAUGAUGUGAUGGACAAGACCCAAUCCUAAGAUUAGCUCAAAGAUCAUGUAGUCCAUUUGCUGUAGCUUUUCUGAAUGUCAAGUAUCAUUUCCUUAGACCAUGAGAUUGUGCAACUCUCGGAUACCGUAGGAGUACCUUGGGUGUGCCAAAUGUCACAACAUAACUGGGUGACUAUAAAGAUACAUUACAGGUAUCUCCGAAAGUGUCUGUUGGGUUGGCACGAAUCGAGACUGGGAUUUCUCACUCCGUAUGACGGAGAGGUAUCUCUGGGCCCACUCGGUAAUGCAUCAUCAUAAUGAGCUCAAUGUGAUCAAGUGGUUGAUCGCGGGAUCAUGCAUUACGGUACGAGUAAAGUGACUUGUCGGUAAUGAGACUGAACAAGGUAUUGGGAUACCGACGAUCGAGUCUCGGACAAGUAACGUACCGAUUGACAAAGGGAAUUGUAUACGGGGUUGAUUAAGUCCUCGACAUCGUGGUUCAUCCGAUGAGAUCAUCGAGGAGCAUGUGGGAGCCAACAUGGGUAUCCAGAUCCCGCUGUUGGUUAUUGACCGGAGAGGCGUCUCGGUCAUGUCUGCGUGUCUCCCGAACUCGUAGGGUCUACACACUUAAGGUUCGAUGACGCUAGGGUUGUAGAGAUAUUAGUAUGUAGUAACCCGAAAGUUGUUCGAAGUCCCGGAUGAGAUCCCGGACGUCAAGAGGAGUUCCGGAAUGGUCCGGAGGUAAAGAUUUAUAUAUAGGAAAUCCAGUGUCGGCCAGCGGGAAGGUUUCGGGGGUUACCGGUAUUGUACCGGGACCACCGGAAGGGUCCCGGGGGUCCACCGGAUGGGGCCACCUAUCCCGGAGGGCCCCAUGGGCUGAAGUGGCGUGGGAACCAGCCCCUGAUGGGCUGGUGUGCCCCACCCAAGGGCCCAAGACGCCUAGGGUUGGAAACCCUAGGGGGCCGUUGCCCCCCCCCCCGAGGGGGCAUGCGCCUCCUGGUUGGAAACCCUAAGGGGGCCGUUGCCCCAGGGGCCGCCGCCCCCCUUUUAGAUGGGAUCUCCAAGGGGUCAUGCGCCCCCUAGCCCCUAUAUAUAGUGGAAGGGAGGGAGGGCAGCCGCACCUUGCUCUUGGCGCCUCCCUCUCCCUCCGUAACACCUCUCCUCCCCGCUUGUGCUUGGCGAAGCCCUGCCGGAAUCCUGCUGCAUCCACCACCACACCGUCGUGCUGCUAGAUCUUCAUCAACCUCUCCUUCCCCCUUGCUGGAUCAAGAAGGAGGAGACAUCUUCCCAACUGUACGUGUGUUGAACGCGGAGGUGCUGUCCGUUCGGCACUUGGUCAUCGGUGAUUUGGAUCACGGCGAGUACGACUCCAUCAUCGCCGUUCACUUGAACGCUUCCGCUCACGAUCUACAAGGGUAUGUAGAUGCACUCCUAUUCCCCUCGUUGCUAGAAUACUCCAUAGAUUGAUCUUGGUGAUGCGUAGAAAUUUUUUAAUUUCUGCUACGAUCCCCAAUAGUGGUAUCAGAGCUAGGUCUAUGCGUAGUUACUAUGCACGACUAGAACACAAAGUAGUUGUGGGCGUCGAUAUUGUCAAUUUGCUUGCCGUCACUAGUCUUAUCUUGAUUCGGCGGCAUCGUGGGAUGAAGCGGCCCGGACCAACCUUACACGUACGCUUACGUGAGACCGGUUCCACCGACUGACAUGCACUAGUUGCAUAAGGUGGCUGGCGGGUGUCUGUCUCUCCCACUUUUGUCGGAUCGGAUUCGAUGAACAGGGUCCUUAUGAAGGGUAAAUAGAAAUUGGCAAUUCACGUUGUGGUUUUGGCGUAGGUAAGAAACGUUCUUGCUAGAAACCUAUAGCAGCCACGUAAAAACUUGCAACAACAAUUAGAGGACGUCUAACUUGUUUUUGCAGCAAGUGUUUUGUGAUGUGAUAUGGCCAAAGGUUGUGAUGAAUGAUGAAUGAUAUAUGUGAUGUAUGAGAUUGAUCAUGUUCUUGUAAUAGGAAUCACGACUUGCAUGUCGAUGAGUAUGACAACCGGCAAGAGCCAUAGGAGUUGUAUUUAUUUAUUUAUGACCUGCGUGUCAACAAAAACGUCAUGUAAUUACUUUACUUUAUUGCUAAAGCGUUAGCCAUAGUAGUAGAAGUAAUAGAUGACGAGAAAACUUCAAGAAGACACGAUGAUGGAGAUCAUGAUGAUGGAGAUCAUGGUGUCAUGCCGGUGACAACGAUGAUCAUGGAGCCCCGAAGAUGGAGAUCAAAGGAGCAAAUGAUAUUGGCCAUAUCAUGUCACUAUUUGAUUGCAUGUGAUGUUUAUCAUGUUUUACAUCUUAUUUGCUUAGAACCACGGUAGCUUAAAUAAGAUGAUCCCUCGUAAUAAUUUCAAGAAAGUGUUCCCCCUAACUAUGCACCGUUGCGAAGGUUCAUUGUUUCGAAGCACCACAUGAUGAUCGGGUGUGAUAGAUUCUAACGUUCGAAUACAACGGGUGUAAGACAGAUUUACACAUGCAAUACACUUAGGUUGACUUGACGAGCCUAGCAUGUACAGACAUGGCCUCGGAACACAGAAGACCGAAAGGUCGAGAAGGAAUCGUAUAGAAGAUACGAUCAACAUGAAGAUGUUCACCGAUGUUGACUAGUCCGUCUCACGUGAUGAUCAGACACGGCCUAGUUAACUCGGAUCAUGUUAUACUUAGAUGACUGGAGGGAUGUCUAUCUGAGUGGGAGUUCAUUUAAUUAUUUGAUUAGAUGAACUUAAUUAUCAUGAACUUAGUCUAAAAUCUUUACAAUAUGUCUUGUAGAUCAAAUGGCCCACGUUGUCCUCAACUUCAACGCGUUCCUCAAGAAAACCAAGCUGAAAGACGAUGGCAGCAACUAUACGGACUGGGUCCGGAACCCGAGGAUCAUCCUCAUAGCUGCCAAGAAAGAUUAUGUCCUAGAAGCACCGCUAGGUGACGCACCCGUCCCACAGAACUAAGACGUUAUGAACGCUUAGCAGACACAUGUUGGUGAUUACUCCCUCGUUCAGUGCGGCAUGCUUUACAGCUUAGAACCAGGGCUCCAAAAGCGUUUUGAGAGACACGGAGCAUAUGAAAUGUUCGAAGAGCUGAAAAUGGUUUUUCAAGAUCAUGCCCGGGUCGAGAGAUAUGAAGUCUCCGACAAGUUUUUCAGCUGUAAGAUGGAGGAAAAUAGUUCUGUCAGCGAGCACAUACUCAAAAUGUCUGGGUUGCAUAACCGCUUGACUCAGCUGGGAGUUAAUCUCCCGGAUGACGCGGUCAUUGACAGAAUCCUUCAGUCGCUUCCACCGAGAUACAAGAGCUUUGUGAUGAACUUCAAUAUGCAGGGGAUGGAAAAGACCAUUCCUGAAGUAUUUGCAAUGCUGAAAUCAGCAGAGGUAGAAGUCAAAAAGAAACAUCAAGUGUUGAUGGUGAAUAAAACCACUAAGUUCAAGAAAGGCAAGGGUAAGAAGAACUUUAAGAAGGACGGCAAGGGAGUUGCCGCGCCCGGUAAGCAAGCUGCCAUGAAGAAGCCAAAGAAUGGACCCAAGCCCGAGACUGAGUGUUUUUAUUGCAAGGGAAGUGGUCACUGGAAGCGGAACUGCCCCAAAUACUUAGCGGACAAGAAGGUCGGCAUCACGAAAGGUAUAUGUGAUAUACAUGUAAUUGAUGUGUACCUUACCAGUACUCGUAGUAGCUCAUGGGUAUUUGAUACCAGUGUGGUUGCUCACAUUUGUAACUCAAAGCAGGAGCUGCGGAAUAAGCAGAGACUGGCGAAGGACGAGGUGACGAUGUGCGUCGGGAAUGGUUCCAAGGUCGAUGUGAUUGUCGUCGGCACGCUACCUCUACAUUUACCUACGGGAUUAGUUUUAAACCUCAAUAAUUGUUAUUUAGUGCCAGCUUUGAGCAUGAACAUUGUAUCAGGAUCUCGUUUAAUUCGAGAUGGCUACUCAUUUAAAUCCGAGAAUAAUGGUUGUUCUAUUUAUAUGAGAGAUAUGUUUUAUGGUCAUGCUCUGAUGGUGAAUGGUUUAUUCUUAAUGAAUCUCGAGCGUAAUGCUACACAUAUUCAUAGUGUGAAUACCAAAAGAUGUAAGGUUGAUAAUGAUAGUCCCACAUACUUGUGGCACUGCCGCCUUAGUCACAUAGGUGUCAAAUGCAUGAAGAAGCUCCAUGCAGAUGGACUUUUAGAGUCUCUUGAUUACGAAUCAUUUGACACGUGCGAACCAUGCCUCAUGGGUAAAAUGACCAAGACUUCGUUCUCGGGAACAAUGGAGCGAGCAACCAACUUAUUGGAAAUCAUACAUACUGAUGUGUGCGGUCCAAUGAGUGUUGAGGCUCGCGGUGGCUAUCGUUAUGUUCUCACCCUCACUGAUGACUUGAGUAGAUAUGGGUAUGUCUACUUAAUGAAACACAAGUCUGAGACCUUUGAAAAGUUCAAGGAAUUUCAGAGUGAGGUUGAGAAUCAACGUGACAGGAAAAUCAAGUUCUUGCGAUCAGAUCGUGGGGGAGAAUACUUGAGUCAUGAAUUUGGCACACACUUAAGAAAAUGUGGAAUAGUUUCACAACUAACGCCGCCUGAAACACCUCAGCGUAAUGGUGUGUCCGAACAUCAUAAUCGCACUCUAUUAGAUAUGGUGCGAUCUAUGAUGUCUCUUACCGAUUUACCGCUAUCAUUUUGGGGCUAUGCUUUAGAGACUGCCGCAUUCACUUUAAAUAGGGCUCCGUCAAAAUCCGUUGAGACGACACCGUAUGAAUUAUGGUUUGGGAAGAAACCUAAGCUGUUGUUUCUAAAAGUUUGGGGAUGCGAUGCUUAUGUCAAGAAACUUCAACCUGAAAAGCUCGAACCCAAGUCGGAAAAAUGCGUCUUCAUAGGAUACCCUAAAGAAACUGUUGGGUAUACCUUCUACCUCGGAUCCGAAGGCAAGAUCUUUGUUGCCAAGAAUGGGUCCUUUCUAGAGAAAGAGUUUCUCUCGAAAGAAACAAGUGGGAGGAAGGUAAAACUUGAUGAAGUAUUACCUCUUGAACCGGUAAGUGGCGCAGCUCAAGAAAAUGUUCCUGAGGUGCCUGCACCGACUAGAGAGGAAGUUGAUGAUGACGAUCAUGAAACUUCAGAUCAAGUUGCUACUGAACUUCGUAGGUCCACAAGGACACGUUCCGCACCAGAGUGGUACGGCAACCCUGUCUUGGAAAUCAUGUUGUUGGACAACGGUGAACCUUCGAACUAUGAAGAAGCGAUGGCGGGCCCAGAUUCCGACAAAUGUCUAGAAGCCAUGAAAUCCGAGAUAGAAUCCAUGUAUGAAAACAAAGUAUGGACUUUGACUGACUUGCCCGAAGAUCGGCGAGCCAUAGAAAAUAAAUGGAUCUUUAAGAAGAAGACAGACGCGGAUGGUAAUGUGACCAUCUAUAAGGCUCGACUUGUCGCUAAGGGUUAUCAACAAGUUCAAGGGGUUGACUACGAUGAGACUUUCUCACCCGUAGCGAAGAUGAAGUCCGUUCGAAUCAUGUUAGCAAUUGCUGCAUUCUAUGAUUAUGAGAUAUGGCAAAUGGACGUCAAAAUGGCAUUCCUUAACGGCUUUCUUAAGGUAGAAUUGUAUAUGAUGCAGCCGGAAGGUUUUGUCGAUCCUAAGAAUGCUAACAAGGUGUGCAAGCUCCAACGCUCAAUCUAUGGGCUGGUGCAAGCAUCUCGGAGUUGGAACAUUCGCUUUGAUGAGAUGAUCAAAGCGUUUGGGUUUAUGCAGACUUAUGGAGAAGCCUGUGUUUACAAGAAAGUGAGUGGGAGCUCUGUAGCAUUUCUCAUAUUAUAUGUGGAUGACAUACUGUUGAUGGGAAAUGAUAUAGAAUUCUUGGAAAGCAUAAAGGCCUAUUUGAACAAGUGGUUUUCAAUGAAGGACCUUGGAGAAGCUGCUUAUAUAUUAGGCAUCAAGAUCUAUAGAGAUAGAUCGAGACGCCUCAUCGGUCUUUCACAAAGUAUGUACCUUGACAAGAUAUUGAAGAAGUUCAAUAUGGAUCAGUCCAAGAAGGAGUUCUUGCCUGUAUUGCAAGGUGUGCGAUUGAGCACGGCUCAAUGCUCGACCACGGCAGAAGAUAUAGAAGAGAUGACUGUCACCCCCUACGCCUCAGCCAUAGGGUCUAUUAUGUAUGCCAUGUUGUGUACCAGACCUGAUGUAAACCUUGCCGUAAGUUUGGUAGGUAGGUACCAAAGUAAUCCCGGCAAGGAACACUGGACAACGGUCAAAAACAUCCUGAAGUACCUGAAAAGGACCAAGGAUAUGUUUCUCGUUUAUGGAGGUGGCGAAGAGCUCGUCGUAAAGGGUUAUGUCGAUGCUAGCUUCGACACAGAUCUGGAUGACUCUAAGUCACAAACCGGAUACGUGUAUAUUUUGAAUGGUGGGGCAGUAAGCUGGUGCAGUUGCAAGCAAAGCGUUGUGGCGGGAUCUACAUGUGAAGCAGAAUACAUGGCAGCCUCGGAGGCAGCACAAGAAGCAAUCUGGGUGAAGGAGUUCAUCACCGACCUAGGAGUCAUACCCAAUGCGUCGGGGCCGAUGACUCUCUUCUGUGACAACACUGGAGCUAUUGCCCUUGCCAAGGAGCCCAGGUUUCACAGGAAGACCAGGCAUAUCAAGCGUCACUUCAACUCCAUUCGUGAACAUUAGAUGUCACUGAUAACAGGAUCACAUCAUUAGGAGAAUGAUGUGAUGGACAAGACCCAAUCCUAAGCUUAGCUCAAAGAUCGUGUAGUUUGUUUGCUGUAGCUUUUCUGAAUGUCAAGUAUCAUUUCCUUAGACCAUGAGAUUGUGCAACUCCCGGAUACCGUAGGAGUACCUUGGGUGUGCCAAACGUCACAACAUAACUGGGUGACCAUAAAGGUACAUUACAGGUAUCUCCGAAAUUGUCUAUUGGGUUGGCACGAAUCGAGACUGGGAUUUGUCACUCCGUAUGACGGAGAGGUAUCUCUGGGCCCACUCGAUAAUGCAUCAUCAUAAUGAGCUCAGUGUGAUCAACUGGUUGAUCGCGGGAUCAUGCAUUACGGUACGAGUAAAGUGACUUGCUGGUAACGAGACUGAACAAGGUAUUGGGAUACCGACGAUCGAGUCUCGGACAAGUAACGUACCGAUUGACAAAGGGAAUUGUAUACGGGAUUGAUUAAGUCCUCGACAUCGUGGUUCAUCCGAUGAGAUCAUCGAGGAGCAUGUGGGAGCCAACAUGGGUAUCCAGAUCCCGCUGUUGGUUAUUGACCGGAGAGGCGUCUCAAUCAUGUCUGCGUGUCUCCCGAACCCGUAGGGUCUACACACUUAAGGUUCGAUGAUGCUAGGGUUGCAGAGAUAUUAGUAUGCAGUAACCCGAAAGUUGUUCGGAGUCCCGGAUGAGAUCCCGGACGUCACGAGGAGUUCCGGAAUGGUCUGGAGGUAAAGAUUUAUAUAUAGGAAGUCCAGUUUCGGCCAGCGGGAAGGUUUCAGGGGUUACCGGUAUUGUAUCGGGACCACCGGAAGGGUCCCGGGGGUCCACCGGAUGGGGCCACCUAUCCUGGAGGGCCCCAUGGGCUGAAGUGGCAUGGGAACCAGCCCCUGAUGGGCUGGUGCGCCCCACCCAAGGGCCCAAGGCGCCUAGGGUUGGAAACCCUAGGGGNNNNNNNNNNNNNNNNNNNNNNNNNNNNNNNNNNNNNNNNNNNNNNNNNNNNNNNNNNNNNNNNNNNNNNNNNNNNNNNNNNNNNNNNNNNNNNNNNNNNNNNNNNNNNNNNNNNNNNNNNNNNNNNNNNNNNNNNNNNNNNNNNNNNNNNNNNNNNNNNNNNNNNNNNNNNNNNNNNNNNNNNNNNNNNNNNNNNNNNNNNNNNNNNNNNNNNNNNNNNNNNNNNNNNNNNNNNNNNNNCCCCCCUUUUAGAUGGGAUCUCCAAGGGGGCAUGCACCCCCUAGCCCCUAUAUAUAGUGGAAGGGAGGGAGGGCAGCUACACCUUGCUCUUGGCGCCUCCCUCUUCCUCCGUAACACCUCUCCUCCCCGCUUGUGCUUGGCGAAGCCCUGCCGGGAUCCUGCUGCAUCCACCACCACGCCGUCGUGCUGCUGGAUCUUCAUGAACCUCUCCUUCCCCCUUGCUGGAUCAAGAAGGAGGAGACGUCUUCCCAACCGUACGUGUGUUGAACGCGGAGGUGAUGUCCGUUCGGCACUUCGUCAUCGGUGAUUUGGAUCACGGCGAGUACGACUCCAUCAUCCCCAUUCACUGGAACGCUUCCGCUCGCGAUCUAAAAGGGUAUGUAGAUGCACUACUAUUCCCCUCGUUGCUAGAAUACUCCAUAGAUUGAUCUUGGUGAUGCGUAGAAAUUUUUUAAUUUCUACUACGAUCCCCAACAUAAGUUGGGACUCCCCUGCAGGGAUUUGAACUUUCGAAAGUCGUGCCCACGGUUAUGGGCAGAUGGGAAUUUGUUAAUGUCCGGUUGUAGAUAACUUGAACCUUCACUUAAUUAAAAUGAAUCAACUGUGUGAGUUACCGUGAUGGUCUCUUCUUGGGGGAGUCCGGGAAGUGAACACGGUGUUGGAGUAAUGCUUGCCGCAGGUUGUUCUCUAGCUACUUGAUCGUGCAUUGCCUUCUCUUCUCGCUCUCAUUUGCGAAUAGGUUAGUCACCAUAUCUUGCUAGUCGCUUGCUGCAGCUCCACAUAUUUUACCUUGCCUUACCUAUAAGCUUAAAUAGUCUUGAUCGCGAGGGUGCGAGAUUGAUGAGUCCCUGUGGCUCACAGAUUACUUCCAAACCAGAUGCAGGUCCUGAUGACUCCGUUCCAGAUGACGCACUUGAGCUCAAGUGGGAGUUUGACGAGGACUCACGCCGUUACUAUGUGUCUUUCCCUGAUGAUCAGUAGUGGUGCCCAGUUGGGGCGAUCGGGACCGUGUCGCAUGUUGGGUUGGUCUUUUAUUUUGGCACCGUAGUCGGGCCAUGAGUGAUUGGAUGAUGUAAUGCUAUUUAUGUACUUUGUUUGACGUGGUGAGUGUAAGCCAACUAUGUACCUUUCCCUUUUAUUAUUUAUACUACAUGGGAUGUUGUGAAGAUUGCCUAACUUGCGACAUUGCUUUCAAUGCGGUUAUGCCUCUAAGUCAUGCUUCGACACAUAGGAAAUAUAGCCUCAUCGAGGACGUUACAUAGUUCCAACUCUUUCCUUGCACAUAUGGGCUGCGUGGACCUUUAGUAUUUAUUAGGAAUUUCUGAAACUGCUAUCGGGCUGGCCCAAAAUAGACAAAAUUCCAGCAAUAUAUACAUACAUGAGUGAAACACAAAAGUAAAAGUUAUAUGUCUUCCUGCAUAUAAAUCCAUCAUGUUCAGAUUAGAGAAGUGAUCCCUCUAUAAAUGUUUAUACUCCUUAUACAUGGGAUCGAUCUAGCCCACAGUAAGGAUACAAUAGUUAGCAAAAGCUGGCCUUAGACAAACCAAUAUUGUAAUAGUUGUGGUAACGAGAAAACAAGCUGCAGACAUGGUCACAAUAUCUGUCUAAGGCCAAAAAAUUUUCUAACUAAUAUAUCCUUCAUGCGGGCUAGAUCGAUCCCAUGUUCAGUAAGACGUUUUAGGUCACUAUUUUCAUAUGUGCGCAAUUGAGAUAGAUUUCAAACAUAUCUUCGUACGUAAUCGGCCAUGGAAGGGUGCUUGAGCUUCAUGAAAACCUAGAAAGAAAAUAACAUGGCUUCUUGGAGAAGAGUCUUGGGCGUGUGUGUCAACAAAAUUUUAACUCUAUAUAAAGUUAUUAGAAAUCCAACAUUUUGAUUGGUCCACUUGUUUUGGUUUCAAUGUUAGAUUUUGGCUCUAGACUUUCCAUACGUGUGAAUCACAUAGGAAAACGGAUAAACUCUAACCAACGCAGAGUCAUCUCUCACACAAUGGGCGUGGUAAUGGGCUUUUAUGGGGUGAAAGAGGGACUAGAUGUGUGAUGUCUCCCAUAUGGCAGAUUUUUUGUCCAUAGUCAUCUCUCUAUCAAUCAUAAUUGAAUUUGAGUAUGUUCAUCUCUAUAUAUAAAUAAAUGAAUUUGAGUGUGUGUAUCGCACCAAUAAGUAUAUAUUAGUCCAAACAAAACUAGUCUUAAACGGACCAAUAUUAUGACUAUCUCUGAAGCUUCUUUUUCCGUUACCACAAAUGUUAAGAAUGUCAUAUAUUAGUACAUUUAUGAAAUAAAAAUUACAACUCUGACAUUGCUAAUAUGAGUAUAAAUUUCACAGUUGUAGGAGACAUGUAGUGUGUUUGUAUAUAUGCAACCAAGUUGGAUAAUAUUUUGACAGGGUUAUUAAACAAUACACUCACAUCUGACAAAGCAAAUCGUCAACCCGUGCCUAUGCAUGUGACAUGUCGAUGCUAGCUUCAAAUUCCAAAGUUACAAGAUAGACCUAGUUGGCUAAUUUUAUCGGACUAUACAAUGCAUAAUAUAAUAUGUAGAAAUGCACUUUGAACCAGGCAGUCAUGUGUGGGAUUGUAGGAUGAUGGAUAAGAGGACCAGCCCCCCUACAUAUUAUAUACAGGACCUGAAUACAAUUUAUGUAUCUUUAAUGUAUUUUUCUAUAUUAACUUUAGAUCUCAGUCUCGAGCGGCCGGUCUCGAGCUCCGGGGCUGAAGAUUAGGUUAGACCCGAAUGGUCGUACCUGGCAAUUGCGAUGUUUCUUAUGUUGUUAUCUUGUUGAAGACAUUGUUCGGAUAUGUCCAGACUGAUUUCUUCAGGAUGAAAGCCUAGAUUCCGACCUUAUGGUUUGAUCUGGUGACGGUGGCGCUUGAGUGUUGCUCCUUUCCUGAAGGUGUUGCUGUUUAAGAACCUCUUCGUCCAUGUGGUGUCAUGAGAUAGUUGGUGCAGAUAUGGUCAUUCUUGUAGUUUGCCGAUCGCAUAUCUAAUCGCUUUGUUUUUUUUUCUCGCCUACACAUAACUUUGGUCUUAUAUGACUUUGCUAGUUGUCGGCGUGUGUGUGAUUUGGUUUUGGUUGUGUGCAUUCUAGCUAUACAGGUGUGUGUGUGCGCUUGCGCUUGCGCUUGCGCUUAUUAUGCUAUGUAUCUUAUUGAAGCUCCAUUUUGAGCCGAUAAAAUUCAUCAUUUGUCGAACAGAACUCUAGAUCUCAAUGCACAUCUCUCUGUCCUGCCAAGAUCCAAAAGGUUUUUUUUUGAAAUUUCCAAGAUCCAAAAGUUGGCAUCCCUUUGCAUCAUGUCAUAUAUCUACAUGAUACGGUGACCAAUGGUUGAUUUAUCUUGUACAUUUUUCUAUCCAAGGUUAAUCCCAAAAUAGGAGAGUAUCUUCCUGGUUGAUUCUUCCCAUUAAUUAUCAUAUCUUGUAGAUUUGUUUUUGUGUUACUAGAUGUAGUAGUGAACGUGUCUAGGUUCAUCCUCCCGAUAAAUUUCAUAUAUUUUUAGGAGCCAUUUAUUAUCCAAAUAAUAUAUUAUCUUUCCUAUUCUCUUUACUACCAAUGAUAUCCUCAAUAUUCAGAUAUUCUGUUUUAAUGGAAUUUAUUAGGAUAAGCACGGGCUUCAUGCCAUGUAUGUAUAUAAAUCGAGUAUUUGGUAGGACCAAACACAAACAUACCAGUUACAAAAGUAUUGCAUAGUGCUUUAUAUUGCUCUUUGUGAACUUAGGCGAUGGCAAAUAAUAGCAUCCUUCAGGUCUUCGUUGUUUUUCUCAUCGCGCAAGUUUGCUUACUGAUGAUGAUGGCAGCACCGGUAGCGCAGGCAGCCGGCAGGCUUAUGGGAUACAAUCCUGUUUGCUGCCCUAGGGACAUCUAUUGUUGUGGGUUCGGCGGCAUGAUUUCCAAUGGAACUGCAUCCUCCACCACUCCUUGAUAUGUUGUCUCACUCUCCUCCGAGCUAUAAGCUAGGGCCAAUAAAAUGUGCUUCAAAUUGGUUGUUUUGUUUCUUAUAUGCAAUUUGUGCGACUAGUUUCCAGAAAUAUUAUGUGUAAGCUAUUUUGCUAAUAAAAGUGGGAGGAGAUUGUUAUCUAUGUUGUUUGCAAUGUGCC
rnacentral:lncRNA from 1 species